rnacentral:lncRNA from 1 species
UUGAUUUUGGUGGAAGUAUGAGGACUUUUUAAUAAUUAAAUCAUUGCUUGGGCUGUCUUGUACAACACUGGGCUGCGUGCUUCAAUCUUGCAUUCUUGCCCAUUUGUGCUGAACAAUGAAUCUAGUAAAAUUCAAUGUAUAAUUUCUCAAGCACAUCGACGACGAGUGAUCUCGCUGGAUACCUGUUAGGAUAUAGCUAUGUAGUAGCCGUGUUAAAAGAUGAUCAUUCAUUAGUUCUUUCUUUGGCCAAAUCUAUGAACUGAACUGGAUUUGUUUUAUCUUGAUUAUAGUGGAUGCCAAUUGAGGAGUAUGCAGCACAACCUUUUGUUGUUGGAAACAAGCAAUUCAAUUUCAUGGCGAAUAUAUGCUUGGUGAAGGCUGAUCAUGGCUACCCUGGUUUCAGUGCUCGGGCCACAACUACUAGGGGUGGAAAAAGGAAUUACAUCUAUUGCAAUAAGCCUGAAAUUGUGGAGAACUUUGCAAGUUUGAUGUAAUUACUAAAAAAUAUGAAUUUUUUAAUUCUUAAUUUUUAAUUUCUUUUAACGCUUAAUUUUUUUUAUAUAUAUUUUUUCCUUCUUCCUCUUAUUUAUAGCAAGUUUUAGGAUUUGAUUGUACUUUUUGAAAGUUCUAAGUUUCGAUUGUACUUUCAUAAUAAGUUUAAGAAUUCCUAGUGCACUUAUCCAUUUAUAAAACUAUAGAGCAUAGCAUCUUUUUGAUAGAAGAAUAAUGAAGUUAAACCUAUACUACAUUUGAAGAAAAUGGAGGAUUAGGUAUCAGAGAUUUGCUUUCCCUUUAAUAAGGCAAUAUUGAGAAAACAAGCUUGGAGUCUAAUUCAAAACCCAUCAUCACUCUUGUGCCGGCUAUUGAAAUGAAUUUACUUUCCUAGUGUAGACUUUUGGCAUGCAGAAAAAGGAGUAUGCCCCUUUUAGGGAUGGUAGAGUUUGCUCGUGGGAAGGGAUUUAAUCUCUCACUUAGUGCAUUGUUCAGUACGUAAUGAAGCUAACAUAACAAUUAGAGAAGACAAAUGGCUGAAAAAGAUGGGUGCUUGGAGGUCCUGCUCCUAGAGGUGAACCACUUGUUUAGACAGGGAGGAGAACUCAUGGAAUUUUUUGCUUCUAGAGGAUAAUUUUCACAUUAAAUUGUCAAUAAAAUCCUAUCUAUUCCAGUGAGGACUCAGAUAGCAAAAGAUCAUAUUGUAUGGACAUGGAUUCAAUCAAGCAAAUAUUCAGUCGAAAGAGGAUAUAAUCACAUAAGAGGGUCAGAUGACAAGCCUAGCUAGAUUCAAGCAUUUUCCUCCUUUCAACUUCCUCAUAGUCUAUGGAGGGAGAUAUGGAACUUGUCUACAACCCCUAAAGUGAAAUUAUGUAUGUGGUCCCUAUGUCAAAACGCUCCACUUAUGAAGGAGAACCUAUUUGGAAGAUGAAUUGUACCCGAUUCGAUAUGCGCAUUGUGCAAUGAAGGCAUCCCUGAGACAAUAGAGUAUUUAUUCUUAUUACCCAUAGACGACCCAGAUCUAUGUAUUAAACUUUCGACAUAAGGUUUGUCGAGAAUUGAAGCAUGGAUAUAAGAAUUAAAAGCAAACUCAGCUCACUCGCCAAGCUUGGAAGUGGUCGUGUUGGUACUUUGGCACAUGUGAAAAGCACGAAAUCACUUGGUCCUCACGAAUAGACCUCUAGCUCCACCAGGAUCGUGGAUUUUGCAUUCGCAAGCUUGAAGAUUUCCAAAAAUUAGGGACUUAACACAGCACCUACAGAACUUUUGGUCUCCACCGCAGCUUUGGGCAUUGAAAAUGAAAAUCGACAGAGCAUACAGUCCUUGAUGGACGAGUGGAACCAUUGCUUGUGUUUGUCGUGAUCACUCGACAAGGCUCGUCGAUGGAUUUGCAAGAAGUGUUUAGGCUUCAUUACCUUUUCGAUGGAGUGUCAUACGUCGCUUUAAACCUACUGUCCUUGUUGCCAAGAAAGAAAAUCUUUCGAUUGAGUCCCAGAAUUUAUGGUCAGUCAAUAUCCAUGGGAAGUUUGUAUACGGAUCACUAAGUGUCAUGGUCUGUUGCUCCACUUCUCAAAUAUCUAGGUUUAGCAUUGCUAUAAAGAGGCAACUCCAUUGCAGACUGGAAAGCCAAAGCCAUAGGAGAAAUUCCCUUCCACUGAUUCGGGUUAUUUCACCUCCCUUAAUUUUUCUUACUUAGAUAAUUUCAUAUUCUUUUUUUCGUCAAUUUUAAAGGAGGCGGUUUUUUUUUUUCCUAAGAGAGUUCGACACGAACAAUCAUUAUAUUAUUCUACAAGGUUUUAUUGGAGAAGCUAACUUUUUCCACACUCAUAUUUUGCAUAUAUUUCCAUUCUAAAUUAUUAAUCAAAUUUUCACUAUUAGCACAUGAUGUACACAUUUUCUUAGAUUAUAUUGCCUUUUUCUUUUGUUUUCAACUUUUCUUUUCUGACACGUACUCGUUCAAUUAUCAACAACCAAUCAUUAAUAUACCCAUUGCCAAGUCAGCUGCCAAUUUCUCCUUAGAAUAGAUCUCAUUCAUCUCAAUCCCAAAUAUCUACAGCCUAGAAAGAAGGUUUGCAUGUCUACUGCUCGACAUCAUAUUUUAAUUCGGGAACAAAGACACAGACAGUUCUUAAUUUUUUUUUUUUCCAAUUUGGGGUAUUGUCGAAUAAAAUAUUCGAUAGCAAGUUGAUCAAUUAAUUCAAUAAGAAAUGGUAAUUAACACUCGAUUUAAUUAAUACCACAAUCGAAUCCACUUUCAUUUUGAUAAUUAGCAUCGACAAUUCUUAAAUUUUUAUUGCAAUUUGGGGUAUUGUCGAAUCCAACAAAAAUAUUCGAUAGCAAGUCGAUUGGUUAAUUCAAUAAGAAAUGGUAAUCAAUACUCAAUUUAAUUAAUACCAUCCAAUCGAAUCCAAUUUUAUUUUGUUUACUUAUUCAAUUUCAAUGAACAUUUAUUUCAGCUUACUUUUUUUAAAAUGAAAUAACAAAUUCGAACAAAUCAAAUAAAAAUAUUUGGGGUUAGAUCGAAUUGUAAAUAGAGUUCUUUUUUCCCAAUUAACAUAUAGAACAAAAUAAGUGCCUAUGAGAUUAAAAUAAUGAAUUGUAAAUAGAGUUCAAGCUCAAAUAUCAUUAUUUAUUGUUUAUAAUAAUAGACAAUUAAGGACUAUUUUCUCUGUGGCCACACUCUCACUCUUUCUCUCCCCCUCUCUCGCUUACCCUCACCUGCAAGAGAUAAGCCCCUUCUAGAGUCCCACAUCGAACAGACAGCAGAGAGCAUAAGAGAGUUUGCUUAUAAAACCCAAGCUUAGCCAUUUAUUUUUUUUCAUUUUCUUGGGCUUGUGGCCUAUACUGAGGUGGAAAGCUUGACCGAGUGGUGUGGGCCUGACCAGUUGCAGUCUACUUCGGUACGGUUCUCAGUUCUGCAAAUAGGGAACCGGUCUUGUAGGUCCGGUUCCCGGUUCUAGGUUGGGAACCGGACCGCCCGGGAACAAUCACCCUAAGGAUAAGCACCAGCAGAGGGAUGGGAAGGGGCCUGCUGUUGCGAAAGAGGCGGCUGGACCGCCCCCCAUGCACCGGGGAUGGGCCCGAAAUCCCCGCAAGGUCACCCGAUCCCACCGACCCCUUUAUCGCAGCCGCAGGACGCGCGCGAGAGAGAGAGAGAUAGCCCGGGCGGCGAGGGAGGCGAAAGCAUCCGAGGAGGGACUUGAUCAUGGGGUUUUUCUUGCGAGGGAUGAUGAGACCAUCUGUUCCGGUUGAGAUCUCGGGUGGAUCUAUCUUGGUGGUUCUCGGGUUGUUUCGUUGCUGUUGCCGGCGUUAGCGGCGGACUUUGAUUUGGCGAGGCGAAGAAGCGACGGUGGGUCUAGGCGGCGGAGGUUGAGCAGGGCAGCAACCCCGAUGGCCAUGGAUCUGCUCGACUCUGAUGUUUAUUUGAGAUUGGUUUGGAUGAUUGUGUUUUACCUUCUCUGCAGCUACCAUAAACAGAUCUGAGAGCGCGCAUCUCUCUCUCCGUCCCUCCCUCUCUCUCUCUCCCCCUCUCCAUACGCGACAAGCAUAAAGAGAAUGCGUUCGGCCAGGCGGCGGACGUGAAGCAGGCGAAGUCACGGCCUUCGUCAGCCUCGCCACUUGCCGGCGAGGACCAUGGCACUCUCCGCAGAUCUAGCGCUGCGGCCUUGCUGAACUCUCUCUCUCUCUAUAUAUAUGCGGUGCAGCGGCGGCGGCGGCGGCGGCGACGGCAGCAGCAACGAUGGGCCUAGACGAUGGCGAGGGUCGUUGGACCGUCAUCGGUAGAUGGACGGCCCUGCCACCGGCCAAGGGACCUCCUCCUUCCCUGGUCAGGUUUAGCCACCGACUCUCCCUCUUUAUUUGGGUUUUUUAUUAUUAUAAUUUUUUUAGGAUAAGAAGACCAGAAAACCCAAACUAUUUUACAUUUACCCUGAAUUUUUUUUUCUAGCAUAAGAAAACUCCAACUAUAUUAACUAUAAUACUUUUAUCCUAAAAUUUAAAACUGUUAUUGUGUGACGCAUUCACGCUCUAUCAAUAUUUAGUUAAAUGAAAGUCAUGUUCUUGAAAAUAGAUUUUUAAUAGUGUUUAUUGACCAAAUAUUGAUGUAGUGUAAAUAUGUCUUACAGUUAAAAAUUUAGAAUUUUAGGUUUAUGGAUACUUUUUUUAUCUUAAAUUUUUAUUGCGCGCCAGUAAUGUAUCAGAAGGGAAACGGCCAAAUGGGUCCUUCGCAUAUUUAAGGGAAGGGAAUGGAGCAGUUGAGGAUGCAAUUGGAUAAAAGAAAAUUUUGUGUGAUUGAAUAAAUUAAAGAAGCUCACCAACUACGGACCACUUAAUUCUUUUAUUUAUUAAUUUUUGCAUGACCAUUACCCAACACUGUUGACCAAUUGCCGUCCUAAAGCAGUUGUCCCCGCCUUUGAAUUUGACAUAAAUUUUCAGUUACAUUGAUUCAUUCUCGAGGGGUAGAUUUCCAUGAAGCUACCAGGAGCAACGGAGGAAGACGACGGACACUUUCGAUGAUCUUCCCAUUGUCCUUUUCCUAGUCAUUUUCCAAUCUCAAAGUCUUGUUAUUUCCAUUUUCCUAGGAUCUAUCAGUCAAUUAUAUAUAUUUUCUUGCAUUCGCAGUCCUCUGUUUUUUAUGCGUUCCGAGAACAUCUGUUGACAAGACUUAUAAACUCGGAUCUUUGGUCUCGGAUCUUUGGUCAAUCACAAUCCGAGAUUGAAACGUGGAAGGUCCUUAGCAUCACAACAUCAACGGACGUGAAAAGGAAGGAUAGAAAAAAAAAAUAUUAUAAUAACAUCAUUAGCAAUGCUUCAAUAAUUAGGCGAUGGUCCACAACAAUACGAGUUUGCCCUAUUCAAAGGAUUUUGUUGAUAAGGGUCUCCAUAAUUUAUCUUUUCUCAUGUCGUAUUUUGAAAAUUGUACAAUCUCUUAAUAAGUAUGUUUAAUCUCGUUAAUAAAAAAAAUGUUUAGGUAUACUAAGGGUGUGUUCAGUAACAACAAUUAGUACUAAAAUUUAGAAGGAAUGAUUUGCUUAGUUAAUUCAAAAGAAGAUAUUUAGUGAGAAUUAGAGUUGUAUCAAUUAUAUUGCUAAAACUUAUUUUAAUCUCCCUAGCUAUUCAUAGUUAAACCACCAUUUAAUUCUACUCAGGUACUAAAGUUGUGGACAUAUUUAGGGAUUAAAUAUGUAGCACCCAUUUUACAAUUUUAUUGAAUGAGCCUUUGGAGGCUAAGAUCGAUUAUUGUUUGAUAAGAUAAAUUUUAGUUGGAUAUUAAAUGUGAUCUACUUGUUCAAACGUUCAAUAAUAGUUGGCCUUAUCAUCGAUUUAAUAGCUUAUGGCAAACGCUAAUGAAUAAUAAUUUGCCUUAAAUGAUAAGAAUAAUUUACACAUAUUUCUAUAUAAAGAAUAACACAUGCUUUAUAAGAUGAUUAAGAUAAAGAUAAUAUCAAUUAUAAUCUAUAUAAGAUAUGCACAAUUCAUAUAGGGAAAAAUGACACAAAUAAUCUAUGAAUUUUAAUUUAAUGUGCAAUGUGGUCUCGGAAUUUUAACUAAAUUUGCAAUGUAGUACUUGAACUUUCAAUUUUUUUAUUUAUUAUGUCUUUGAACUCUUGGUAUAUGUCUAAUUUAGUCCAUAAAUAAUAAUAAAAAUUCAAUGUAGUCCAUACGCUCAAAUUAAGUUGAAUAUAUUAUAUUGAACAGAUUGAAAGUUUAUAAAUCAUAUUAUAGAAACCUCGAAAAACGAUGAAGAAUAAAGUAACACCGCAAUGAUAAAGUGUAUUUUGAUUAUCUCAUACGCGUUCUUGUCGUGACUACGGGGAGACGAACCAAUCACCGAUCUACGACUGCAGCGAAGACCCCAAGACAAGACAAGACAAGACGAGGACGACGGAAAAAACAUCGUAAAUUCUGAGCUUCCGACGGGCGCAUCUUCCAUCUUCCUCUCUCUUUCUCUGCAACUGCAAAGUGUGUCUCGCCCACUGGCCGGGGGGCAUUUCUGCGUGUUCUUCAGAUCCGUGUCCGGGGAGGUGUGAAACCGAGGGGCGAACGUUUCCCAGCAAAUCUUCGGAGACCAGAUCACGCGCCGUUCCUUCUCCCCCAGAUGAGUCAACUCCCCAGAUCCAGCAAGUCUUUAUAUGGAUUUACCGUUGCUGCCUUUAUCUCUCACUUCGCUUUAGCCGUUGGAGCGAUAGCAGUACACUGGAGAACAACUUAAUCUCCCAUCCGUUUGAUCUUCGUGCCGAGGCUGAAAAGAGUCAAGCUUUUCGACCCGCUCCUCCUCGCGCGCCAGGGCUCCGUCCCGAGACCGGUCGUCCGAGGCCUCUUUUUUAGUGCUUUGACUCCUCGCAAGCCAAGGGCUUUAAAGGGUACGCGUGGAUCGAUGCAUUUGUUUUUUUUUUUUUCCUCGAGGUUUCAUUGUUUAAUCCAUCGUCUGUGACGACGGCAAAGCCUACCCAAUUGCCCGCCUCCUGCGUUUCUUUAUUUGUUUGAUCCAUGGACAUUCGCAAUUUAGCUGGUCUUUGUGUUUGGUUGUUUGUUUCUUUCUUUUUCUUAAGAAAGUUUUUAUUUUUCUUCGUGGGUGCCGCUGUCUUGAUGCUCUUGAGCUUUGCGUAUCUAAUGGUUGAGUGACUGGUGAGGUUCUUGGCUGUUCCUGGACAAAUAUGUAGUGAGAAAAAUUACGGGAAUAUUCAAGAACAUCAUCACCCAAGAGUGUUUGGGAGGGGAGUUGACUUAGUAAAGAGAGACAACUGAAGUCUUCCCUCCUCUUUUUUAAUAGUUUUGUUCUGUUUUUUUUGUUUUUUUUUUCUAUUUGGGUUUAUUACUUUACUUUUGAGCUAGACAAGUUGUUUCCGAUAGAAAUCAGUGGUUGAAUGGUCGCUUCAUUUGGCCAGGUUUAGCUCCCAGGUGCCAUUUCCCAUCAGAUACAAGUCCAUCAGUGCAUCAUCAGCUUUGAGGCAAGCCAUGACUGAACAUAACGAUAGUGGGAUCGAGCAGAUUCAACUGCUCGAUGGGUGUGAGGAUUCAUAUGAAGGAGUCAGGGUGGAGAUCAAGGAGGAUAUGGAUGCUGAUGUCAUGAAAGCUGAUGUCUUUGCCUCUUUGCUCCGUGCUUCAAUAUCAAGCUGGAAACAACAGGUACCGCACUUGUAUUUCAUCGGUCUUGUCAGUUUGUUUUUUUGGAUUUGUAACAAUAUCAAUCUGGUCUUCUGUAUUUCUUCUUAUUGGGUAUAUUUUGGUUGCAGGGGAAGAAGGGAGUGUGGAUCAAAUUGCCCAUUAAAUGUUCACAUCUUGUUGACAUUAUAGUGAAGGUACAUAUGUGUGUUUUUUUGUGGCCAAGAUUUAGUAUUGGCCUCUCUUGUUAAAUCACUUUCUAGCAGGAAGUUUGAUAGGUUUAGGUAUGAAAUACAAGGUUCAUUGAAAUAUUGUCUGGUAAUUUGGCAGGAAGAUUUUAGGUAUCAUCAUGCUGAACCAACUUACUUGAUGCUUGUCCGCUGGCUUCCUGAGACCUCCGAUACCCCCGAUACUAUUCCUAUGAAUGCUUCACAUAGGGUGGGCGUUGGUGCUUUCGUCUUGAAUGAUAAAAAAGAGGUAACUUUCUGCCUUGCCAUUGUCCCAUUUCUUGCAUUUGCCCUUUUAAGACUCUCUUAUAGGAAGAUGCAAAGAGACAGAAAUGUGACAUUUGAUUUGCUCACUUAGUUGUUCUUAGAAGUUCGUGGUUGGACUCUAGCACUGGACACUUCUCUCCAUGGUAGUGUUUAAGACUAGAGAUUUGCAGUGCAUGAAAUCGGGCUGCUCGAUAGGCAUUGAAUCCUUUAGACAGAUGGGUAGGAUCACAGUAAUUUUGCCUAUGAAGAAAAGCUGUGCAUUUAAUGUUCAUUUGAUUUGUAUGCGUGUAUGUUGCCAUUGUGAAUAAGCAGAGAUAUGGGAUUUAUUUUCUUUUAAAUAACAGAACCAGUCUUUGGUGCCAAUGCCUCGCUAUAAUCUUUUGGUCUGACUAGGUUAUAUCUACGACAAGCCAUUUCAUAAUGUGACUUCAGGCCAUAUUACCAUUUGGAGUGCGAUAAAUCUUCUCAUCUUAGCAACAAUCACAUAAUCUUCUAUUAGUUUUCCUCGGGAUUCAGCCCGUAAGUAAUAGCCUUACUUUGUGAAGAGAUACAAUGCAGUGAAGUUUUAUACCAACUUUUGUUUGGCGCAUGCUUUUGCACUGCUUUAUCUUGAUUUCAGCGCGAUUCUUUUGCAACCACUCUAAAGAAUUUAAAACCUUUCCCUUCUUUCUAGGUGCUUGUAGUCCAAGAACAUAGUGGAAGGUUCCAAGGUACGGGUGAAUGGAAACUCCCCACAGGAGUUGUGAAUGAGGUGAGUAUGUUUAAGAUAUCAAGUGCUACAUANNNNNNNNNNNNNNNNNNNNNNNNNNNNNNNNNNNNNNNNNNNNNNNNNNNNNNNNNNNNNNNNNNNNNNNNNNNNNNNNNNNNNNNNNNNNNNNNNNNNNNNNNNNNNNNNNNNNNNNNNNNNNNNNNNNNNNNNNNNNNNNNNNNNNNNNNNNNNNNNNNNNNNNNNNNNNNNNNNNNNNNNNNNNNNNNNNNNNNNNNNNNNNNNNNNNNNNNNNNNNNNNNNNNNNNNNNNNNNNNNNNNNNNNNNNNNNNNNNNNNNNNNNNNNNNNNNNNNNNNNNNNNNNNNNNNNNNNNNNNNNNNNNNNNNNNNNNNNNNNNNNNNNNNNNNNNNNNNNNNNNNNNNNNNNNNNNNNNNNNNNNNNNNNNNNNNNNNNNNNNNNNNNNNNNNNNNNNNNNNNNNNNNNNNNNNNNNNNNNNNNNNNNNNNNNNNNNNNNNNNNNNNNNNNNNNNNNNNNNNNNNNNNNNNNNNNNNNNNNNNNNNNNNNNNNNNNNNNNNNNNNNNNNNNNNNNNNNNNNNNNNNNNNNNNNNNNNNNNNNNNNNNNNNNNNNNNNNNNNNNNNNNNNNNNNNNNNNNNNNNNNNNNNNNNNNNNNNNNNNNNNNNNNNNNNNNNNNNNNNNNNNNNNNNNNNNNNNNNNNNNNNNNNNNNNNNNNNNNNNNNNNNNNNNNNNNNNNNNNNNNNNNNNNNNNNNNNNNNNNNNNNNNNNNNNNNNNNNNNNNNNNNNNNNNNNNNNNNNNNNNNNNNNNNNNNNNNNNNNNNNNNNNNNNNNNNNNNNNNNNNNNNNNNNNNNNNNNNNNNNNNNNNNNNNNNNNNNNNNNNNNNNNNNNNNNNNNNNNNNNNNNNNNNNNNNNNNNNNNNNNNNNNNNNNNNNNNNNNNNNNNNNNNNNNNNNNNNNNNNNNNNNNNNNNNNNNNNNNNNNNNNNNNNNNNNNNNNNNNNNNNNNNNNNNNNNNNNNNNNNNNNNNNNNNNNNNNNNNNNNNNNNNNNNNNNNNNNNNNNNNNNNNNNNNNNNNNNNNNNNNNNNNNNNNNNNNNNNNNNNNNNNNNNNNNNNNNNNNNNNNNNNNNNNNNNNNNNNNNNNNNNNNNNNNNNNNNNNNNNNNNNNNNNNNNNNNNNNNNNNNNNNNNNNNNNNNNNNNNNNNNNNNNNNNNNNNNNNNNNNNNNNNNNNNNNNNNNNNNNNNNNNNNNNNNNNNNNNNNNNNNNNNNNNNNNNNNNNNNNNNNNNNNNNNNNNNNNNNNNNNNNNNNNNNNNNNNNNNNNNNNNNNNNNNNNNNNNNNNNNNNNNNNNNNNNNNNNNNNNNNNNNNNNNNNNNNNNNNNNNNNNNNNNNNNNNNNNNNNNNNNNNNNNNNNNNNNNNNNNNNNNNNNNNNNNNNNNNNNNNNNNNNNNNNNNNNNNNNNNNNNNNNNNNNNNNNNNNNNNNNNNNNNNNNNNNNNNNNNNNNNNNNNNNNNNNNNNNNNNNNNNNUCUCCUACAUCUCAUUCAUGUCGGCCAGUUCACCAUCGGCUGCAAGCCAAAAGAAGACCGAUGGCAGUACUAGUCAGGUUCAUGUCUUCAGUGGAAAACCAGACAGGUUUGAGGGACUAACAGUGGAGAUCGAGGAGACCAUGGACGUUGAGACCUUCGCUUGCCGCCUCAGAACUUCAGUUGAUGAAUGGAAGAAACAGGUGCGGAAUAAUGUUGAUAACUAUUUGUUGCAAAAACACAAGCUACCGAACACACCAAGCAAAUAAAUCGGAUACUGGAUCAACACAAAGUUGACUUCCUUGUUUUUCACACGCCAAAACCUACAACAAUUUGGACUUUCCUCCACACCUGAGACAGCAUAAAGCAGGCCAGAUUUUCCGCACGCUUUUUAGUCGCAUAUACCGUUUGGGCUCUGAAUAAACUCAUGAUUUCAAACUUCUCUUGCCUCUUUUAUUGUGUCCUCCUGAAUUGUAGGGGAAGAAGGGCAUCUGGAUCAAAUUGUCCAUUGAACAUGUCAACCUUGUUGAAUCUGCAGUGAAGGUACAUGACGUUUUAUGUCACCAGGGAUAAACGAAAUUAUUUCGGCUAAUGAGAGAACACAGAGUACAUUCUUACAUGUUAACUUGGAAAGAAAUACAAGUGAAGUAAGUGGUUCAUGCCUUCUAAUUUUUUUUCACAGGAAGGAUUUAAGUACCACCAUGCUGAAGAAAAUUACUUGAUGCUGACGCAUUGGCUUGCUCCCGAGGACAAUACAAUGCCUAUUUAUGCCUCACAUAGGAUUGGCGUGGGUGCUUUUGUCAUGAAUGAUGAUGGAAAGGUAAUGACCAUAAUGCUUUUGGCAGAUUCCAACACUUGAGGGCCACUAAGGGCAUGUUUGGUAACAUUUCUGUUUAAAAAUUGUUCCAAAAACAAAAAUAGAAAAAAAAUGUUUCUGUUCUGGGGAACAAUUUUUGAAUAAAAAAACGCGUUUAGUAAACUUGUUCCGGGAAUAAAAAAUGAAUAGAAACACGAUAAAUUUGUGUUCUUUUUUUUGUUUCUUUUUAUUUUUUUUUAUAUUUUUUUUUAUUUUUCUUUAUUUUUUCUUUUUUUCUUCUUUUGUCCGGUCGCCGGCCUCGGCCAUGGUUGGCGACUGGUCGACGAGGGCCGGUGGCCUCGCCUAGCCACAGCGAGGCUCGCGGGUAUCCGGCGAGCCCGAGCUCGCCUAGCCAAUGUGAGGCUCUCGGCCUCGCCGGGGGCCGGCGACACUUCGAUGAGGUCCCUGGCCCUCAACGGCCGGUCACCGGCCAUGACCGAGGCCGGCGACCGGCCAAAGAAAAAAGAAAAAGAAAAGAAGAAAAAAAAAAGAGAAGAAAAAGAGAGGAGAGAGAAAAUUUGUUCUUAAAAUUUGUUCCAGAAACAAGAAACACGUUUUUCUUAUUUCUUGUUUCUGUUCCAAAUGUGUUCCUGGGAACAAAAAAAUAGAUUUGGAACAAAAACGCAAACAAAUGCGUUUCUGUUCUUUUUUUGUUCCAGGGAACAAAAAAAAAGGAUUUUUGUUCAUAAACAGAAAAAAAGAACGCUAACAAACAGGCCCUAAAACACCAACUUGAGUCGAAUUCAAAUUGAUAAGGAAUUGGGUCUUCCCACCAGGAUUGGCUCAUGUGGUUGUAGUAUAUGCUACUUCUGCAAAAUGUCCUUUGAUAGUUUUCCCUAAUUUGCGUUAUAUGGCCCGUUUACCUUCUGUUUCUUCCAGGCAAAUUGACUUCCUCAUGUUCUAUAAAACCUUCACCUUCCAUUGGUCCAUCUGAGCAUUUAGUGAACCCAUGCUUUACAGCUUGUUCUCGACAAAAGGUCCUUUCAGAUUUAGACACGUUUUCUGCAUAAUAGCUUGUUCCUUUUCCGUAGAGCCGCUCCCUUUCCAUGCUUUAGAUGUCCUGCAGUUAAUCCUAUUUGCAAGUGGCUCAUGUCUUUGUUCUACAUAUUCAAAUAAACAUAUUAGUAACCUUCAUUAUUUUGCCACCUUCCAAACAUCACAUGGUUUUCUAAAAAAUAUCGGCCUGCCUGAUAGGCAUUAAGGAUAUAUAGGAUCACAAUAAUUACGCCUGGGAAAUAAUCCGCUGCAUUCAAUGUUCAUUGGAUUCGUGUGUGCAUAUGUUACUAUUGUGUAUAAGCAGAGAUGUUGGAUAUUUGUUCCUUUAUGCUAACAGAACCAGUCUUUGGUGCCAGUGAGUUUUGGUUUGACUAGGUUGUCUAUAUGACAAGCCAUUUAGUAAUGUGACUUCACUCCUAUUAGCCUUUGGGGUGCAUAAAUCUUCUCAGCUUUAGCAACAAGCUAAUAGUUUUCUAUCAGUUUUCCUCUCUUAAUUGAUUCAAUCCGUGGAUAACAGCCCUUGUGAAGAGAUAAAAUGCAGUAAAGUUUUAUACAUACUUUUCUUAGGGGCAUCCUUUCGUUCUGCUUUAUCUGGUUUUCAACAUGAUUCUAUUACAACCAGACACUCGAUACUUCAAAGACUUUAAAACCUUCCCCUCCUUUCCAGGUGCUUGUAGUCCAAGAGAAGGGUGGAAAGCGUGUAUGGAAGCUCCCCACUGGAGUUGUUAACGAGGUAUGUUUAAGAAAUCAAGUACUACAUCAGAAGUAUCAAUACAUGUUGCGAUGGUUUGACCAUGACUCUAUACCUGUAGGGCGAGGAUAUAUGGUGUGCAGCUGUGAGAGAAGUAAAGGAAGAGACAGGAGUAAGUGACGAGUUUUAUGUUGUGUAGAAAAGCUAAUUCUAUAAGGCAUUCACUUGAGAACUCCAACUAAAGCCUUAUUCUUAUAUGUUCUACAGGUAGACACUGAAUUCGUUGAGGUCCUCUGUUUUAGGUAAAAGGAAUCCUCUAUUUCAGAUUGUGGUGCAUUAAUAUGCUUUGGUCUUUGUUUUAGAGCCUUCUUCUAUGUUUAGCCUUCUGAUCUUCGAAUUCACUUUCACUUCUCUAAAACGCUCUCUUAUGUUCGAUCACAGGCAAAGCCACCAAGCAUUCUUCACAAAAUCAGAUUUGCUCUUCCUGUGCGUGCUUCGGCCUAAAUCAACUUUAAUCGAGAAACAGGAAGUAGAGAUCGAGGCGGCUGAGGUACAUUCGCACUUGCAGAUCUUCUUGAUUUUGGUAGAAGCACGAAGACUUUACUGAUUAAUCUUUGCUUGGGCUGUCUUGUACUAUACUGGACUGCAUGCUUCAAUCUUGCAUUCUUGCUCAUUUUUAGCUGAACAAUGAAUCUAGUAAAAUUAGAUGGACGAUCUUCUACGAUUUUAAGCACAUCAGCGACUAGCUACUUCACUGAAUGUCUGUUCAAGAAAUGAGCAAGAAAUUGAGGCUACUGAGGUAAUUCACCGACCUGAAGAAUCCUUUCUACCUAAGAUCCAAAAGGUCAAGCACAAUAUACUUCUCAACGGCUCGUAAACCUCGAAUAUAGUGUUCUGGCAAGCUGAUCAGUUCUGUCCGUCCAUAGAAUGAGUUUAUCGAACAAUUUCCCCCUGUUCACAGUUUCACUUCAGUGUGUUAUUUAAGGUUUUGAGUACGCCAUAUGAGUAGUCUUUCAAUUGCGCAGUGGAUCCCGAUCGAGGAGUAUGUACAGCAGUAUCCUCCCGAGAAAAAGGACCAGUUCUAUGAGAUGGCACAGAUAUGCUGGGAGAAGGCAAAGGGUCAGGGCUGUCCCGGUUUCACACACUUUAAGAGCAAAACGGGUAGCGGAAAGCCUUGUUACAUAUACUCGAACAAGCCUGGAAAGCUGUAGUAGCACUAGCAGCAUCUGAAGCUUACUUCGGUUUCUGCUUAUGCCACGAAAUUAAUACAUCAAUCUAAACUAUAUGCGUCUCCUUUCUCUUCGCUUGUAUUAUCUGUCUUUGUAUUCCCCAAAAUAAAAUUUCCUCUGGGAAGGAAAGAGGCAGCGUUUGUAAUAUAUUUCAUGAUUAUUCCUGGUUUUAAAUGUUGGAAUCUUUCUCCCANNNNNNNNNNNNNNNNNNNNNNNNNNNNNNNNNNNNNNNNNNNNNNNNNNNNNNNNNNNNNNNNNNNNNNNNNNNNNNNNNNNNNNNNNNNNNNNNNNNNCUGGCCAAUGCCGAUACCCGCUGAGAGCUAGGCCUUAUCAGUGAAUGUCACUGCCUCUCUCUGGCGAGUCGAGGGCGUGAUCUAAGGCUAUGACCACCGAUCCGAUAGUAUGAUGAAAUAAAUCUAACAGCUAACGAUCGUCAAAUGAAUUAACAAAUCGACAACAGCUUGGGAUCGUUAGAACAGCUAUGAGGUUAAAGGUUUUCCGUCACAGGUUGCUAUAGGAGAGUAAAAGUCACAUAAAAAAAUUCAAUCUUCUAAUGGUUAUUGCAGGACUUCUCCUACUCAGUUAUUUAAUUCAGUAAAUUCCAUCAAAUUAUAUUGUCAUUAAACGGAACAGCUUAUUGUGAAUAAAAAAUAACAUUUACAGACAGUAUAAACACAUAGAUCGAUCCAAAAUUUUUCCAGAGGUAGAAAAAAAUAAAGCCAAUGUGUCAACCAUCGAGGUAAAAGUCAAUUUUUGAUAGACUCUUGUCAUGAGUGUUUUAUUCUUCGUUUGUUUUCGGCAAAAUUUUCUAACAAUGCACUUAGAAACAAACCAUGUCAACUGGUUAUGUAAAGUUGCCAUGAUAGGUUUGCAGCAACGUAGUAUUCUCUCAUCUAUUUGUUGUUUCAUUGUGAAGGAAAUGUUAGUUAUGAAUAAAUCUCUACUUGUAAAGGAAUUGGAGUUUAUGUGAUGCUAGAUAUGUAUGAGGAUAUAUAUGGUUGUUUUUCUAUACCCUUUCGAUAUAUAUAUAUUUAUGCCAAUAGGUAUGUAAAUUAAAUUCCCACUUUCACUUUCCCCAUGUCUCGUGAGAUUUAUGUACUGAUCAAUAAAAAUCCUUGUUAAAGUCAGAGCAGGAGCUCGAACAUUCUCUUGCGUUGGCCACCUGUAAGUCAAAUGAUCUUGGUCAAACCAAUCUUAUCAUAAAGGAGAGGAAGGGAGGGAGUACACGUUGUUGUUAGUUCCUAAGUCGCUCAUGGAGUUCGGUGAACACUGAUUGUAAUAACAGGCCCAGUAAAAAGCCCAGCCAACCCAUGUCUCUUAUAAGCCAAGCCCAAGACCAAUCCUCUUUUUCUCUCUUCUUAUUUGAGCUCGUGCAUUCGAAGAGGAGACGAAGAAGCUGGAGCAGAAAACGAGGAGGAGGGAAAGAGAAAAAGAAGAAAAUGCCAAAAAAAAAAAAAAAUGGUCACAUGGAGACGCUCUAGAAACCUCAACUAGCCAAAUAAACUACGAAUCGUAACGCCUGAUAAGUUAUCAAGCUGAUUAUUCAUCUAAUCGGAGUAAUUUUGGGAAGAUAGAGCACACACUUUGAGUUAUGUAGAUCUGAACUAUGAGGCUCACAUAAGGAGCUUUUCAGCUGCGAUUUUAUGGACAUGGCAGUCUCAUGCAUUGCGGAUCUUUGGGUUUUGACAAAUUUUGAUUCGGAGCUACAAAACAAAUUUUUGAAGUUCGCUUUUGAGUUAUGCAUGUGCGGACAAUUCAUGUUAUGGAGAANNNNNNNNNNNNNNNNNNNNNNNNNNNNNNNNNNNNNNNNNNNNNNNNNNNNNNNNNNNNNNNNNNNNNNNNNNNNNNNNNNNNNNNNNNNNNNNNNNNNNNNNNNNNNNNNNNNNNNNNNNNNNNNNNNNNNNNNNNNNNNNNNNNNNNNNNNNNNNNNNNNNNNNNNNNNNNNNNNNNNNNNNNNNNNNNNNNNNNNNNNNNNNNNNNNNNNNNNNNUGAUAUAUUAUUAAUUAUGAAUAAGUGUGUUUGUUGUAUAUCUAUUUGGAUUAAACUUUUACUACCUUUUGGUAUUUGUGGGAAAGUGAGAUUCUUUUGCUGUAGAUUGCUAUUUUCUUGAUGAACGAAGUUGAUAUAUUAUAUGUAUUACACUUGCAAUGUCUUUAAAAAAAAGCUCUUGACUUUGAGUAUGGUUUAUGGAAUGUAUAUAAUAAUUUGUGAAGUGCUUUAUGACAUGCAUUGAUUCGAUUCAGGUUUAUGAGAUGAACUUUGAAAUAAUUUAAGGACUAUUUAUCCUAACUUUACCAAGCAGAGUAUUGAUACAUCUAAACUCUCUGGUAAUCUUGGAGUCACUUCUGUUUUGGCUUCUGUUUUUCCUUCCCUCCCUAUUACAAUAGGAUCAUAUGUUUGGACGUAGUCAACAGUAAAAUGGUUAUGGGAAAGAGCAGAUAUAGUAUGUAGAGACAGAAAUACAACAAGGACAGCGUUGGCUCAAACCAAAACAACGAACAAAAGCAAGAUAUGAUUAUCUGCUGCAACAAAACGCACACAAAACAAAGAAAAUGGUUCUUGUACUGCUCCUUAGUUUUUCUCUUCUUUUUUGCCAUUGUUGUUCCAUAUAUAUUUAAACAGAUGGUCUGCUUGUAUUGUGUAGUCAUCAGCAUUUCGCUGGAUGUUUGUAAGUGGCCAUGGUGAAUUCGGAGUGAUGAAAGACAUUGAGUCCUCUCUCAGUGUAUUUCACCGGGUAAUUGCCCGUGAGAGAAUUCUUCUCCAUUUCCAUCACUUCUUGCAGCUUAAUCUUCAAUGGAGCCAUGGUCAAUGUACAGUCAUUUUAAAGAUGACCAAGCUAUAGGAUUAUUUUGCUCAUUGAUGUAGUUCAGUGUCUCCACUCAAUUCGUGCUUUAUUGCCGUUCCACAGCAGAACACCAAACAAAAAGGUAACUGCCAAUUCUAAACAUCGCGAUGCAGUGAAAGUGCAGUAACCAUUUAUACUUAGGAAUGCAAAAUCAUAGUUUGAAUGGAUUAAUAAUUCCAGGGAUUUUUUUUCAUACAUACACCUGCAUAAAUUAUCGAUUACACAGGCUGCGUAGAAAACAACCAUUAGAAAUUAGAAUAAAAUAAGUGAUUCUGCUUCCCAAAAUAGCCCCCCAAAAGCAAUACUAAUAUAACCAGACUACGUAAACAAAACUUUAUAAAAACUCCUACCUCAGGACAGAAGAUGUUUUAUUUUUUUGUCAGUUAGGACAGAAGAUGUUUCGUGCUAUUUAUUCAGCUCAUCCAUGACCCAAGAAGCAAAAGUUCAUGCAGCAUCCCCACCGAGAACUUUUUGCCUAGUCCCCCCCGUCCAUUGGACCAACUCCUUCCCAACCGUUGAUUUUGAGUCCCACAAAAUCAGCAGUAGGGAUCUACGCGGUCCAAUAGGUCCCGGUCUGGGGAAGAAGUUCCACAUCACAACCUAGGAACUACAUAAAACUUGCGAAGAUCUCCACAACUCUGGGGUCAUUAUUGCAGUACACGUAAGACCUUUUGCACUCCAAGUCGUCGUCGCCAAAGGAGCCAUACCAGGCUAGAACUAAGGAAUGAUCAUCUCUUUUAACACCCCUAGUAAAGAGGUGGAUCUCAACAGUCAUUUAGUGAAGUAAUUCGUUGUUGAUGUGCUUAAGAAAUUAUACGUCAUAUUUUAUUAGAUUCAUUGUUCAGCAUGCAAAAAUGCAAGAUUAAAGCCCGCAUCCCGGUAUUGUGCGAAGCAGCCCGAGCAAAGAUUUUUACAGGGUUUUCUUAGUGAGGAUGAUAUUGAAUCAAUAGACGGUGGUCCCACUAAUUCUUUAGAUUCCGGCAAGGAGAGAAUCUAUUGAAGGGAAGCAGAGCCUUUCGUGACAACCCCAUUGAUAGUUCAAAGGCUUUCUUUGGAGCAGCCAUCAUGUGCUUAAUUAAGUUCCCAACUAAUCUAUCUUUGAAUAAUUAAAAAGAGAUAAGUGUCCUAUAAAUAAAUAAAAAAACUUUUAAAAAGUAUAAUUAAAUUCUAAAACUUAUUAAAUUAGUGCAAUCAAGUCUUCACAUUCACUCCAUCCAACUUGACAAACAGAAAAAGGAUCCGGAGUAAAAGAAAGGACACAAAAGUAAGCAACUAACGUGUCGACGAAAAACAAGUAAUAUACUAGUUGGCCGAGAUUUAUUUAUUUAUUUAUUUAUUUGAGAAGUACACCAAAGUUGUCCGUGGAGAACUUUUUUUAUUACAUGGGGUUUUAGAGAAAUUGAGAUAUAUAGAACCGCAUGUGGUCUACUACAGCCACACGCGUUUUAAGAAAUGUUGGGAUUGUAUAGAAUGGGGAUCGUCUUAAAAAAAAAACAAUGUUUGAACGCUCCCCUAUAUAAACAUCGACCUCUUCCCCAUUCAUUCACAAAACCAUUCAAGCUGUGUCUGUCAUUACAUAUUUUUUUCCGUCACUUUCUUAUUGGCCUUUUAUCUUCCGAAGUCACCAUGGUACUCUCCAAAACCUCCUCCGAGUCCGACGUCUCCGUCCACUCGACCUUCGCGUCUUUCAAUGUCCGGAGCUCGCUCCCGAGGUCAGUCUUGAGGCUGAGAGCUUGUUUCGGUCGAACUCUGAUGGGUUUGUGAGACUGCGCGUGAUGUUGUGAAAGGGCUAAGAGCAAUGUUGUGCGCAGGUUUAAGAUGCCAUUUCCCCAGUCAGAUACAAAGUCCAUCGGUGCAUCAUCAGGUUUGAGGCAAGGCAUGGCUGGAAAUGACGAUGGUGGGAUCCAGCAGAUUCAACUGCCCGGUUGGCGUGAGCAUGCAUCUGGAGGAGUCACUGUGGUGAUGAAGGAGCGUAUGGAUGCUGGCGUCUUUGCCCGUUGGCUCCGAGCUUCAAUAUCAACCUGGAAACAACAGGUACUGAACUUGUGUUUGAUUGGUCUUGUCUAUUUUUUUGCUUUGUUCUACUCCUUUUGUUCUUAUCUGGUAUCUUUUAUUUGCAGGGGAAGAAGCUUCUCUGGAUCAAAUUGCUCACUGAAUAUUCACAUCUUUUCGGUAUUGUAUUGGAGGUACAUUUAUAUCUUUCUUCUUGGCUAAGGAUUUGUAUUGGCACAUGUGACAUUAUGUUCAACUCCAUCGUCCAUACUUAUUAAAUCUCUUUCCAGCAAAAGUUUGAUUGGUUGAGGUAUGAAAUAGACGGUUGAUUGCAAUAUUGUCUGGUACUUUGGCAGGAAGGAUUUAGGUACCACCAUUCUGAAGCGAGUUACUUGGUGUUUGCCCCCUGGCUUCCUGUGAUCCCCAAUCUUAUUCCUGUGAAUGCUUGCCAUGGGGUGCGUGCUAUUGCUUUUGUCUUGAAUGAUGAAAGAGAGGUAACUUUCUGGCUUGCCAUUGUCUCAUUUCUUGCAUUCGCCCUUUUAGGACUAUCUAAUAGGAAGAUGAUGCAGAGAGAUGAAAUGUAACAUUCAAUUUGCUCAUUCAGUAUUUGUUAGAAGUUCAAGCUCGGACUCUAGCACUGGACACUUCUCCCUGAGGCAGUAACUAAAACUAGAGAUUUGCAGCGUGUGAAAUCCGCUGCUUGAUAGGCAUUGAAUCCUUUAGAAGGAUAGAUAGGAUCACCAGUAAUUUUGCCUGGGAAGAAAUCCUUAACAAUCAACGUUCAUUGGAUUGGUGUUUGUAUAUGUUACCAUCAUUGAUAAGCAGAGAUGUUGGAUUUUUUAACCUUUUACCUAACAGAACCAGCCUUCGGUGCCAAUGCCUUUCCUGUAAUCUUUUGGUUUGACUAGCAUAUCUAAACGACGAGCUGUUUAGUUACAUGACUUAAGUACAAUGAACCUUCUCAUCUUUAGCAUCAAUCUAUGAUUUUCCGUCUGUUUUCCUCUCUUAAGUGAUUCAAUCCCUCAAUCACAGCCUUACUUCAUGAAUAGAUAAAAUAAAGCAAAAUUUUAAUUUGCUUCCCUUCGGUGCAUGCUUUCGCUCUGUUUUAUCAGGUUUUCAAUGUGAUUUUAAUACAACCACACACUCAACACUUCAAAGAACUUAAAACCUUCAACCCCUUCUCUUUCUAGGUGCUUGUUGUCCCAGAGAAUAGUGGAAGGUUCAAAGGUACGCGGAAGCUCCCUACUGGAGUUGUGAAUGAGGUGAGUACGUUCAAGAUAUCAAGUGCUGCGUCAGAAUUAUCAAUAUGUAUUGCAAUCGUUUGACUGUGACUCUAUCCCAGUAGGAUGAAGAUAUAUGUCAUGCAGUUGUCAGAGUAGCAAAGGAAGAGACAGGAGUAAGUAAUGAGUUUUAUGUUGUGUCGAAAAGCUAAUUCUCUGAGGCAUUUCACUUGAGAAUUCCAACUGAAGCCAUAUUCUUUUACAUUAUAUAGGUAGACACUAAAUUCGUUGAAGUCCUCUAUUUCAGGUAAAGAAACCCUCUACUUCAGAUUGCGGUGCAUUAAUGUGUUUUGGUCUUCAUUUAGAGCCUUUUUCCAUGUUUAGCCUUCUGAUGUUCAAAUUUGCAUUCUCUUUUCUAAAAUACUAUCUCUUAUGUGCUAUCGCAGGUGAUUCAAUGUUAUAUCAUUCGAACUUGUUUUCACCCCCAAAAUGUUGAUUUUGAACUUGAACAUAGAAUAGCCCCGUGGCUAAUGGCUAGGUUGAAUAGGACUUUAAUGUUCUAAUAACUACUUUGAUGUUUGAGAAAUCCUUAUCAUCGAUAAGAUGCAAUAAAUGAUGGAGAAGACCCUCUCUCGUUGGCACACCCUGCCUUAGAGUCCACGUCUCAUUGGGACAAAAUUGAAUCACGGAAUGAGGUUGCUCAACGUAUGGGAUUCAGAGAAAAUUUCUAAAUAAAAUUUGCCAAGUUUCGGCAGGAAUUGACGCUGUUCUUGCAUAUCUCUCUUCAAUUAUUUUCCAGUGGAUGAUCUCAUGCUGAUUCCAGAUGAAGUCGAAUGCAAGCACCUCCUCACCGCAUGAUCAAUCAGCCCUUUCUCCCUUCUUCUACCACCAAAUAAUAAAAUAUGAUCUCCAUUAUAUUGAGUCUUUGGAAGCUAAGAAAGUACUAAGCUUUCUGCAAUAAAAUGGAGUUUCUGUCAUCAAAAUGACGUAAAGUGGGUCCUGUUCUAAAGUUUAUUUGCCCUUUCUAUUAUUUUCCGUUACCCUGCAACUUUAAUUUAAGGGAAAGUCAACCCUCCAGAUCAAAAUGCUGAUUCAAACGCGAAAAUCCUGUUAAACUUGCUCGAAAGGUACUUAAUAAAUAUUUUGCCAGGAUUUCCUUUGACUUGGUUUGUACUUAGCUGCUCAUUAUUUUUCAUGGUUGCCUUCCAGGAAGGACCAUUAUCUGAAGCUUCAUAGGUCAUCAACAUAUUUGUUUCACAAACACCCGUUUCUUAUUGUUGCUCUUAUAGUCUUUAUUGACUGUUUCUCUGUCACAAAACAAACUUAUCGUACUCCCCCAGAAAAACGUCUUGCUCAUGAACUCUCCCAGUUCAUGGCUGUAAUUGUAACACUCCAAAACCAUCGAGAAUAAAGAUGACACGGCUGUCCUUUCAUCUGAAAGACGUAGUCUCAAACCCAAAAAAAUCCAAGUUAAUAUCGUUUCGCAUUACUUAUUGCUAGACAUGGUUGUUGCCAGACUGACUAGCGUUGUUGUGGAUUCAACGUUGUCAUUCCCGCUCGUGAUCUCGGCCAUCUUCACUCUUGUCCAGUACCUUCAAAACGUAGCUGGUUUUGUUCUCCUUUUGCAGGUUACCGAAAGUCAAUCUAACGCUCGGGAGCUUUGUAGUCUGGCUUUCGCCGAGUCGGUGAGUUUCUAAGAAUAAGCAAAAUUCCGCGAUUUCGACGAACGUGUCCAGCAUCUCAAUUGCGCCGGUUCAUCCUUGGCCGUGAGCCCAAGAGUUGGAUUUUGUCCCAUUAUCGCAACCUCCCGCCCAAGGUCGAGAAUACCAAAGUCAAAGAAACCAAUGGCCACGUGAUCCGAAGUAGAGAACUCCAAAAGUAAAAAGACAACAACAAGGAAGGCGGAAAUUGGAGAUUUCGGUCACAUUGAGCAACGUGACAUCUGUAAAUCAAAACACUUCCGUCGCCGCUGCCAAAACCUAAAACACACACCACAAAAUCUUGCCGACAAGGAAUGUGCUUAGUUCGUCAGCAAGAUUUUGAGGAAGCACAAGAACAAAAGGAGUUUAUUUCUCCACAUAGUAAUCAAUUAAGUUAUAGACACCGACAUGUGCAACCGAUACUCAAGCCUCGAUGGCACAUGUCAUCACAGUGAUUCAGAUCUCCAGCUAAAUAAACAGAUGAAUAGCUCAGCAAUUGGGUGCGCAUGCCAUAAACGAUUCAGAUCAAGUAUGGAGGUAUCACAUGGUGAAGAUGAGACAGAGGAUCAUCUAUCUUAUGGAUAAUGAAAGGGGCAUUAAUUUUGCCUCUUAGGGAAAUGUCCCACUGCAGGAAACUGCUCUGAAAAAUAGUCAAGCCGGCUGAACCUGUUCGCACUCGAAAAAGUCUAAAAUUCAAGAACACUUCUAGCAAAGCUAGCUAAAGUUCAACUAUUCAUGAACGUAAUCAAGACACCAUGCGUGAUGGAUUUUGUACUCCAGCAGGAUAAGGAAGGACCUCGAGAGAAUCCAUGGCCUCAAAAGGCAUCAUGACAUGAGAGCUCAUCGAAAUAUGAGACUGAAUGAAAACUGCUGUCCCUAGAGCCAGCAAAUAAGGUAAGAUCCUGAAGUUUAUCACUAUUUCCAAGCAUGGUUAUUGGUUGCUCAAUAAGCUCCAACACAAAACAACUUAUGUUAAGCAAACCCGGCAUAAGGAAAUAUAAGAAUAUGCCUUCCAAUAAAGCGGAAUAACCACUGGGAUUCGCCCCAGUGGCCACCCUUCCAAUAUGAAAGGAGGAGGUGAGGGUUCAAAUCCUUACCUUCUUAGGGGGAUGGGGUGGAGACGCGUAAGUUUCAAGAGUGAGUUUCGACUCCCACGUCCUGCAAAAGGCAGGGCAAAAGUCUGAGAGUGAGUAUAGAGUAUGAAUAGAGUAUGACUGACAAAAAUAAAAAUAAAAAUAAAGCGGAAUCGGAUUUAUUGGAAAAUUCUUAACUGAAACGGAUUAAAGGAAAGCAAUGGAAGUUGAAAAGUGCCGUUGUAUGUAUAUUUUCUUAAGCAAGUGUUUUUCAGCAGAAGAAAAAGCUUUAAUACAGUGUUGUGCACAUGAACGUAUCCAUGCCCAUGACUAAACUCAUUUGUGAUCAUCGACACAAUAUUUCCAAUAUCAAAUGAGUAGAGACAGAGCUGAAAGAGGUCAAAACAGCUAAGAGUGCCUUAAGAUCAUUAGCUGGUCAUCAUAUCUACCGAUAGAUGCCAAAAGUUUGCAAAACUAUUUGCAAAAGUUGAAGAGAGUUUCUGCAGGUUAGUGAACCUCAGGAUUAAAUCAAAGGGAAUUGUGCAAAAGAGAAUGCCUAAUAGACGUCUAAAAAAUUAUCCCGAAAGGCAAUAAUUUUCUAAUGAGCAGCACUUCUGAUAACAACAGAACCACAGACAAAAAAUCUCCUAAGCAUUUAAAGCACAUGAAGAACAUUGACAAAUGGGAGAUUAUUCUAAUUAUGUGAUGGGCACUUCUAAAUACAAGCAUGAUCACCCAUUUCAUGUAUGCAAGACAGAAAAUACAUACAACAGCCUACACAUAUACAUAACAACAAUCUAAUUGCGAUGGGUCUGCAUUGCCCAAUCAAGUUAAAUGCAGUAAGCACGGACGGUGUUUUAUUUUCCGAACUACGCCUCGCUACUCUGCUUUGUUGUCAGCAUACUUAGUCAUAUGAAGAAGCCUGUAAAGAAGUUUAAUCUAUUCAACCGAGUAUGGUAUCUCGAAACACAAUUAAAGGGAGAUCAUAAUGCACGAAGCAUAGCAUAAAUUACCCAAAAUAUGCUCUGCCGGUUCAUCUUCGGCCCCUAUUUUCAGAUUUACAUGUACUACUUGCAAUUGCCGAACAAUUAAAAAACCAAACUUCUUUACAAAGCAAACACCCAGCAGGGAAAGUAAAUUUAGAUCAACAAACAAAAAAAAUCGAACAAUAACUUUGUCCCUUUUCCCAAUUCGAUACUUUUCGCUUUCCGGUACCUACUAACCAAAUUUUACCUCUAGUUGAUGUGUGAAAGCGCCCGAUGCUUACGAGCCUCCAUAGGCCUUCAAGCAUCACGACUUCCGGCUCGGGAACACCUUCUAUCUCCGGGACGUACGCCUUCAAUAUCAAAGUUCUCAGGGUGAAGACACCGAGAACUUCCAGAGCAUGACAAUUUGGUUGAGAGAGAGAGACAGAGAGACCUCCGGCUCAGAAAACGGGCAAGAUGUUCUACCUCAGCGCAAACUAUCUCUGCAGAAGUGAUAAACACAAACUUCAUUGUCGAAACAAAAUAGGCCACGAAACUCAUUAACUUUCGAACAUGGCAAGUUCAUACAGAGACAGCAACAUAAUCCUAAGUUCUAGAACAGAGAGAGAGACCUUGGCCAGAGCUUCGGCCAAAAGGUAAGCAUCCGGCGUGAGCCCCACCAACCAUAAACCAGGAAAGACAAUCUGCAAGCGAAAACCAAAUGAAACAAAGAGAAAAUUCAUCGUACGAAAGAGGAAUGAAUAUCCCACAGAAGAACAUACAUCAAGCUGUUUCUGCUCGUUUUUGGGCCUCCUCCUUGGCCUCCGGGCAGGCUCGACCCCGUCGUGAUGAAAUGUCCUCCUCGAUCUCCUCCUUCGACGGCGAUAUCCAGAACUUCAUCUUCUUCUCCUUCCUCUCGCCCUCCCCCAAGAAGCCUUGUAACCGUACAGAUUUCGACUGCGGCUGCAACUGCUGCUGCUGCUGCGCGGCGUAAUUCUCCUUGUCCCCGCCGAGCGCGUCGCCCGCGGCGUCGUGAAUCGCCUCGCCGUUCCUCAACGACAGCGGCGGAGGGUUCCCCGCCCUCCUCGGCCUCAGAUUCCACGGUCGCCGCGCCGCUUCGGCCUCCUCCGCCUUCCCGUCCUCGCUCGCGCCGCCGCCGCCUCCUCCGCCGGCCGCGCGGCUUGGGCGCUCCCCCUCCGGAGGCGGGGGCCGCUCCUGGGGUGGGGGUGGGAUGCGCUGAGAAAAGGAAACAGAGGGGAGGUGCAGCUCGUUCUCUGAUCUUCACGAGGAGAGAGAGGAAAUCCAAAAUAUUCAGAGAGAGAAAUUUUAAGCGGGAGUUGUCCUUUCUUCUUCUGCCAGUCCACCUGAGCCGAGCCGAGCCACCAGCUCAGAGUUAUUUCGGAGAGAGGAGAGAGAGACAGAAGCGGAGCCACGUGUCGAUCGGUGAGUGAUCUUACCCUACGCCUACGUGGAGGGUAAGACCCACCUAAUAUUUUCUCGUAAUGUACAAUAAGGACAAAAGAAAUCAUGAAAAGAAUUGACUUUGAUAAACUAAAAUCAAGUCGUCGUGUUCUUUCUCAUCAAUUUAAGAAAUCAUUAAAAAGAAUUGACUUUGAUAAACUAAAAUCAAGUCGUCGUCGUUCUUUCUCAUCAAUUUCUUGUGCUAAGUCUACUUGGUUUAGGUGCCUACUGUUAAUUUGAUUAGGCAUGAUGUUCGGUCCUUGUGCUAUAAAUUCAAUUGAUGAAAUGCUUUUCCAUGCACUCCACUUUUCUUCUAAACUCUAAGAGUGCUACAUCUCCUACAUCUCAUUCAUGUCGGCCAGUUCACCAUCGGCUGCAAGCCAAAAGAAGACCGAUGGCAGUACUAGUCAGGUUCAUGUCUUCAGUGGAAACAGGUUUGAAGGACUAACAGUGGAGAUCAAGGAGACCAUGGACGCCGAGAUCUUCGCUUGCCGCCUCAGAACUUCAGUUGAUGAAUGGAAGAAACAGGUGCGGAAUAAUGUUUUGUUUUUCACACGCCAAAACCUACAACAAUUUGGACUUUCCUCCACACCUGAGACAGCAUAAACCAGGCCAGAUUUUCCGCACGCUUUUUAGUCGCAUAUACCGUUUGGGCUCUGAAUAAAUUCAUGAUUUCAAACUUCUCUUGCCUCUUUUAUUGUGUCCUCCUGAAUUGUAGGGGAAGAAGGGCAUCUGGAUCAAAUUGCCCAUUGAACAUGUCAACCUUGUUGAAUCUGCAGUGAAGGUACAUGACGUUUUAUGUUGCCAGGGAUAAACGAAAUUAUUUUGGCUAAUGAGAGAACACAGAGUACAUUCUUACACGUUAACUUGGAAAGAAAUACAAGUGAAGUAAGUGGUAAUAACAUAUGAUUCAUGCCUUCUAAUUUUUUUUCACAGGAAGGAUUUAAGUGCCGCGCUGAAGAAAAUUACUUGAUGCUGACCCAUUGGCUUGCUCCCGAGGACAAUACAAUGCCUAUUUAUGCCUCACAUAGCAUUGGCGUGGGUGCUUUUGUCAUGAAUGAUGAUGGAAAGGUAAUGACCAUAAUGCUUUUGGCGGAUUCCAACACUUGAGGGCCACUAAAACACCAACUUGAGUCGAAUUCAGACUGAUAAGGAAUUGGGUCUUCCCACCAGGAUUGGCUCAUGUGGUUGUAGUAUAUGCUACUUCUGCAAAAUGUCCUUUGAUACUUUUCGCUAAUUUGCGUUAUAUGGCCCGUUUACCUUAUGUUUCUUCCAGGCAAAUUGACUUCCUCAUGUUCUAUAAAACCUUCACCUUCCGUUGGUCCAUCUAAGCAUUUAGUGAACCCAUGCUUUACAGCUUGUUCUCGACAAAAGGUCCUUUCAGAUUUAGACACGUUUUCUGCAUAAUAGCUUGUUCCUUUUCCGUAGAGCCACUCCCUUUCCAUGCUUUAGAUGUCCUGCUGUUAAUCCUAUUUGCAAGUGGCUCAUGUCUUUGUUCUACAUAUUCAAAUAAACAUAUUAGUAACCUUCAUUAUUUUGCCACCUUCCAAACAUCACAUGGUUUUCUAAAAAAUAUCGGCCUGCCUGAUAGGCAUUAAGGGUGGAGCUGUGAGAGAAGUAAAGGAAGAGACAGGAGUAAGUGACGAGUUUUAUGUUGUGUAGAAAAGCUAAUUCUCUAAGGCAUUCACUUGAGAACUCCAACUAAAGCCUUAUUCUUAUAUGUUCUACAGGUAGACACUGAAUCGUUGAGGUCCUCUGUUUCAGGUAAAAGAAAUCCUCUAUUUCAGAUUGUGGUGCAUUAAUAUGCUUUGGUCUUUGUUUUAGAGCCUUCUUCUAUGUUUAGCCUUCUGAUUUUCGAAUUUGCUUUCACUUCUCUAAAACGCUCUCUUAUGUUCGAUCACAGGCAAAGCCACCAAGCAUUCUUCACAAAAUCAGAUUUGCUCUUUCUGUGCGUGCUUCGGCCUAAAUAAACUUUAAUCAGAUUUGCUCAUUCUUCACAGCAUCCGAGGCUUACUUCGGUUUCCGCUUAUGCCACGAGAUAAAUACAUCAAUCUUAAGCUAUAUGCGUCUCCUUUCUCUUCACUUGUAUUAUCUGUCAUUGUAUUCCCCAAAAUAAAAUUUCCUCUGGGAAGGAAAGAGGCAGUGUUUGUAAUAUAUUUCAUGAUUAUUCCUGGUUUUAAAUGUUGGAAUCUUUCUCCCAUGUUCGUUCUGGCCAAUGCCGAUACCCGCCGGACCUAGGCCUUAUCAGUGAAGGUCACUGCCUCUCUCUGGCGAGUCGAGGGCGUGAUCUAAGGCUAUGACCACCGAUCCGAUAGUUGGAUAAAAUGAAUCUAACAGCUAACGAUCGUCAAAUGAAUUAACAAAUCGACAACAACUUAGGAUCGUUAGAACAGCUAUGAGGUUAAAGGUUUUCCGUCACAGGUUGCUAUAGGAGAGUAAAAGUGACAUAAAAAAAUUCAAUCUUCUGAUGGUUAUUGCAGGACUUCUCCUACUUAGUUAUUUAAUUCAAUAAAUUCCAUCAAAUUAUAUUGUCAUUAAACAGAACAGCUUAUUGUAAAUAAAAAAUAACAUUUACAGACAGUAUAAACACAUAUGGAUCGAUCCAAAAUUUUUCCAGAGGAAGAAAAAAAAUAAAGCCAAUGUGUCAACCAUCGAGGUAAAAGUCAAUUUUUGAUAGACUCUUGUCAUGCGUGUUUUAUUCUUCGUUUGUUUUCAGCAAAAUUUUCUAACAAUGCACUUAGAAACAAACCAUGUCAACUGGAUAUGUAAAGUUGCUAUGAUAGGUUUGCAGCAACGUGCUAUUCUCUCAUCUAUUUGUUGUUUCAUUGUGAAGGAAAUGUUAGUUAUGAAUAAAUCUCUAUUUGUAAAGGAAUUGGAGUUUAUGUGAUGCUAGAUAUGUACGAGGAUAUAUAUGGUUAUUUUUCUAUACCCUUUUGAUAUAUUUUUGUUAUGCCAAUAGGUAUGUAAAUUAAAUUCCCACUUCCACUUUCCCCAUGUCUCGUGAGAUUUAUGUACUGAUCAAUAAAAAUCCUUGUUAAAGUUAUAAAGGAAACUGUUAACUUCAGAGCAGGAGCUCGAACAUUCUCUUGCGUUGGCCACCUGUAAGUCAAAUGAUCUUGGUCAAACCAAUCUUAUCAUAAAGGAGAGGGAGGGAGGGAGCACACGUUGUUGUUAGUUCCUAAGUCGCUCAUGGAGUUCGGUGAACACUGAUUGUAAUAACAGGCCCAAUAAAAAGCCCAGCCAACCCAUGUCUCUUAUAAGCCAAGCCCAAGACCAAUCCUCUUUUUCUCUCUUCUUAUUUGAGCUCGUGCAUUCGAAGAGGAGACGAAGAAGCUGGAGCAGAAAACGAGGAGGAGGGAAAGAGGAAAAGAAGAAAAUGCAAAAACAAAAAAAUGGUCACAUGGAGACGCUCUAGAAACCUCGACUAGCCAAAUAAACUACGAAUCGUAACGCCUGAUAACUUAUCAAGCUGAUUAUUCGUCUAAUAGGAGUAACUUUGGAAGAUAGAGCACACACUUUGAGUUAUGUGGAUCUUGAACUAUGAGGCUCACAUAAGGAGCUUUUGAGCUGUGAUUUUAUGGAAAUGGUAAUCUAAGGCAUUGUGAAUCUUUGGGUUUUGACGAAAUUUGAUUCCGAAUUACAAUUUGAUCAAAACAAAUUUUUGAAGUUCGCUUUUGAGUUAUGCACAGCGGACAAUUCACGUUAUGGAGAAGGAUGAAUGUUCAGAACAAAUUUCUGAAGUUCGCUUUUGAAGGAAGUAUUGUUUCAUUUAUAGUUUAGUUGAGUCGUUAGUUAGACCAGCAUAUUACCGGUCUUGAUAUUGUUUUCGACUAAUUGAUAGAAAUAUAAGUGCAUUGGCUUGAGCAAUUUAGGCUUUUCGGGUAAGUGGUACUUUUUCUUGUAGAUUCAUGUCUUCAAAAUGAUAAAGAUUUGAUAUAUUAUUAAUUAUGAAUAAGUAUGUUUUUUGUAUAACUAUUUGGAUUAAACUUUUACUACGUUUUGGUAUUUGUGAAUGGCGUGAGAAUCGUUUGAUGGAGAUAAAUAUUCUCUUGAUGAACGAAGUUGAUAUAUUAUAUAUAUUUUAUUUGCAAAAUCUUUUAACAAAAAGCUCUUGACUUUGAGUAUGGUUUAUGGAAUGUAUAUAAUAAUUUGCGAAGUGCUUUAUGACAUGCAUUUGAUUCGAUUCAAUUUAUAAAACGGGUUUAUGAGAUGAACUUUGAAAUAAUUAAGGACUAUUUAUCCUAGCUUUACCAAGCGGAGUAUUGAUACAUUCAAACUCUCUGGUAAUCUUGGAGUCAUUUCUGUUUUGGCUUCUGUUUUUCCUUCCCUCCCUAUUACAAUAGGAUCAUAUGUUUGGACGUAGUCAACAGUAAAAUGGUUAUGGGAAAGAGCAGAUAUAGUAUGUAGAGACAGAAAUACAACAAGGACAACGUUGGCUCAAACCAAAACAACGAACAAAAGCAAGAUAUGAUUAUCUGCUGCAACAAAACGCACACAAAACAAAGAAAAUGGUUCAUGUACUGCGCCUUAGUUUUUCUCUUCUUUUUUGCCAUUGUUGUUCCAUAUAUAUUUAAACAGAUGGUCUGCUUGUAUUGUGUAGUCAUCAGCAUUUCGCUGGAUGUUUGUAAGUGGCCAUGGUGAAUUCGGAGUGAUGAAAGACAUUGAGUCCUCUCUCAGUGUAUUUCACCGGGUAAUUGCCCCUGAGAGAAGUCUUCUCCAUUUCCAUCACUUCUUGCAGCUUAAUCUUCAAUGGAGCCAUGGUCAAUGUACAGUCAUUUUAAAGAUGACCAAGCUAUAGGAUUAUUUUGCUCAUUGAUGUAGUUCAGUGUCUCCACUCAAUUCGUGCUUUAUUGCCGUUCCACAGCAGAACACCAAACAAAAAGGUAACUGCCAAUUCUAAACAUCGCGAUGCAGUGAAAGUGCAGUAACCAUUUAUACUUAGGAAUGCAAAAUCAUAGUUUGAAUGGAUUAAUAAUUCCAGGGAUUUUUUUUCGUAUAUACACCUGCAUAAAUUAUCGAUUACACAGGCUGCGUAGAAAACAACCAUUAGAAAUUAGAAUAAAAUAAGUGAUUCUGCUUCCCAAAAUAGCCCCCCAAAAGCAAUACUAAUAUAACCAGACUACGUAAACAAAACUUUAUAAAAACUCCUACCUCAGGACAGAAGAUGUUUUAUUUUUUUGUCAGUUAGGACAGAAGAUGCUUCGUGCUAUUUAUUCAGCUCAUCCAUGACCCAAGAAGCAAAAGUUCAUGCAGCAUCCCCACCGAGAACUUUUUGCCUAGUCCCCCCCGUCCAUUGGACCAACUCCUUCCCAACCGUUGAUUUUGAGUCCCACAAAAUCAGCAGUAGGGAUCUACGCGGUCCAAUAGGUCCCGGUCUGGGGAAGAAGUUCCCCAUCACAACCUAGGAACUACAUAAAACUUGCGAAGAUCUCCACAACUCUGGGGUCAUUAUUGCAGUACAUGUAAGACCUUUUGCACUUCAAGUCGUCGUCGCCAAAGGAGCGAUACCAGGGUAGAACUAAGGAAUGAUCAUCUCUUUUAACAUCCCUAGUAAAGAGGUGGAUCUCAACAGUCAUUUAGUGAAGUAAUUCGUUGUUGAUGUGCUUGAGAAAUUAUACGCCAUAUUUUAUUAGAUUCAUUGAGGUUUAGGACUUUUUUGGUACUUUUAAAGCCCGCAGCCCAGUAUUGUGCGAAGCAGCCCGAGCAAAGAUUUUUACAGGGUUUUCUUAGUGAGGAUGAUAUUGAAUCAAUAGACGGUGGUCCCACUAAUUCUUUAGAUUCCGGCAAGGAGAGAAUCUAUCGAAGGGAAGCAGAGCCUUUCGUGACAACCCCAUUGAUAGUUCAAAGGCUUUCUUUGGAGCAGCCAUCAUGUGCUUAAUUAAGUUCCCAACUAAUCUAUCUUUGAAUAAUUAAAAAGAGAUAAGUGUCCUAUAAAUAAAUAAAAAAAACUUUUAAAAAGUAUAAUUAAAUUCUAAAACUUAUUAAAUUAGUGCAAUCAAGUCUUCACAUUCACUCCAUCCAACUUGACAAACAGAAAAAGGAUCCGGAGUAAAAGAAAGGACACAAAAGUAAGCAACUAACGUGUCGACGAAAAACAAGUAAUAUACUAGUUGGCCGAGAUUUAUUUAUUUAUUUAUUUGAGAAGUACACCAAAGUUAUCCGUGGAGAACUUUUUUUAUUACAUGGGGUUUUAGAGAAAUUGAGAUAUAUAGAACCGCAUGUGGUCUACUACAGCCACACGCGUUUUAAGAAAUGUUGGGAUUGUAUAGAAUGGGGAUCGUAUUAAAAAAAAAACAAUGUUUGAACGCUCCCCUAUAUAAACAUCGACCUCUUCCCCAUUCAUUCACAAAACCAUUCAAGCUGUGUCUGUCAUUACAUAUUUUUUUCCGUCACUUUCUUAUUGGCCUUUUAUCUUCCGAAGUCACCAUGGUACUCUCCAAAACCUCCUCCGAGUCCGACGUCUCCGUCCACUCGACCUUCGCGUCUUUCAAUGUCCGGAGCUCGCUCCCGAGGUCAGUCUUGAGGCUGAGAGCUUGUUUCGGUCGAACUCUGAUGGGUUUGUGAGACUGCGCGUGAUGUUGUGAAAGGGCUAAGAGCAAUGUUGUGCGCAGGUUUAAGAUGCCAUUUCCCCAGUCAGAUACAAAGUCCAUCGGUGCAUCAUCAGGUUUGAGGCAAGGCAUGGCUGGAAAUGACGAUGGUGGGAUCCAGCAGAUUCAACUGCCCGGUUGGCGUGAGCAUGCAUCUGGAGGAGUCACUGUGGUGAUGAAGGAGCGUAUGGAUGCUGGCGUCUUUGCCCGUUGGCUCCGAGCUUCAAUAUCAACCUGGAAACAACAGGUACUGAACUUGUGUUUGAUUGGUCUUGUCUAUUUUUUUGCUUUGUUCUACUCCUUUUGUUCUUAUCUGGUAUCUUUUAUUUGCAGGGGAAGAAGCUUCUCUGGAUCAAAUUGCUCACUGAAUAUUCACAUCUUUUCAGUAUUGUAUUGGAGGUACAUUUAUAUCUUUCUUCUUGGCUAAGGAUUUGUAUUGGCCCAUGUGACAUUAUGUUCAACUCCAUCGUCCAUACUUAUUAAAUCUCUUUCCAGCAAAAGUUUGAUUGGUUGAGGUAUGAAAUAGACGGUUGAUUGCAAUAUUGUCUGGUACUUUUGCAGGAAGGAUUUAGGUACCACCAUUCUGAAGCGAGUUACUUGGUGUUUGCCCCCUGGCUUCCUGUGAUCCCCAAUCUUAUUCCUGUGAAUGCUUGCCAUGGGGUGGGCGCUAUUGCUUUUGUCUUGAAUGAUGAAAGAGAGGUAAUUUUCUGGCUUGCCAUUGUCUCAUUUCUUGCAUUCGCCCUUUUAGGACUAUCUAAUAGGAAGAUGAUGCAGAGAGAUGAAAUGUAACAUUCAAUUUGCUCAUUCAGUAUUUGUUAGAAGUUCAAGCUCGGACUCUAGCACUGGACACUUCUCCCUGAGGCAGUAACUAAAACUAGAGAUUUGCAGCGUGUGAAAUCCGCUGCUUGAUAGGCAUUGAAUCCUUUAGAAGGAUAGAUAGGAUCACCAGUAAUUUUGCCUGGGAAGAAAUCCUUAACAAUCAACGUUCAUUGGAUUGGUGUUUGCAUAUGUUACCAUCAUUGAUAAGCAGAGAUGUUGGAUUUUUUAACCUUUUACCUAACAGAACCAGCCUUCGGUGCCAAUGCCUUCCUGUAAUCUUUUGGUUUGACUAGCAUAUCUAAACGACGAGCUGUUUAGUUACAUGACUUAAGUACAAUGAACCUUCUCAUCUUUCGCAUCAAUCUAUGAUUUUCCGUCUGUUUUCCUCUCUUAAGUGAUUCAAUCCCUCAAUCACAGCCUUACUUCAUGAAUAGAUAAAAUAAAGCAAAAUUUUAAUUUGCUUUCCUUCGGUGCAUGCUUUCGCUCUGUUUUAUCAGGUUUUCAAUGUGAUUUUAAUACAACCACACACUCAACACUUCAAAGAACUUAAAACCUUCAACCCCUUCUCUUUCUAGGCGCUUGUUGUCCCAGAGAAUAGUGGAAGGUUCAAAGGUACGCGGAAGCUCCCUACUGGAGUUGUGAAUGAGGUGAGUACGUUCAAGAUAUCAAGUGCUGCGUCAGAAUUAUCAAUAUGUAUUGCAAUCGUUUGACUGUGACUCUAUCCCAGUAGGAUGAAGAUAUAUGUCAUGCAGUUGUCAGAGUAGCAAAGGAAGAGACAGGAGUAAGUAAUGAGUUUUAUGUUGUGUCGAAAAGCUAAUUCUCUGAGGCAUUUCACUUGAGAAUUCCAACUGAAGCCAUAUUCUUUUACAUUAUAUAGGUAGACACUAAAUUCGUUGAAGUCCUCUAUUUCAGGUAAAGAAACCCUCUACUUCAGAUUGCGGUGCAUUAAUGUGUUUUGGUCUUCAUUUAGAGCCUUUUUCCAUGUUUAGCCUUCUGAUGUUCAAAUUUGCAUUCUCUUUUCUAAAAUACUAUCUCUUAUGUGCUAUCGCAGGCAAGACCGCAAAUCAUUCUUCCCAAAAUCAGAUUUGUCCUUCCUUUGUGUGCUUCAGCCACAAUCAUCUUCUAUCGAGGAAAAGAAUGUAGAGGUCAGGGCGGCCCAGGUAAAUUGCACAUUUUCAAAUCUUAUUGAUUUUGGUAGAAGUAGGGCAUCUUUUUACUAAUUAAAUCUUUGCUUGGGCUGUCUUGCACAAUACUGGCCGCGUGCUUUAGUCUUGCAUUCUUGCUCAUUUGUGCUGAACAAUGAGUCUAGCAAAAUCUGUCGUAUAAUUUUUCUUAAGCAACGAUGAGUGACUUCACUGAACGACUAUUAAGAUUCCACCCAUUUACUAGGGGUGUUUAAAGGAUGAUCAUUCAUUAGAUCUUUCGUUGGCCAAAUCUAUGAACCGAAGUAGACCAUUUUUAUAUUUUGAUUCUAGUGGAUGCCAAUUGAGGAGUACGCAGCACAACCUUUCAUUGUCAAAGACAAGCAACUCAAUUCUAUGGCGAAGAUUUGCUUGGCGAGGGCGAAUUAUGGCUACCCCGGUUUCACUCCUUUGGCAACAACAACUCGGGGUGGCAAAAGGUCUCACAUCUACUGCAAUAAUUCUGUUGGUGUUCAGGAGAACUUUGCAAGUUUCACGUAAUUCCUGGGUUGUGAUGGGGAAUUUCUUCCCUAGACCUGGGCCUACUGGACUGCAUUGAUCCCCACUGCUGAUUUCGUAACAGUUAGAAUGGAGUCAGUCCAAUGGACCUGGAACUAGGCAAAAAAAUUCUCGGGUGUGAUGUUGCAUGUACUUUUGCUUAUUGUGUGGUGGAUGUGCUGAAUAAAUAGCAGGAAACAGCUCCAUCUUCUGUCCUGCUAUAGUAGUUUACACAGAGUUCUGAUAACAUAGUCUGGUUUAGAUUAGUAGUAUUGUUUUCGGGAGGCUAUCUGGGGAAGCAGAAUCACUUUUCUUAUUCUAAUUUCUAAAAGUUGUUUUCUAAGCAACCUGUGUAAUUGAUAUGUGGCCACACAUAUGAAAAAUCCCUGAAAGAUUUAUCCAUUCAGACUGUGAUUUUGCAUUCCGAAGUACGAAGAGUUACGUUACUUUCAUGGCAUGGCGAUGUUUAGAAUUGGCGCUUCCCUUUUUGUUUGUUGUUCUCCUUUGGAAGGGCAAAAAGCAUGAAAUGAGAAGAGAGACAGAACUGCAUCAGUGAGCAAAAUAAUGCUACAGCUAAGUCAUCUUCAUAAUGAUUAUAAAUUGACCGUGAUCCAUUGAAGACUGAACUGCAAGAAGUGAUGGAUAUGGAGAAGACCUCCCAGAGAGGCAAUUACCUGGUGUAACACACUGAUAAAGGACUCAGUUGUCUUUCAUCACUCUGAAUUCACUAUGGCCACUUACAAGCACACAGCAAAAAUGCUGAUGACUAUACAAUACAAGUACACCAUCUGUUUAAAUAUUUAUGGAAAAACAAUGAUCGGGAAAAAAAGGAAAAAGUAAAACUAAGGGAGAGUACAUAAGCCAUUUUCUUUGUUUUGUGUGCGCUUUUGUGGCGGAUGGCCAUAUCUUGCUUUUAUUUGUUGUUCUGGUUAUCACCAAACGUCAUCCUUAUAAUAUUUCUGUCUCUAUAUACUAUAUCUGCUCUUUACUGUAAUCAUUCAACUGUUGGAUACGUCCAAACAUAUGAUCCUAUUGAAAUAGGGAGGGAAGGAAAAACAGAAGCCAAAACAGAAGUAACUCCCAGAUUGCCAAAAAGUUUAGAUGUAUUGAGACUCGCUCAGUAAAGUUCAGAGAAAUUGUCCUUUUUGGUCCAUCAUACUCGGUCUCUUUUUGUCACUUUGUUCCAGUAUUUGUCCGCUCAUAUUUUGCCACCUCUUGCGCUGAAUGUAUGGUCCAAGCAUUCACAGUUAUGGUCAGUGCUGAUAGUUGGUCUUCUGCCAUAACUCAAGCUGGUAAAUUGUGAAUACUGAGUAUAUUCUGUUUUAUCUCUUAGGACGCCGAUUUUGAUAUCAUAAACAUGUCAAGUCAGUAGACAAGCAAGAUAAGACUGCAAUUAGUGAGGAUCAAGAAUUCCUUGGUUGGGAAGAUGCUGGCUAUGAUGGAGUUGUUGAAAUCUCGGAGCUUAUGGAUACUCAGAACUUCAUCAAUAAGCUCAGGGCUUCAAUUUCCAAAUGGAGAGAAUUGGUAAAGAAUUUGAUUCUCUCUUCAUUGUUUUCUUUUAGAUGUAACUUGUUGAUCUAUGUGUCUUAUGCCUUGAUAGUUAUCAUGAGUCACAGAAGAGGAAAGGCAUGUGGAUCAAAGUGCCCAUUGAGCAUGCACACCUUGUCAAGUCACUAGUUAAGGUACAUAAAGUUCUUCAUGGAGCGGAAGAUAUUACGGUAGCUUGGCUUAUGAUAGAUCUAUAACUUGGACAUGCUUUUUGUGCAGCAAUAGCGAGCAAUUUCAUGAUGUAUCAAGCAUUCUGAUGUUUUUUGUUUUUGUGCGAACUGGGCAGGAAGGAUUUAGGUACAGGCAGAUGCUUUGCUUAAGGUGGCCGUUUCUUGCUUUUGGUCUAAAUGAAAAAGGAGGGCGAACUGUGAACCCUCAAUGUCAUUCAUUAAAUUCUUCCUUUUGGCUACUCUUAGGCAGUCGAUUAGAGGGAGGAACAGACAAAGGGCCCUUCUUAGACCAUCAAAACUCAUAAGCCAAAACAUGUCUGUGCAAGUUCAUUCUCAGAUGCCUGAUUUCUGGUGAAAUUACAUCAUGACUCGGCAGUUUUGAAGUCGAAACAUUUUCUUCUCUUCCCAGGUGCUUGUGGUUAUGGAGAAAGGUGGGAAACUCAAAGGCACAGGCAUCUGGAAGCUCCUGACUGGACUUGUCAAUGAGGUGAGUACAUUUGAUAAUUGACGCUACAUCAGGUGUUUUGGCCGUCUUUGAUGUUGGUUAUAAUGGUUUCACAGAUUUGAUAAUUUGACUACGUAGAGGGUGAGGAUCUAUUUGCUACAGUUUCAGAGAAGUGAAAGAAGAGAGAGGAGUGAGUGAUGCUUGCAUACGUUGGGCAUCGUUUUAAUAAAGCAAACACGCUAAUAUCUCGGUUCCUUUGCAUGGGAAUGCCAGCUAAAGCAAUUGCUUUCAUUCCAUUCAGGUAGACACCGAUUUCGAAGAAGUCCUGGCAUCCGGCAUCCAGAGAAGUAAAAGAAGAGACGGGAGUAAGUGAUCAUCUGCUGCAGAAAAGCGCACACAAAACAAAGAAAAUGGUUUAUGUACUAUCCCUUUUUUUUUUCGUCAUUGUUGUUCCAUAAAAAUUAAACACAUGGUGUGUAUGUAUUGUAUAGUCACCAGAGUGAUGAAAGACUGAGUCCUUUCUCAGUGUAUUGCACCAGGUUAUAGCCUCUCUGGGGGGUCUUCUCCAUUUCAUCCCUUCUUGCAGCUUAUUCUUCAAUGUAUAGUCAUCUUGAAGGUAGCUAAGCUAUGAGAUUAUUUUUCUCACAGUUGAGUUCUGUGUCUCUACUCACUUCGUGCUUUAUCGGCCUUCCUAAGCAGAGCACCAAGCAAAAAGGGAAUUGUCAAUUCCAACAUCGCUAUAUGAUGAAAGUGCAGUAAUUAUUCUACAUUAGAAUGCAAAAUCACAGUUUUGAUGAAUUAAAACUCCACUGGAUCCAAGGCCACAUAACAAAUCAUUUAAACAGGUUUAAAAGACAACCUUAGAAAUUAUAAUAGUAAAAACGAUUCUGGUUUCAGAAACAGCCUCCCAGAAACAAUAUUAAUCCAAACCAGACUAUGUAAACAGAACUUUAGAUGAGCUAAACGGCAGCACAAAAAGUGAAUCCUUUUCAUGCUAUUUACUCAUUGCAUCCAUAACAGGAAGCAAAAGUUCAUGCAACAUUCCAACCUAAACAUUCUCGCCUAGUCCUGGGUCCACUGGACUGAGUCCAUCUAACCAUUACAGAAAACUUGCAUUAUUCUCUGGAUAUUCGGGGCCAUAGCAGUAGAUGUAACUUCUUUUGCCAAUCCCGGUAGUUGUGGCCAAGGGAGCGAAACCGUGGUAGCCAUAAACAGCCCCCGCUGGGCAAAUCUUUGUCAUGUAGUAGAAUUGCCCGUUUCCGAAAAUUUAAGAUUGUGCUGCAUGCUCCUCCGUGGGCAUCCACUAGAAUCCAAAAUAAAAUCGAUCUAGUUCAGUUCAUAAAUUUGGCCAAAGAAAGAACUAAUGAAUAAUUAGCUUUUACCACCCCUAUUAAAUGGGUGGAUCUGAACAGACAUUCAGUGAAGUCACCCAUCGUUGGUGUGCAUAAGAAAUUAUACAUCAGAUUCUAUUAGAUUCAUUGUUUAGCACAAAUGAGCAAGAAUGCAAGAUUAAAGCACGCAGCGCAGAUUUUACAAGACAGCCCCAGCGAAGAUUUAACGAGUUAAAAAGUCAUCUUACUUAUACCAAGAUCAAGAAGAUUUGCAAGGGGUGCAAUUUACCCGGGGUUGCCUUGAUCUCUACAUCCUGUUUCUCGGUGGGAUAGUGUUCUGACUUAAGCUUAAGCUUGCAAAGGAAGACCAACUUGGAUUUUUUGAAGUCUGCUUUUUGGCCAAGCCUGUGAUCGAACAAAAGAGAUGAUAUUGCAAACAUGGACAUCAGAAGGCUAAACUCAGAAAAAGGCUCUAAAUGGAGACCAAAACAUAUAAAUGCACCAUAAAUCUGAGAUGGAGGAUUUUCUUUACCCAAAACAGAGACUUCGACGAAUUCAGUGUCCACUCAUAGAACACAGAAGAAUAAGGCUUUGGUUGGAAUCCUAAAGUGAAACAUUCAGAGAGUUAGCUUUUCGUAACGACAUGAAGUUUCCUUACUCCUAUCUUUUCCUCUACUUCUCUGACAACUGCAUGACAAUAUCCUCACCUUACGGGGUAGAGUCUCGAUCAAACCAUUGCGAUACAUAUUGAUACUUCUAUCGUAGCACUUGACACCAUAAACAUACUCACCACGUUAACAACUCCAUUGGGGAGUACCAUACACUUGGACAUUCCACUGCUCACUUUGACAACAAGCACCCAGACACGGGGAAGGUUUUGAAUUCUUUAAAGUGUCGAGUGUCUGGUUAUAUUAGAAUCAUGCGGAAAACCAGAUAAAUCAGCACAAACGCGUUCCCGAAGGAAAGUUAGUUUAAAACUUCAAUGCAUUUUAUCUCUUCACAAAGUAAUGCUGCUAUCCACGGAUUGAAUCAUUUAUGAGAGGAAAACCUAUAGAAACUACUCCAAAUGCCAAUAUGGCGGGACGUCACAUUGGCUCGUCACAUAGAUAACCUAGUCACACCAAAAAAUAAUAGCAGGGCAUUGGCACCAAAGACUGGUUCUGUUAGGAAAAGGAUAAAAAAUGUAACAUCUCUACUUAUCAACAAUAGUAACACACGCCGUGAUUCUAUCUAUUCUUCUAAAGGAUAUAAUUCCUAUUGAGUAGGCUCAUUUCAUGCACUGCCCAUCUCUUGUCUUACUUACUGCUGCAAAUAGAGUUGUCCAGUGCUAGAGUUUGAGUCUGAACUUCUAAAAGCAACUGAAUGAGCAAAUCAAAUAUUUCAUUUCAAUCUCUUUGCAUCUUCCUAUUAGAUCAUCUUAAAAGCGCUAAUGCAAGAAAGAGACAAUGGCUAGGCAGAAAAUUACCUCUUUUUACUGUUCAUAACGAGUCCAGCAACUCAAUGGGAAAAAAAACACUUGAAGUGCCAAAACUUGGCACGGGGGCACUUAAGUGCCAAAAGUUAUUAUAGUGACACUUAAAUUUCAAAGUCGGAGUAAAGUGGAUCAAUUAAGUCUUAACAAUGAGAAAAUCCAACCAAAAUUUUGAUGUGACGAUUUUUCGACGAGACACACUCACAUGGCUAGACAAGUGCAAAAAUGACAUCAUUUUUUUUUUUGACGUGGCUAGAUAAUUAAUAUAAAUAUUAAUUAAAUUAAAUUUAAAACUAAAUUUAUUUAUAUAUAUUUUUUAAAAAAAGGAAAAAGACUAAGAUUGUAGGCUUCUGAGCUAAGCCGUCACCACCGCCUCCCCGCCAUUCGUUAAAAGGGCCGGCGAUAGUAGAAGGAGGGUGGGCUGGGGUUGACGAGCCUUGGGCAACUAGCGGCGAGGGCCUACAAGCCCUCACUGACACUUGGGGCGAGGGUCAUUGCUCGGCGAUAGAGCUAGCAAAAUGGGUCAUAAACCCAUAUUAUGAUCCAUUUUUAGUUAAAUGGGUUAUAUAUGGGUCGAGUGAAAGUUAAAUAUGGGUCAGAAUUGGGUCUAAGAAAAUAAAACACAAAAAGAAAUAGAUCUAAAUGGGUUGUUAAGAAAUCCAUUUUAAAGUUUAAACUCAUGGCCUUUUUUAACUUUAUAAAAAUGUUUUUUUUAAUAAAAAAUAGAAAUUAUAAUUAUUUUUCAUAUUAUAAUUAUUAUUUUUUUCUUUUUUCUUUCUUUUUCUUCCUUUCUUAGUCGGCGGCCGGUAGGGCAACGGCCGGCCAGGCGAGGCUCGAGUUCAUCGAUAGGUCGUCGAAGACUAGUGAGACUCGAGCUUACCGGCAUCGGGUGAGCCUUGCUGGAUCUGGCGAGACUUGAGCUUGCCGGCGUCGGGCGGGACUUGAGCUCGCCAGCAUCGGGCGGGGCUCGAGCCUCGCUAGUUGUUGGCGAGGCUCGAGCCUUGCUGGAUCUGGCGAGGCUCGAGCUCACCAACGACUGGUGAGGCUCGAGCUCGUUGACGACUGGCGAGGCUCGAGUGUUGCCGGAUUUGGAGAGACUCGAGCUCGCCGGUGUCAAGCGGGGCCUCAGCCUCGCCAGAUCUGUGAGAUCGAGCCCCACCUGACGCUAGCGAGCUCGAUCUCACCUUUGGCUAGUCGCCAGUCGUCGUCGUGGCUGGCGGUUGGCCAAAGAAGAAGAAAAAAUAAGAGAGAAAAGAAAAAAAGAAAAAAUAAUUAUUAAAAAUUAAAAAUUAUAUUUAAAAAAUUAAAAAUUCGAUUUUAAAAAAAUAUUUUAUAAAGAAUUAUAAAAAAAAUUAUAUUAAAUUUGUAUUGGAUAAAAAAUUUUAAAAAAUUUGUAUUGCAUAAAAAUGCUUUAACAAUAUUUUUUUUAUAAAAAAAAAUCAUAAAAAUGAGUUUUUUCAGGUUUAGUUAAAAAAAUUUCAUGUUACAGUUUUUAGUUAUUCAAUGGUAUGUUCACUUCAAAUAAGAGAAACAUGUGCAUAGUUUAAUUUUUUUUUAUAAAUAUUUCAAUUUAUAGUUUUUUUUUAACUUUUGUUUUUUAUUUUAUUUACUAUUUUUAAUUUAAUUUGAAAUUUUAAUCAAAUUAGCAUAUAGUAGGAGUGGGUUUUCCUAUAAUAUUAAUAGGUUUUAACAAUAUGGUUCAGGUUGGGUAUGGGUCACUAAAUCUACACUAAAAGAAUAUAAGUCAAAACGGGUUAAAUGGGUCAAAUAUGAGUCGACCCAUUUUCGACCCGACCCAUACCUGACCCGACCCACCCAUUUGCCACCCCUACCCGGUGACCCUCACUAGAUCUAGGAGAGGGCCGCGCCCCUAGCCUCGAAUCUUGGUCAGGCCCUCGCCACCGAUUGGCUGAGGUCAUCGGCCCUAGCUAGGCCUCGGUGGCCCUGGCUGACCUUUCCCCCAUCAUUGCUAGCCCUCCCGAUGACGGUAGGGAGGCAGCGGCAGCAAGGGCUCACCUCUUGCCUUCUACUUCCUCCUCCUUUUUUUUUUAAUAAUAAUUUUUUGUAAUAUAUAUUUUAAUUUAAUUAAUAUUUAUGUUGAAAUAAUAAAAAAAGGCAAAACAACAUCAUUUUGGUUUUUCUUCAUUGACUCAGCUCUCUAGCAUGCCACGUAAGCAAGUUAUAUUAUUAAAAAAAUAUCACGUAGGAUAUACAGCCACAUUCACUGAACUUGACACUCAAGUAUCCUAUUUUUCAAAAAACAUAACACUUAAGUGUCAUUUUCAUAACUUUUGGUACUUAUGUAACCUUCAGUGUCAAGUUUUGGCACUUACUCACAACCCAUGGGAAGCACGGGAAAAAGAAUUGGGGAUCUCAGGAAGGCAGCGGACAACCAUCAAGUAAUUUGGUUCAACACGAUUCAUUGUUAAGCACAAAUGAGCAAGAAUGCAAGAUUAAAGCCCACAGCCCAAUAUUGUGCGAGACAGCCCGAGCAAAAAUUUAAUUAAUAAAAAGUCGCUGUACUUCUAUCGGGGGGCACCAUACAAUUGGACAUUACGUGCGCACUAUACUUCUGCCGUAGAACUUGACAUCAUAAACAUACUCUCCAUGUUAAACUCUAUUGGGAAGCACCAUACAAUUGGACAUAACGUGCCUGUCGAGCAGGCUUACAGGAUUUUUGUGUUUGAUUAGGCAAUUUGAUCGGAAGGGUUGUCUUGCCCUUCAUUAUGUCACAGGGUGACAGGAAAAUAAUGGAAGGGGCAAAUAAACUUAUAAAGAGAACCCUCUUUACGUUGGCCUGGAUGACAGAAACUCCACACACCUACUGCAAUGACCAUGGGAAUCUGCAGUUGCUUAAGGGAGUUGCUUUCUGGGAUUUUGAAUAGCAUUCGGAGCCCCACAUUUUCCGUUUACGAGGUUCAUUUUCUGUUGAGACGUGUUGCUUUUACACUUACAUAUUUCAGUUUAGCAAGGUUACAUUCUUUAUCCAUCUCUGAGGAUGACUUAUUUCCAACCUUAUGAUUGCAGCAUGAUACCUUACAGCUUUUCUUGGAUCAAUUAGGUUGGAUCAAGAGGCAAAGUGCAUGUGCGAGCAAAUUUUGGGACCAGAAUUCAUACCUCGAGUUUAAAGUACUAAAAGCAAAUGUGAUGAGGCCUGAUUCUACGUCAAUGUCGGGCUUCAGGCGCAUGCAAACUACUGUUAAGUGCAUGAAGUUUGGCUCUGUCGUGAGUUGGGGCCAUCUGCACGGCUGUGUCAAACUUCAUUCAAAAGCAGAAAGACUGCAAAAACAAGUGUGAUGACACUACACAACCUCCGUGACCGAUCAAAUUCUAGCUCACGUCUGCCAAUAUAUAUAUUUUGGGGUAAAGACACGUCUGCCAAUAUUAGUGUGUACUUCAAGCAAUUAUGCUCUUUCAAUGAGAAACCUGCAAUAUUUGUCUCUCGGUGAAUAAAACAACCCUAAAAUCAUACUCUAUGGUAACGAACUUUACUAGUUUGUAGUUUGUUCUUCCCAACAAUCAUGAUGGAUGCGACAAACUGUAUAAAACCAAUUCUUUUACGGAAAAGUUCAUGUUUUAUUGAAAGAAUGGUUGUCAUAUCAAUGUUAAGUUGGAUUUUAAUCGUUGUCAUAUUGAUGUUAAGUUGGAUUUUAAUCAUUAUGAAGAUCAGUCACGCUUUUCACAGGAAUGCGAAAUCCAGCCACUGAGCGAAAUAGACCCUAUUAAGCCGAUGAGGGGUAUCUUGGUACAAGAAAUUUGACCUCUUUUUGUUCCCUAGUUCAGUGAUUCAACGCGGUCAUUUGAACUCCUUUUCACCCCAAAAAUGUUGGCGUUGAACUUGAAAUUAUAAAGAAAGAAUAGCCCGGGAGCUAAUGGGUAGGUGGAAUCGGACUUUAAUCUUUUAAUGACUACUUUGAUGUUUGAUCAUAAUCCUUUAAUGACUACUUUGAUGUUUGAUCAUAAUCCUUAUGAUCGACACUACGUAAGAAAUGAUAGAGGAGACCCUGCCUUGGAGUCCAUGUCUCCCGUUCCAUGAAUAAGAUCGCUCGAUGAAUGGAAGUCCGAGAAAAAUUCUAGGGCUUAUGUCGUCAAUAUACUUUUCUAGUAGAAAAUGCGCCUGAUUGCCUUGAAAUUGUGCGCGUGGGAUGCAGGUGCACCAUGAACGGCCGGUUAUUCGCACAUGUUUCGUGACGACAUAAGAGGAAUACUUGGGAUUGUGCAGGAGGAAUCGAAGCAUUGGUCUUCUCAAGUUUUGCACUAUCUAAUGCAUUGUGCUUCGAAUGUUGGCCCACGAACGAAAUUUCCAGAAAAUUUCCAGGGCCUAUAAUUUUUUUUUUUUGUUAAUUUUCUAGUACCAAAAUGCCUCCGAUUGGCCUGAAAUUGUGCACGGGAAAUGCGCUUGCAUCACGAACGACCAGGUUUUUUCCCUUUGAGAUGUAUACGGGGUCAAGCUUCUCAACCUAUGACCAAGCUUACCAAGAUUCCUCUUUCCCUUAAUUAGGUCUCCACUUAUAUCAUCCAGCGGCCUACAAUUAGUCCUAACGAUAGUACAAAUAUUCACCAUCCAUCAUUGGGUUUAAAUAUGAUGACAAUGAGCAUAAAACCCUUAAAUUAUUAAACCACAGAUCCAAUUCAUAAUGCAUCUCACAAAUCAAGCUCACAGCCCAAGACCUAUAAGUUUUUACAUUUCAAUUCAUAGGUAGAAUACAUUUUAUAAACUAUAUCACAAAUCAAACACAUAUAACCUCUCGCAAUUCUUUUCAUAAAAUGUUUCUAAACGUUUUAUAAAUAUUCAACUCAAACUAUUUCAAAAGAUAUUUUACAAUUCCGAAUAUCCCACUAUUCCGGAUUUAGAGGGCAGGCUUCUUUGGCGGUGGACUCAUGCAAUUUGACUAGUCACACGCCACAUGUCAAUCCCAAGCACUAGGUAGUGGCGCCAUCUCAAUAAUCCACGACUAAGCAAACAUCAAACGCCAGCAAAUAAUUUCCUCCGGGCACAUACAUAUCUUCCUUUCUUGCAAAUCAACGUAACCCAUAAGCUUAUUCAACAAAUCAACUCAAUCUCAUUUCUAAAAAGAAUAAUAAAGAAGAAAUCACUUAAAAUAUGGUUGUCACAUAAUAAUGAGUAGGUGACUCUAAUCUUGGAAUUAUUAUUUUGAUGUUAUAAGAUGCAAGAUAUGAUGGAGAGGACGCUCUCUUACAGGCACACCCGGUCUUGGAGUCGGGGUAUCUCGUGUCUCAGACCAAAUUGAACCACGGAAUAAGUUUGGCCGAUGAACGAGAGUUGGAGAAAAUUUCUAGGGCUUAUAUUUUAAAUUAAUUUUCUAGUACAAAAUAUCUCUGAUUGGCUUGAAAUCGUGUGUAGGAGACGCGCUUGCAUCUCGAACGACAGGCUUUUCCCUUUCCUUUAGAUAAUGCGCGUGGGACAUUUGCAAGGGGAGGCCCACUUCAAGGGGCAAAUUAGACAUUUUCCCAAGAGCGUGUCGGGGAGGAUAUCUGAUCUUUAGAUCUCGGAUCUUGCUAUUUCCAUUUUUCCCCAAAAGUUUAGUUCUGGCAUACGUGAGUCCACCUUGCGAGCCAUGUAUAUGACGGUCGACUCUGCUUAAUACGUGCUCUAAGAACAUAUAUUAACAGACCUCUGAUGUUAUAAACUUAAAUCCUCGAUCAAUUGCAACCCGAGAUUGAAACGCAGAAGGUCCUUGCUAUCGCAAAUUUAACACACGUACAAGAUAGGCAAACGAAUUUAUAACAAGAAGCAGUAGGGCGAAGUUCAGAGUUUGUCACAUAUUAUUGAGGUAAUUAAGUAAAGAUUGUUCUCGUUUCUUUUCUCUCACCUCAGUUUCCUUUCUUUUUCCUCGCACAAGUACCAUUCGGUCAAGUAUGUGUGCGAAUUAAUUAUUAUUCAUUGCUCUUUUUUUUCUUUUUUCUUUUUGUUGGUGUGAUUAAGGUUUCAAGUGCUAUAACGGGAAAAAUUUUGCAGUGAGUCCCUGUUAAUAAUAGGAUUUUAUUCAUAAAGGCCCUCAAGACACUUAUUUCCCAGUCAUAUAAGGAUAACUUGUAGCUUAUAAUUUAUUUUUUCUCAUGUCAUGUGCUAUAAAUAUUUGUCACGGGUAGCUAAGGUUUCGAAAAUCGAAUUAUUUGUUAUUCUGUAUGGAAUAGAAUUAGGUAUACAGAAAGAUGUGGCUGCUAAAGAGAUAAGACGAGGAGGUUGAAGAGUCAGAGCAUCCACACAUCGCAGAACCAUCCUUUUUAUCUUGGGGGUGUGAAAGCAACGUUGGAAGCUGGUUUUUAAUGACUAAAAUAAUAAGUACUAAAAAUCGAAAAUACAACACUGUAACCUCGUUCGCGUGGUGGGCCAAUACCUAGCAAUUGCGUUAAUUUCUCUAUGGUUGAUUCCGAUGACGUGGAGAGUCGGAGAUGAAUGGAAAAAAAUUCCUAGUUCGAACGGAGUAAUAAGAUUUUGAACCGGGGAAGCGUUCGAAGAGGAAAGCAAGCAAGCGAAGGCAGUGGCAGGUCUACCUACUCCUUUUGAGCGACAAAGUGCUGGAACCCACUGACCAUGAUCCGCCGAUUGAAUCUUUUAAGAGUGCGUUUGGUAUUUUUUUCUCAAAAUUAAUUUCUAUUCAAAAAAAUAAAUUUUUUUAUUUAUGUUCCAAAGAAUAAAUAAGUAGAUUUAUUUAUAUUUUUUAUUUUUAUUCCAAAUUUAUUCCCUAAGUACUUUUUUAUUUCGGAGAUUAGAAAAAUUAAUUGACGUUAUAAAACGGAUUUAUAUUCUUUUUAUAUUCUGAAUAAUAUAAAAAUAGAAAAAUAUAAUAAUUACCGAACAUGCCAUAAAAUUCAGUAUGUUCUUUGACUUGAAGCCACGCAGUCCGCUUGCACGGAUCCUGACUGUGAUGGCCCGAGCGACGGUCCUCGGACGUGCGCAAGGAAGGGGUCCCUCUCUUGUCUUGUCUCACAUCGCCUAAGAAGGGAGGUCUUGGUUAGCUUAUAAGGUUUGGGUCCCUCUAAUUUGUGUAACGUGUUUUAAAGCCGUGAAGAAAAAGACUGGCGCAGACGACCCAAAGCAGAUAAUAUUAUACAGUGGGGCCCGAGAUGUUACAAGUGGUAUCAGAGCCAACUCCCGAUCCAGAGAUGUUACAAGUGGUAUCAGAGCCAACUCCCGAUCGCGAGAUGUUACAAGUGGUAUCAGAGCCCACGAGGACGCUCUUCUAUUAAGAGGUGGAGAGUAUGACGGUCCUCGGACGUGUGUGCAAAUGGGUCCCUCUAAUUUGUGUAACGCAAAAGGUCAUGAAGUGAGUUUGCUGACUUAGCUACACAAUUUAACUGAUUUAUUAAAAGUAAAAGAACUAUUCAUUUUGUUAUAUAAGAAAGAGGCUGCCUAAUUGCUUCAAAAGAAAAAAGAAAUUGGUGAAAAUUAGAAUAUUAUCCAUUAUAUUGCUAAAGCCUAUUAAUAAUAUUCAGUUCAAACUUGGUAAGCAACUAACAAUGACGGAUACUAUUCAAGGUGAAACAACCAUUUAAUUCCACUUAUACGCUAAAGUUGUGGACAUAUUUAGUGCUUAAAUAUGUAGCACCCAUUUUACAAUAUCAUCAAAUGAGCCUUUAGAGGCUAAGAUCGAUUAUUAAGAGAUGAGAUAAAUUUUAUUGGAGAUUGCAUGUGAUCGACUUAUUUAAAAGUUCAUUGAUAAUUUGCCUCAUCAUCGAUUUAAUAGCUUAUGGAAAACAUUAUUCUUUAGUCGUUAGAUGAGAACAAUUUAUGUAUAUUGCUAUAUUAAUGAAUAGUACAUGUUUUAUUAGAUGAUUAAGAUAAAGAUAAUAUUUAUUGUAAUCGAUUAAAGAUAUGCACAAUUUAGAUAUACAACCUUGAAAGAAAUAGAAAAUAAAAAGAAUAAGGUAUGAAAUCACACCACACCAUUUAUCCAAUGUGAGACUUAUUCUAAUAGUAUACUCAUAUGUAUACUCUUAACCAAUGAUGGUUUGGGACACCAGCAAGGGCUGUUGGACCAGCAUGGGUGGAUGGACGGACGGUGCCGCCAACGCCAUGGCAUGCCUAGCCACCGGAAUGUCCCUCUGUUUUGGCUUUUUAAGGGUUUGUUCGUUUCGUGGAAAAUAGACCAUUUUCAAAAAAUAUUUUCCCAGAAGUCAUUUUCCAGGAAAAUGACAAUAUUUUCUGGUGUUUGGCUAAAACCUGAAAAUGUUCGGAAAAUAUUUUCCGGUGUUUGGUAAGGAAAAUAUUUUUCUCUUUCCAGAUUGGCGAGUGCGAGCGUCAAGCUCGAGGCUCACCAGAUCAACGAGCUUGAAGUUCACCUAGUUCGACAACUAGCCAAGAAAGAAGAAGAUAGGAAACAAAGAAAAGAAAAAAAUAAUUGGGGGAUGGUCCACAAUAAUAGGAAAGGGUCCUCGUUAGCCACGGCUGAAGGAAGGAGGAGGAGAAGAAAAAAAGAAAAAAUUCAAAAAUUAAAAAUUAAAAUUCAAAAAUUAAAAAUUAAAAUUCAAAAAUUCAAAAAUAUUAAAAUAUUAUUAAAAGUUAUCAACGUUAGCGUUGAUCAAGCCACGUCAACCGACCGGCGUCUAGUCAGCAAAAUCCGGCCAAAAUUAGCCGAAAAUGAUUGAAUUGGCACAAUGUAAAAAUGUUUAGGACUUAAUUGGCACAAAAAAAGGUUUAUGACUAAAUUGACACAAAUAUACAAAGUUUAUGACUUUUUUAACACUUUUCCCAUUAUUAGUGCAUACGUGGGUAAAGUACAUCGCAAGACUUAAAUGUUAAAAGUUCCAAAAUAUACACUUAAAUAUCACUUUUUUGAAAAUUGAGAUACUUAAGUGCCAACUCCGACGAGGUUGUCAGAAAUCCAACUUGAUAUUAUUUUAAUAACAAAACUAGCCUGUGCGACUUGUCAGAAUAUUUCCGCAAUCCUUAUCUAAAAUGACGUCGUCUUCAAUGUUCACUUAAGUACUAGUUGUGGUUAAAAAAAAAAAUCACUUAAUUGUCAAGUUAUGGUGUAAGAAAUCACUUAAGUGCCACUCGUAAUUAAAAGUGAAUACUAACGUAGAAAGUGUUACUUAAGUGCCAAAAACAAUGUUGCUUAGCGUACUCUUGGUGUCCACAUGGAUAAUUUUUUUUUUUUAAAGUGUCAAUUUUUCUCCAAUUUUGGCACUUACUUAAGUGUACCUUUAAGAAGUUUUGACACUUAAAUAUUCAUCCAUGCCAAGUUUUGGUACUUGAAAUGUCCGGCACUUGUGCGUACGCAUAUGACUAAAAAAUAAAUAAAACUCCCUUCCUCGGGUUGUUUUUACUCCCAAGUGCCCAAAAACCAUCCUUUCCUUAUUUUUCGCCAUUUACGAAAGUAGGUAAUAAGACUCCCAAAAUAAUAAUAUCCCGAAAUAAUUUCUUGUAUUAUAGCAUUAAGGGGGCGAUAUAUGGUAUUGGACGUAACUUUUAGGGAGGAAAAAGAAUCAGGAAAUAAACAAAGCAGAAACAGAUAGAUGAAAAUGGCCUUGUAAAGCUAAUCGGCAGUAAAAGGAAAGGGGACGAAAGUUGGCGCACCCGGCAAGCAACUGGCGUGUCGACGAAAAACAAGUACAUUGGAAAAUUAUAUGCUUGUUUUGUUAGAGAGUUUAUAAUUUGAGAACUAUCGUCUUCCCCCGCAACCAAAAGAUAUUAUAUGCUUGUUUUGUUAGAGCAUUUUAAUUUGAGAACACAUAUUAUCAUACUCAAAAGUUCUGCAAUCAAAUGAUAAUAUAUGCUUGUUUUGUUUGAGGGUUUUUUAUUUGAGAACACAUAAAGUCAAGAUUAAAAGUGAACCAUGGUUACCCAAACAAAAUAUGGUUCCUCGAGAGGAUGAGAACACACCCCCCCAGGCGAGUCACCAAUGGCUGACCAAUACUUUUGUACCUUGGGGACCCUCAACCUGACGGGGUCCCUUCAAAGCGGUCCCUCCCCUUCAAACUUGAAGUGUCACCGCUUUUGUCAAAGUGAGUCCACUACCUUUCCAUCUUGACUUAUGUGUUCUCACCCUAUGUGUUCUCUAUCCCAUGAUUGCCUAUAUAUAUAGAUCACCCCUCCACUCCACUCUCCGCAAAAACUUCAACGGUGCAACCCAAAAAUUCCAGCGUCUCCGAUCUCUCUCAAGCUCCUGAAGGUGUGCCCGUAGUUUCCCUCCUCAUUUGUUUGAUAGUACUGCUUUUCUGGAUAUUUUCUAUCAGGGUUUAUUGCUUUGAUUUUUGAGCUAGACAAGUCGUUUCCGCUAUACAUCAGUGGAUGAAUUCAUUUAUCCAGGUUUAGCUCCUAGGGUGCCAUCCCACCAGUCAGAUACAAAGUCCAUCGGUGCAUCAUCAGCCUUGAGGCAAGGCAUGGCUGAAAAUAACGAUAGUGGGAUCGGGCAGAUUCCAAUGCUCGAUGGGUUUGAGAAUUCAUAUGGAGGAUUCACUGUGGAGGUGAAGGAGCGUAUGGAUGCUGAUGUGUUUGCCCCCUUGUUCCGAGCUUCAACAUCAAGCUGGAAACUACAGGUAAAUGAAAUUGUAUUUCAUCGGUCUUGUCAAUUUAGUUAUUUUUUUUUUCCGAUUUGUAAGAAUACCGCUCUGUUCUACUCCAUUUCUUCUUAUUGGGUAUCAUUUGGUUGCAGGGGAAGAAGGGUGUUUGGCUCAAAUUGCCCCGGGAAUAUUCACAUCUUGCUGACAUUAUAGUGAAGGUACAUAUUAGAGGUGUCAAAAUAAAUCCAAAACCAAUUCUUUAACAAUUUUUUAUAGGCCAGAUCGUAAAUAAGUUGGCUAAAAUAUUAGAAAUGGAUUUAAAUGGAUCAAAAAAAAAAGAGAGAGAGAGAGAAAAUUUUAAAUAAGAAUCUAAAGUACUAUUAUCUUCUCAAAUAAGAACCCAAGUGAAUAUUGUGUCAAAUAAUGAUUUAAAGUGGUCAUGAUUAUUUUAAACAAAUGCCUGAAUGAGCUAUGAUUGUUUCAAGUAAAUGUUUGACUUCAUUGGUUGUCCACCGGUUAAAUAUUCCAACCGAUCAAAGGGCAUUUCUACCCAUUAUAAUACUAAUUUUAAAUUAUUUUUUUACUCUUUUCUUUUCUUAUAUCUUUUUGUUUUUUCUCUUUCCGACGACGGCCAACGGCCUUUCCUUAAGGUGAUGGUCACCUCGCCGGCCAUCGACGAGAGUGGCCCUCACUAGAUGCGAUAAGAAAAUGAUGACACUUUAAAAUAUUUAUUUGAAAAAAUAAAUGUAUUUCAGGUGAAAUUUUCUCAAAAAAUAAAUAUCUAAAUAUAUGGGUCUGCUGGGAAUACAUCCAUUUAAAACCCGUUUACAUUUUACGUCCAUUCCUCUUAUAACCCUACAAACUAACCCCGAAAGGUCAAAUUCUCCUUCCUCCUUCCCCUUCUCUCUCUCUCUCUCUCUCUCUCUCUCUCUCUUCAUAGCCAAAUACCACCGUUACAUCGCCCAAGAAAUAUGGACGACUCUUGAACGCUCUUCUUCGAUGCAUCGACCCCGACCUNNNNNNNNNNNNNNNNNNNNNNNNNNNNNNNNNNNNNNNNNNNNNNNNNNNNNNNNNNNNNNNNNNNNNNNNNNNNNNNNNNNNNNNNNNNNNNNNNNNNNNNNNNNNNNNNNNNNNNNNNNNNNNNNNNNNNNNNNNNNNNNNNNNNNNNNNNNNNNNNNNNNNNNNNNNNNNNNNNNNNNNNNNNNNNNNNNNNNNNNNNNNNNNNNNNNNNNNNNNNNNNNNNNNNNNNNNNNNNNNNNNNNNNCGCUUCUGCAUUUAUAUAUAUUUGUCCCUGGCUAACAAGUAGCUCUGUUCCCUGAGAGAUUUACUUCAACUCGACAGCCCAUAGUUGUUAAAUCUCUUUCUAGCAGAAAGAUUGGCAGAUUUAGGUAUGAUAGACGGUUCUAAUUUGGCAGGAAGGAUUCAAGUACCAUCAUGCUGAACCAAGUCACUUGAUUCUUGUCUGCUGGCUUCCCUUGACCCCUGAUACCUUUGCUGUGAACGCUUCACGUAGGGUCGGCGUCGGUGCUUUCGUCUUGAAUGAUAAAAGAGAGGUAACUUCCUGCCUUACCGUUCUCCCAUUUCUUGCGCUCGCCCUUUUGAGACUAUCUGAUAGGAAGAUGCAAUGAGAUAGAAAUGUAUCAUGUGAUCUGUUCAUUCGGUAGUUCUUAGAAAUUCGGAGUCAUAAAAGGAUAGAUGGGAUCAGCAGUAAUCUUGCCUGGGAAGAAAACCUCCGCAUUCGAUGUCCAUUGGAUUCAUAUGCGUGUAUGUUGCCACUUUGGAUAAGCAUAGAUGUUGGAUUUGUUCACUCUUUCCUUAACAGAACCAGCCUUUGGUGUCAAUGCCUUGCUAUAUGACAAGCUGUUUAGUAAUGUGACUUCCCAUAUUAGCGUUUGGACUACGAUAACUCUUCUCAUUUUGGCAACAAUCACAUCAUUUUCUCUUGGUUUUCUUCUCUGAAGUGAUUUAGCCUGUGGGUAACAGCCUUACUUUGUGAAGAGAUGCGAUGCGGUGAAGUUUUAUACUCAGUUUCGUUCGGCGCGUGCUUUUGCUCUGCUUUAUCUUGUUUUCAGCGUGAUUCUACUGCAACUAGACGCACAAUGCUUUAAAGAAUUUAAAAACAUUUCCCCCCUUUCUAGGUGCUUGUAGUCCAAGAGCGUAAUGGAAUGUUCCAAGAUACGGGUGUGUGGAAACUCCCCACUGGAGUUCUGAAUGAGGUGAGUAGGUUAAAGAUAUCGGGUGCUACAUAAGAAGUAUCAAUGUGUAUUGUAAUGGUUUGAAUGUGACUCUAUCCUCGUAGGGUGACAGUAUAUGUCAUGCAGUUGUCAAGGAAGUUAAGGAAGAGAUGGGAGUAAGUGAUGAGUUUUAUGUCGUGUAUAAAACUUAAGUCUCUAAGGCAUUUCACUAGAGAAUUCCAAGUAAAGCCUUAUUCUUUUACGUUGUACAGGUAGACACUAAAUUCGUGGAAGUCCUCUGUUUCAGGUAAAGAAAAUCCUCAAUCUUGAGUAUGUUUUGGUCUUCAUUUAGAUUUCUGUGUUUAGCCUUCUGGUUCAAAUUUGCUUUCUCUUUUCUCACAUUCUGUCUCCUUUGUUCUAUCACAGACAAAGCCACAAAUCAUUCUUCACCAAGUCAGAUCUGUUCUUCCUGUGCGUGCUUCAGGCAGAAUCUGCUACAACUGAGGAACAGGAUGUAGAGAUCAAGGCAGCAAAGGUAAAUUGCACACUUGCAUAUUUUCUUGAUUUUGCUUGAAGUAUGAGGACUUUUUACUAAUUAAAUCUUUGCUUGGGCUGUCUUGUACGAUGCUGGGCAUUGUGCUUUAAUCUUGCAUUCUUGCUCAUGUGUGCUAAACAAUGAAUGUAGUAAAAUUUAAUGUAUAAUUUAUUAAGCACAUCAACGAUGAGAGACUGCACUGGAUAUCUGUUCGAAUCUACCCAUUUAGUAGCGGUGUUCAAAGAUUGGUUCUUUCUUUGGCGAAAUUUAUGAACUGAACUGGAUAUAUUUUAUUUUGAUUAUAGUGGAUGCCAAUUGAGGAGUACGCAGCACAACCUUUCGUUGUUGAAAACAAACAAUUCAAUUUCAUGGCGAAUAUAUGCUUGGCAAAGGCUGAUCAUUGCUACCCGGGUUCUGCUGUUUUGGCCACAACUGCUGGGGUGGCAGAAGGAUUUCCAUCUACUGCAAUAACCCCGAAAUUGAGGAGAACUUGGCAAGUUGUGUGUAAUUCCUGGAUUGUGAUGCAGAAUUUCUUCCUUGGACCCAGGCCUACUGGGCCGUGUUGAUCCCAACUGCUGAUCAUGUGGGCUUCUAUGUAGGUCCCACAAAUUCAGAGGUUAGGAUGGUGGGACUAGGCAAGAAUUUUCUGGUUUUCAUGUCACAUGGUCUUUUGCUUCUUAUGUUUUGGAGAUAUAGGGGCUCACUGUUUUUCUCAUCUUCAAUUCGUAGACUAAAAUCUUGUGUUUGGCCUGUGUUGCCAAUGUCUGGCCUUUUUCAGCCCUUGGAAUAAUAUUAAAAUGAUGGUUGGUCUAUAGCUCGCCAUCAGAUUUUUGACUCUGGUAGGAAUGUUCUCUUGAUAGUUCGGCACGAAGAAAUGUGACUCUGCUUUUGAGGGGGGGUCUUAUCUUUGUGUGUUUCAAGCACGCGCCUGGGGCACGUGUGCAUGUCAAGCAAGUGCCCGUGUGCGAGCACGGAAGGAACGGGACUCGUUCUGAUUUUGUAAGUGCACCGGUUGGGCCACCCAGCGUGGCAGCAUCGGAAGCAUUAUUCACGGGAAAGGCUGGAGAUGAGAUUGGGGACAAGUUGUUUAUGAUGAUGAGGAAGGAGGGAUGGUUCAAAAGGCGGUGGUAACUAAUGGUUUAUUUUGCCUGAACAAAGGGCACUUUCUUGCCUAAUCUCUGGCACGGCCUGCAUGAAAUAUCUUAGGUCCACUAGUGAUAAAUCAUCUAGUUGCCUUCAGAUCAAUUAUGACCAUUAUCUCAUUCUUUGAAUAGGUCUAUGAUCUUCUUAUUGCACAAUUAACGAUGACCUUGACUAAUUAAUUCAGGAGUACCCUUUAGAUAUAUUUACUGUCAGAUGAGCCAAUACUUGCCAUGGCCUCACACGUGGCAAGCCAUAAGCACACGGAAGCCAACUUUUCCCAGGAUCAACUCCUGGACGGCGUUAAGCGCAGUUUGAACUUUGGAGUGUUGGGGCAGGGGAAAAUGUGGGAGAGCGAGUAGGGUGUUUGGAUUGGGAUAUAAAGAGGUUUUUCUUUACCCUAGUAUUCAAUUAUAAGGCAAUUUUAAGAUAGAACGCGAAGCAAGUUAGUUCACUAUUCAGAGGAUAUAGCACCUUGCAGCAUCAUGUUACUAUAGCUAAAUUUGGUCUUCAGGCCCCUCAAAAAGCUCCUCUUGAUUUCCUAAUAAAUUUUUAAAAAGAAACUACUAGGACGAUUUUGAAGUGACACAAUUUAAAGAUUUUCGGUGAGCAUAGUAUCAAAGGAAUAAUUUAAAUACUAAAAGUUAAACCGAAACAAUAAAAGCAAAAGUCGCUCUUACUGCAUAUUUACUGAAAGCAGGGAAGUUUGCAAGUGCGUGCAAGUUACCCGAGCCGCCUCAAUUUCUCCAUCCUGUUUCAGGAUGCAAGGCAAACACAGGCAAUGGCAUGCAGGUGAAGAGCAACUCGGAUUUCAUAAAGAAUGACUUGUAGCUUCGCCUGUGCUCAAACAAAGGACGUUCAAUCUGGUUUUUCCACAGGAAAAAGAAAAAAACGAGGAUGAAAUAGUCUUGACAAGGCCAAAGCAUCCAUCAGUGAAACGCGAGGCCAAAUUAUAGGGGUGCAACAUUGUUAAACCAGGCUUUUAAGAAAGAUAACAGAAAAAUUGCAUUAAUUUUAAACUUUUGAGGGACAUCAUCUUUACCUGAAUGCCAGGACGUCAUUGAAUUCAGUGUCUAUCUGAAUUGAAAAAAAAAACAAAAACAAUCGCUCUAUCUGGUAUUCCCAUGCGAAGGAACCGAGAUAUUAGCAUGUUUGCUUUAUUGAGACGGUGCCCAACAUAUGAAAAAAAAUCACUUAUUCCUGUUGCUUCUUUUAUUCUCUGACAGCUAUAGCAAAAACAUCCUCGCCCAAUACAUAGUCAAAUUAUAAAAUUCGUAAAACUAUAAUUACCGCAAUUAAAGACCGUGAAAACAUCUUAUGCAACAUUAAUUAUCGAAGGUACUCACCUCAUCAAUAGGUCCGGUCAGGAUCUUCCAGAUGCCCGUGCGUUCAAAUUUCCUGCCUUUCUCAAUAACCACAAGCACCUGGAAAGAGAAGAAAACGUCUCGACUUCGAAACUGCCAAGUCAUGCUGUAAUCUUACCAGAAACCAGGCAUCUGGAAAGAACGAACUUGCACUUAUAUGUUUUGGCUUAUGAGUUAUGAAGGUCUAAGUGAGGCCUCUGUCCAUUCCUUCCUCUAAUUUGAAUGUCUAAGAGUAGCCGAAAGAAACAAUCCAACGAAUGACAUUGAGGGUUCACAGUUAUCUCUCCUUUUUCAUUCAGACCAAAAGCAGCAAUCGCCACCUUAAGCAAAGCACCUGCCUGUACCUAAAUCCCUCCUGCCCAGUUCUCACGAAAACAAAAAUCAUGAGAACACUUGAUACAUUAUGAAAUUGCUAGCUAAUGCUGCAUAGGAAGCAUGUCCAGGGUGUCGCGACCUCCCCGAAGCGGGUUGGACCACCUAAGGGUUUGGCUAAUGGAUUGUUAAGCCUAGACUUAACUCGGGCUCUCCCAAGCCCAUACCAAUUCGCGACUUAGGUUCAAGUUCUUAAUAUGCAAAUGAUUUUUAUCAUGGAGUCGCCACUAAUCUAUUUUUGGUGGGUCGAUUAGAAACCCAAGUAAAGUAAUGGGAGAAUUACUUCACUCCUACAAACCAAAGAUUGUGAGCUCGGGGACUUGGGUGAAUGGACCUAGACUUAGAACCAGGGAGGGAGAAUAAAUAUUUCUGCAGGUAUGCAUCCCACAUAGGCGAACAACCCCGUUCAAGCCCUUCAGGGACAGCCUUUUAGCAGAAAACCACUCAGCCCUUUAGUUCAGAGCCUAGAGACACUCAGAGAUACCAGGAUGGAAACGUUUCUAACCUACCCAAGCUGCAUUUCUUGAAGGAUCCUACCAGGCUGGAGAAGAAGAGGGAACUUAGAAAGCCAUAGAGAGAUUUUCACAAAGCACACACUUUACUUCAAGGGACUCUGCCCAAAACAUUACACGCUCUUUGCCUUAUAUAGGCAAUAAAGAGGUCACAAAGACACAGAGGGACCUAGCUCACGGGUCCGGGAACAAACAAGGGCACCGAAAGGGAAUUAUUCGCACACUAUGAACAGUAGCUGUACUGUGAACAGUAAAUUCCCUAGCCUAGUGCUACAGUAAAAGUGAACAGUGAUUUGCUACAGUGAAAAUGUACGGACUCAACGGUCUCGUCCGUCACGAGCAUUGUAGCUACACACUGAAUCAUUCGUGCUGUCUUCGAGGAGAUGUGCCUCGUACUUCUGUUCAAGAGCUUCAAGGUCUUCAGGUGAGAGGAUUUGGUUCAGUCUCUGAGAUGAGGAUGCUUGUUCAUGAGCCCAGUGUGAUGCUUCUUCUUCAGCCCAGUUUGUAUUUUCAUCUUGAAUUCUUGGCUGGGGCCAAUUGGAUGGGUCUGCAUAGAAGGAUGUGUCCAUGCUUUGGAAUUGUUCGUAGGGAUCCUGAGAUAGAGGUCCUCCAAAGCGUGCAUAGGGGUCCUGGGUGGACUGGACAAUGUCAUCUUCGCUUGUCAUCUCAGGCUCUUGGGACGAUGUGGCUUGUCUGUAUUGUCUGAGUGCUUCCUUAGCUUGUGGUGCUAGGUCAUAAUGAUCCCACGUAGUAGGUGCAUUAUUCCAAAUUUCUUCGGGAAUGGUCUUGUUUUCCUGGCACAGGAUUCUUUGGAGUUCUCGAUAUUCAUUUCCACAGAGUCGAACAGAUGUAGGAUAAGAUCUGUAAAUCCUAGCUUCUCGAUUGUUCAGGUUAGGUUUAUAGGAUGUGGUUCCUAUUUCUAGUGGUGCAUCGAGAAUAGUACCAUUAUUUCUACAAAAAUUCCAAGGUCGUCGAAAGAACAGGAUAGUGUGGACUUCGGGAUUUGGCGCUAUAGAUCUCAGUUCUCUUUCUAAGUCUUGUUUCCAGCAUGUAGGAGGAUAGAACCAAUUUAGAAAUUCUAAAAGAUUUCUAUCACAUUCCUUUUCAAUGUUUCUUCCGAGCAAGAAUAUCCUUGUGAGGUUAGCAAUGAAUUUUCUGGUUGGGAUUUCAAAAGCUAUCAGAUACUUAUUGGUUAAGUACCAUAAUAACGUUUUGAGUUGUUCAGGGAAAUCAUCUUCUGUCCAGAUAAGAGGAUGAAUGAAUGGAUAAUUCAUAUUUAACCCGAAAGGAUAAAGAACCGAACCUCCAUUGAAUCUGAAUAAGUCUGUGUGACUUUGCCACAUAAGGUUCUCCAUGUUUUCAGCAAGGCUGUCAUUCUGGAUCUGCUGAAUAAUCUCCUGGGGAUAUUUCCAGCUUUGUAGAUCUCUGAUGUUUUCGAUUUUGUAUUUUACUCCAUGGUUAAGCAUAUGAAAAGCAGGUCUUUUGAUAUACAUGUUGAUCUCUACUGGUGCUUUUGGUCUUGAUAAGAAGUCAGCAAGUACAUUCUUCUUUCCGGGAAUAUGCUUUGUUUCAAAGGAGUAUUUUGAAAACCAUUCUGCCCAUCUAAGCAGUUGAGAAUUUGGAAUCUGUUUUUGUUUAAACUUGGUCAUCUGAGGGAAAGAUGCCAUGUCUAAUUCCACCAGGAAGUGGUGGCCGAUGAGAUGAAACUCAAAUUUUUUGAUUCCAUUUUUGACUGCUAGAAUUUCUUUGAAAGUGGAAUGGUAAUGCAUUUCAGCUUGAGAAAACUUUCCACUCUUAUGGGCACAGAGGAGUCUCUUACCAUCAAUUUCUUCGAAUAGAACAGCUGCCCAGUAUUCAUCACUGGCGUCAGUUUGAAGAAUUCUUUUACCUGUUGAUGGUAUUUGUAGUGGCGGAAGAUUCUGCAUAAUCUCCUUAAGCUCAGCGACUGCUUUGGUCUGAGUUUUUCCCCAAGGUGGGGAGUUCUUUUUUAGCAUGGAUUGCAAAGGGAUCAGAAGCUUUGCAAUAUUGGGGACGAAAUCUCUGAGAUAAUUAAUUAUCCCAAGAAAUUGUUGGACUUGUUUCGUCGUGAAGUUGUCUUCAGGAAACUUCAAUAAUUCUUGAGCAAUAUGUGGCUCGGGGUAGUAUGUACCUUUGUUGAGGUGCAUACCAAGAAAUUCAAUCUCUGUUUGGGCAAUGUUCAUCUUUCUUUGAGAGAGCAUAAUGCCAUGCUUUCUCACUAUUUCUGCAAACUGUUCAAGGAGUUGACAGUGUGACUGCUCAUCAGGGCUGUAGAGCAGAAUAUCGUCGAUAUACACAGCUGCACUUGAUAGUAUUGGUUGGAAAAUACGGCACAUAGCCUUUUGGAAAAGGGAUGGUGCUACCCUUAAACCAAAAGGAAGAACUUUCCACUGGAAGUGCUGGUUUGGGAUACAGAAUCCUGUUUUGGAUCUGUCUUCAGGGUGAAUGCCCAAUUGCCAAAAACCUGCUUUGAGAUCGAAUUUGGAAUAAAUGUGGGCUUUGGUCAAACCAGUAAAGAGUGAAUCUCUGGAUGGUAAAGGGAAUUUGUCAUCUUGGAGAAAGAGAUUGAGAGGUUGAUAGUUGAUCACUAAUCUCAUUUUUCCUCUGUUUUGCUCGGCUCGCUUAUUGACAUAAAAGGCUUCACAAGCCCAUUGUGAGUCGGAAACUUCAAUAAGGCCUUGUUGUAAAAGUUCCGAGCAUUCUCUUUGAGCUAAAACCAAAUGUUCNNNNNNNNNNNNNNNNNNNNNNNNNNNNNNNNNNNNNNNNNNNNNNNNNNNNNNNNNNNNNNNNNNNNNNNNNNNNNNNNNNNNNNNNNNNNNNNNNNNNUUUCAUUCCCAUGUGGCUCGCCUUGGUUGGAUUUAUGUCUCAUUUUUUUGAAAGAAGACGAACAAAGAUUCGGGGUUUUGCCAUAAAGGAUGAGAACAUUUCUGGGCAAAUUCUGAAUGAGAUUCUGAACAAGAUUCAAGCAACUUCUGCAUGAUUGGAUCUAGUAGACUCAUCUCAAUGGAAAAGAGCCUUUGAAUAUUGACAAACUCAGAGAAUUGGUCUUUAAAUCUGAGACCUUUUCCAGGAAUAAUUCGAAGCUGAGAGAUUUGAGUCAUGAUAUCCCACCCAAUUAUUAAAUCUUUAUUGGGAAGGCUUGAUCCAAAAAUUCUUGUGGUUAUGGAACACUGAGGAAAAAACUGGACAGUGACUGGUGUGGUUCUGACAUUUGUUGAGAAAGUAUCUCUUGAAGCAGAAUUGAAGUAUCUGAUGUAAGGAGUCCAGAAUUCUUUAGGCAGAACUUUUGUGUCUAGAAUAGAACAACUUGCUCCUGUGUCGAUAAGAGCAAUGACAUUGAUAGGUUUGGCAAACUUUGAGGUGAGGAUCUUAACAGGGAAAUGGGGACAGUGAGUAUGACUUGAGAAUAUGUCAGGAUUUGGUUCUGAAGCGGUGGGAGAUAUGUGAAAAAUGUCUCCAGAUUCCGAGUCAGACUCAGAGUCACUAGAAGUUUGGUAAAAAGGAAUGGCACAAAGAGUUUGUUCAGUUGGUUCAUCGUCAGCAGAGAAUAAGGAUUCAAUAUCAUCAUUUUCAAGUGAAAAACCUGUUUCAUUCUCUAUUAGAUGAAUCUGACCUUUUUUCGCCUGAGGACAAUUUUUGGCAAAAUGCCCUUUUUUGUUGCAGAUGUAGCAACGACUUGACUUCUUGUGGCCUGUGCGAUCCUUUCUUUUGCGUAGGUAUCUCCAUUUCUUCUUUUUUCGGAAAUGCUUGGAGCCAUGUUUGGAUUUCUUGAUCGAGUAUUUCUUGUAGUGCUUUUUCUUUCUGGAAUACUGGCCACAAGUACCAUCACAAUCUUGUUUGGAGUUUCGACAUCGUGACUNNNNNNNNNNNNNNNNNNNNNNNNNNNNNNNNNNNNNNNNNNNNNNNNNNNNNNNNNNNNNNNNNNNNNNNNNNNNNNNNNNNNNNNNNNNNNNNNNNNNUCCUUCAGACGCUUGUCAUCUGUGAUGUAUGUUCGGACCAUUCGACGUUUUAAGCAUAAUUCUUCAAGACAUAAAUGGACCUCUUGCUGAAUUUCUCCCAAAGGAAUAUCUUGUAUUCUUCUUUGCUUUCCAAAGAAAGAUCUUUCAACCAUCUGUGAUAACUCCUUGGGGAUAGAAGUAAGGAAGACAUGCUUUAAAUUUGGAUCUGCUCCAAUUUGGUAAAAGAGCUGAAGCAUUAGUCGAUAAUGCUUAUCAAGAUGUUUUUUCUGAAGGGAGCAGCAUCUUCUUUCGAAAAAUUCUCUUCUUUUCAGCUCCUUGAGAUCUCCCGAAGUUCCCACAAAGACAUGAUAUAAAUAAGUCAGAGCAUGGCUGAAAUUGGGUGACAUUAGGAACGUAAUUUGGUCUUGUUCCAAGAGUGACUGCCACCAGAAUUUAAGGCUCCCUGUGAAUCUGGUAACGAAGUUGUAAAGGACAUCAUUCAUAUCAUGGUUGGUAAUGGAUUGUGUACUCAGCCAAGUAUGAAAUUCUUCAAGUCUUUCUGGCCAUUUUGGAUAAGGAAUAUCAUCAAUGGAGAAGAAUUGUUUUGAUGCCAUAGACACAUGUCUAGUGGAAUCAUUUCUGGUGGGAUUGCUUGUCUGUCCAAAUUCUGGAUCAGCAUAAUUUGAUUCCAUUUCAUAGUCAUAGUCUGGAGGAGUGUCUGCCAUAAAUAUAUGUGAGGUUGGUGGAACAAUAGGGGGAGAAUCAAUGGUAUGAUCUGAGGAGAAGGAGGAAAGGGAUGAUGAGUCUGUUGUAGUAGAAGAAGUUUGUUCAGCUAGCAUAAUCUGUUUUUCUGGGAUAACAAGAUCAGGCUUAGGCUGGUGGGUAUUAGGCUCAGUUUCUUGCUUACCCAAAUCCUUCAAAAAGGAUUCUAAUGGAUUGGAUAACAUCAUUUGGUCUGGCUUUUCCCUUAUAACAAUUGAUCUUGAUUCUGUCGGUGGCGUCUUUUGUUUCCCUUUUUCCUUCUGCAGGGCUUUGAGACGAUUUCGUAUUUCCGCCAUAUCUGGUUCUCUUCUGGAGGUAUCUUCUGGAAUAUUGGCAAAAACAGAUACUUGUGGUGCUGGAGGUAUGUACCCAGUUCGAACAGGAGGUGCCAGUGGAUCAAAAGGUCUGAACCUUCCUUCUUCAAGAAGUUGAAUUUGCUUCUUGAGCUUUUCUAUCUCUGGUUUUGGACUUUCAAGGUAGUGGUACCCAAGAUGUUGUCCUGAUUCCAAAGCAUGAAGCCUUUUCUGGAAUUCAGAAAGUAUCUUCUUUGUACUCUCAUCAUAUCUUCGGAGAUCUUGUUGCACAUUUCCGAUCUUGGAAUCAAUAGCCUUGAAGGCAUUGUUUUGUGCUAACAGAGUCUCUGAUUGCCAGUUUAGAACAGCUUCAGCGGCAGAGGUUUUUUUCUGUCUCCCAUGUUCAUCCACAUCAGUGGGAGUGGGAACUUUAGGAACAUGGCGGUAUCUGCCAUGAGGAUCAAUAAACUCUUCCGUAGCAGGGAACGAGAGUUUUGACUCUUCCUUGACAAGAGGAGGAAAGUCAGUUUCUUGAAACAUGGCUAUUGAAGAAGUGGAUGGUGCUUUUGCUGGAACUUCAAGCGGGUAGGAAUGUUUCUUAGCCCACUUAAGGAUUGGCUUAUAAAAUGGAGGGAGAACUUGUUUUUUUCUGUUGAGGAGAUGGUUGGUGGUGUUUUUUGGUGGUUUGUGGUGAGGCUUGAGAUGUAGUAUUAGACUCUGGUGGUGGAGGUGGUGCAUAGGAACCAUGAAUUGGUAUUUGUCACAUUCACCAAGAGUAUCAACGGAUGAAUCUCCGUCCAAGUACCUUUGGAAAAUCUUAUCUUUUGGCCUUUUCCGUCGAGGUGGGGGUCUUGUAAAAGGAUCUACCUCAUCGGGGGAAUUUGUGCAAUAGGAACAUUGACAAAAAGGGUCCCAAAAACAAUGACCGUAUUUGUCCUUGUAGUAAUGAACAGGAUGUCCAUUACCAUCAAAGUGCCUGACAUGCUUUUUUGGAUCUGGCUCAGAAAUAGAUUGAGGAACACAUGGUUCAAUCAUAAAGAGGGUUUGGAAGAUAGAAGGGCUCUCUUCUUUUUCCUUGCCAAAUUUGAUGGAAACAGUUCCAUCUUUUUUCCUUACGAAUUCUGAGUCCGUAGAUUGGAAAGGCUUGUUGUGCUGAUGUAGCUUUUCAUAGUUGGUAAUCCAAGUUUCUGGAAGGAGUUUGGCCAACGUAUCCUUUGGAAUUUGUCUAGGAACAUGGAUACAGGAUGCUUGGUCAUUCUGCAUAGAAAUGAACAAGGCGUCUUCAUUACCAUUGUUGAAAUUGAGGUCAAGCGCAUGGUUCUGCACCCGAUAAACCAUCUGGUAAUGUAGUGUCGCAGCUACAGAGUCAGCCGUUUGAGGGGCUCCAGUAAGUUGGACUUGAACUUUCAUAAAAGAAAGCAACUGAGGAUCCGAAAGAGCAAUGUUGAAGUUGGGAUAUAGUGUGACAAAGACGGUUCCUGCAUUCAAAGUAGUUUGAACAGUACCAAUGCAGGCAUGCUGGUAUUGUAGAAACCUGGUGUCUAGCAAAGCUAUUCUUGCCACAACUGGCAAACCUUUUCGACCGUGGAAGGUCAGAGCAAGACGAACAGCUCCAUAAUGGACAUGAGUGUAUCCUUGUUGAGCCCAUUGUCUGGGAAAUUCUGGAGGGAUCUGGAGAGUAACAAAAUACUCCUUUUCAGUAGCAGGAAUAGGAUGCUGGUCGAAUUUGGAGGACUGAACGUACUCCUUUACUUGCUUUGGGGUUUGGUGAAUAAGUUGGCGGAUGGAACGAAUAGGUGAAAAUGACGAGGUUGGCUUGGCAAAAGCAGAAUAAGGGUUCAUGAGAGGAAGUUGUGUUUCAGAAAUCUUAGUUUCAUCACUAAGAGAGACUUCAUAAAGAUAGUCUAUCUUAGAAGCAUUAGAGAUACGAAACUCAGGAGGUGUUGAGGAUGAAGACGAAGGUGUUAGGGAAACUGGUGCUUCGAGGAUUUCUGGUUCUGUAGACAUGAUGAGAGGAGAUCUUCUCAGCACUGGAUUCACCUGUCAAGCGCAUGGAAUGGAUAAUAUCAAAAACGAAACCACUGGCUCUGAUACCAUGAAUGGACCUAGACUUAGAACCAGGGAGGGAGAAUAAGUAUUUCUGCAGGUAUGCAUCCCACAUAGGCGAACAACCCCGUUCAAGCCCUUCAGGGACAGCCUUUUAGCAGAAAACCACUCAGCCCUUUAGUUCAGAGCCUAGAGACACUCAGAGAUACCAGGAUGGAAACGUUUCUAACCUACCCAAGCUGCAUUUCUUGAAGGAUCCUACCAGGCUGGAGAAGAAGAGGGAACUUAGAAAGCCAUAGAGAGAUUUUCACAAAGCACACACUUUUCGGUACCAUUCUUUUAUUUUAAAAAAAAUAUUUUUUUGCAGGCAGUUUUGGAUUGAUUUUGAAUCUAUUUCUCUAACAUGUGAUGUGAUCAUGCGGGUGCGCAAACCACCAAUUUAACACCCAAGAAAGCGAUGAAUAAAUUGCAGGACUUACCUCAUAGCAACGAAAGCAUUUGCAUUGUUAGAUCAGAAUUCAUAUCAACAGAUCUAGAUAUGAUUUCUAAUUAAUAUGCAAUUUCCUUUUUUUUUGGUUUUUACUUGUUUAAUGAGAAUCAUGUAAUACGCAAUGCAUGCUACUAAUCUAACAUGGAAUGGCAUGACAAUGUGUUAUAAACUACAUGACAUGAGUAAAAUAUUUUUUGUGUUUUCAUACAAUAAUCAAAUAUGCAAAUCAAAAUGACCUAAUUAUAAUGAUGGGCAAUUUUUUAAUUAAAUGAGCCUAAUUCUACAUGGCAUGCAUUUUAUGAACCUAAUCCCACAUGACGUGCACAUGAUAUUUCUAUUCCUAAAAAUGCAAUCUAUCCUAAAAAAUUGAAACUUAAAAUGAGACAUGCAAUUCUAUUCUAAUAUGCAUGAUGAUUUUUUGUUUGUUUUUUUUUAUGUAUAUAUAAAAUUCGAAAUUUUAAAAAUUUGCACACAAUUAAACAUGCAACCUAAAAAACUAGCAUCCUAAACUAAUUAAUUUUUUUGGGAUUUUUUUUGUUUGAAGUAAAAGUCUAAUCCUAGAUUGGCACGUGCAAUUCUAAAAAAACNNNNNNNNNNNNNNNNNNNNNNNNNNNNNNNNNNNNNNNNNNNNNNNNNNNNNNNNNNNNNNNNNNNNNNNNNNNNNNNNNNNNNNNNNNNNNNNNNNNNNNNNNNNNNNNNNNNNNNNNNNNNNNNNNNNNNNNNNNNNNNNNNNNNNNNNNNNNNNNNNNNNNNNNNNNNNNNNNNNNNNNNNNNNNNNNNNNNNNNNNNNNNNNNNNNNNNNNNNNNNNNNNNNNNNNNNNNNNNNNNNNNNNNNNNNNNNAUCGAAUCUCAGGCCAUGAGGAUGGGAUCGUCGAUUCUGUAAGAGAUCGCUGAGCCGGAUUCUGGACGCGAAAUUCGAACUCCUAAUCCCUUCAUUGAGAGGUUAUUUCACAUUGUAACUUCAAUCAUGCAUUAAUGAAUAAUUACGCUAAAAAAAACUAUAUAAAAACAAACUAUAAACUAUAUAAAAAAAUAAAGAUAAAAUAAUAAUAAAAAACUACCUAAUUUGCUUUUCUUUCUUUUUUCUUUAUGUUUCGCUUCCACGCACGGCUUGGCUGCUACAAUCAAUUGAGAGGGGCAACACCGGUCGGAGCUCUGGCAAGGGGAAGACGUCGGAGUUCCAGCGAGAGUGGACUGGCGGCGUUGGCAGCAGCGGACUUGGGCGAAACAGUAGCGACACUUGGGCGGAAGUCUCGGAUGAGACUUGGAUCUGCACAACAGCAGCUUCAUCGGGCGGAGUAGAGUCGCUGGGGCUAGCAGUGGCGGCGCGGCGGUCAGCAGCAGGUGGUCGGGUUGCGGCGCAGUGGUGCUCGGAGAAAGGCGAGCACGGUGGUCGUUGGCGUUAGGUCGCAAUGAAGGGGACGGAGGCGCUGCAGCAGAGGAUGGAGCAGCUCGGCAGGGGCGACUCGGCGUCGACUCAGGCUCGGGCAGAGCAGGGAGAGGCGGAGUGGCGCAGUAACUGGCAGAGCGACGAGUGUCUGGAGUUGAGCAAGGCGUCGCAGGUUAGCAGCAACGAGCAGUAGCUGUGUCGCGGCGAGGGGCGACUCCGGUGGUGCAGCGACGAUGAUGGUCGUGGGGGAUGGUCACGGCAGCGGAGCUUCGGACGGCUAUCAGGUGGUGCAGGACGGCAAGCGGGCUCGGUGGUGCGGUGAGGAGGCUCGCGAUGGAGAUGCCGUGCGGGAGACGGUCAUGGCAGCGGAACUUCGAGCGGUUGGAGCUGUCGGGUUGUCACGACCACAACAGGAACGACGAGGGGCGGCGUGAGCUCGUGGGUGGUGCUCGCACGGGGGUGGCUGGCGGUGCGGUGGCUCGGCUGCCCGUGCUCCGGCGAGCGCAGCGGCGCGACGCGGCGGAGUAGCAGAAACCGGUGGAAAUUUAGCAGCGAAGAACUCCUGGAGAAGAUGAACAGUAGGGGUCUUGUCUUUGCUUUUUUCUUUCUUUUUUAAUCUCCUCUCUCUCACGUCUCACUCUCUACAGUCUCUCUCUCUGCUUUUUCCCUUGAACGAAGGAGAAGCUCCCCUCCCUAUGUAACUUUUCUUUUGUUUUCUCUUUCCCCCUUGUCUGACCGAAGGAGAAGCCCUCACAAUGGAAUUUUUUCUCUUUUCGCCCCCUCCUCCCCCUUUGACGCGGCUUCUUGUGGUCUUAUUUAUAGGCCGUCCAUUGCCAACUUUAUUGUGACAAGAUGCAGCUGCAACUUUUCCUGAAUUUAAGCUGAACUUUGCCAUUUUUUAUCUUCUUCUCUAGACCUUUCUUUCGGCCACCACUCCGUUCUUCAGCAAGGAAAUCUUCUUGCAGGCGCCUGUAGGAUUUUUUUUUUACAUCCCCCAUUUCGUGCGUGUAUGUACAUGCACUAAUGAGGAGAUUUCUUCUACAGUGAAUUUUCAUUGUGCCAUCAAAGUUGACAUAUUAUAUAAUAUUAUGAGCAUAUUAUAAUAACACAAUAUGGGCAUAUUAUAUAAUACGUUGUGAGCUGCUUUUGCUUCAUUGAAGAUUUCUCCCGAAUCUGCACGUCCACCGAAUUUGUGUAUGCAUGUGCAUGCAUUGAUGAGGAAUAGACAAUGGACGUGCGAGAGCUUCUUUCCUCAUUUUUUUCUUAUGCGUGUUCAGACCAGCGAAAGAGGGACCAUCCUUUUAUGCACGCAAUCGACACCGAGCCCCUGCUUCUUGUUGUCCUCUUAGUACCGAUGCAAAUGCGACUACAUGAAAUGCAAUUUUACUAUAUGCAGUUUUUACUCCCUAAUUUUCUAUGCAAUUAAUUACUACAUGAUUAGUCAAAAUUUAGGUGUUAACACAAGGAAUAGAUCUAUCAUAAGGCAAGCUACCCGAAUAUGUUUUGUUCCAUGACGAACCGUAUGUGCCUUAACUAGUGACUUGACAAGGCCACUUUGAUCCACACGCUUCUCCUCUUCUGUGACUCAUGAUAACUAACAAGGCAUAAGACUCAUAGAUCAACAAUGACAUCUAAACGAAAACAAUGAAGAGAGGAUCAAAUUUGUUACCAAUUCUCUCCAUUUGGAAAUUGAAGCUCUGAGCUUAUUGAUGAAGUCCCAAGUAUCCAUAAGCUCCUGGAUUUCAACUUCAACUCCAUCAUAGCCAGCAUCUUCCCAGCUAAGUAAUUCUUGAUCCUCACUACUUGCAGUCUUAUCUUGCUUGUCUACUGACUUGGCAUGCUUAUGAUAUCAAAAUCGAUAUCCUAAGAGAUAAAAACAGAAUACACUGAGAAUCGCAAUUCACCAGCUAAAAUUAUAGCAAAAGACUAACCACAAGCACCGAAUACAACGGUGAAGACUUGGACCAAACAUUCACCGCAAGAGGUGGCAUUGGCAAUUCUGGAACAAAGUGAUAAAGAGACCACGUAUAAUGGACCAAAAAGGACUAUUCUCUUAACUUUACCAAGCGAAGUAUUAAUACAUCUAAACUUUUUGGUAAUCUAGGAGUCACUAUUGUUUUGGCUUCUGUUUUUCCUUCCAUCCCUGUUUCAAUAGGAUCAUAUGUUCGGACGUAGUCCACAGUACAAUAGGUUAGAUCGUAAAUGAAUUGAAUAAAAUAUUAGAAACAGGUUAUAUGGGUCGAAAAAGUCGAACUAUCUAAAGAUAUGGGUCUAAAUGGGUUGGGAGUACAUCCUUUUCAAGUCCGUUUCCAUCUUACAGCCCAUUCCUAUUACAAACCUCCUACCGAACCCUACGUUUGGUCGUCCAGAUUUCUAAUUGGAAUAGGACUAGAUAUGAUAGGAUAUAAAAUACUGGGAUUUUUUUAUAUCAUGUCAAUUGUUUGGUGAAUUACAGUAUUAAAAUCGAAUAUGUUCACGUCAUAUCAUGUACAUUUUUUUUUUAUAUAUAUAAAUGGUAUAUCAUUUAAAUGAACCUAAAUGUUCAUAAAUGAAGAUAGUGAAAAUCUCUCGUAACACUAUUCCUUAAUUUAUUUUAUUUUAAUUUUCCUUUUUAAUAUUAUUUUCUUUAUUAUUUCUUUUUUCCCCUUUCAUCAUUUUUUAAUAAAAUUUUAUCAAAUAGUAAUCUGUACUAGCAUACCUAAAAUACAAAAAUACCUAAAAUAUAUAAUAAAAAUAAAAAUAUUUAAUUUAUAGAUUGAAUGUUUAUUAUAAGAUAGAAUUAAAGUUGAAUAUAUAAAUUAAAAUAAUAUUAAUUAAAAUAAAUUUCUAUUUUUUAAUUUUAAAUUUCUUAAAUUAGAAUUCAAAUAAUAUUUAUAUUAAAAUAUAUUUUCAAUUUUUUUAUUUAAUAAGUUUGUUAUUCAAGAAAAAUAACUUUCUUAUUAUGAACAUUAGAAAUUCUAUCCACUUUUAUCCCAUCUCUUCCAUGAGAUAAUUUUACCUUGUUUAUAUCCCCAUUAUAUCCAACUUUAUCUUAUCCUGAGUAAGUACCAAACAUAGGAUAUAAUAAAUCAUAUAAUUUUAUCUUGACUGCCAAGCACGGCCCAAAAGAUCAAGACUCUUUCGCCUCCGCCUCUUCCCCCACCCCUCUCUCUCUCUCUCUCUCUCUCUCUCUCUCUCUCUCUCUCUCUCUCNNNNNNNNNNNNNNNNNNNNNNNNNNNNNNNNNNNNNNNNNNNNNNNNNNNNNNNNNNNNNNNNNNNNNNNNNNNNNNNNNNNNNNNNNNNNNNNNNNNNGCUAUUGCUCUUCUGCAACACGCUUUCGUCUUUACUCAUGUGGUCAUCUUGACCUCGUUUUUACUCAUUUGGUCAUCCUGACCACCAGUGAUUGUGUAUAAAUAGAUUGCAACGAUAGUUCAAAGUAUCAAACGAUCUCUCUCUCUCUCUCCCUCUCAAGCUCCUAAAAGUGUGCUCAUAGUUUCCCUCCUUAGCUUUGAGGCAAGGCAUGGCUGAAGAUAACGAUAGUGGGAUUCAGCAGAUUCAACUGCUUAAUGGAUUUGAGGAUUUAUACGGUGGAGUCAUUCUGGAGAUCAAGGAGGAUAUGGAUGCUGAUGUGUUUGGCCCCUUGCUCCGAGCUUCAACAUCAAGUUGGAAACUACAGGUGAUGAAACUUCUAUUUUAUCAGUCUUGUCAAUUUAUUUAUUUUUUCCGAUUUGUGCCGGUCCAGCCACCCAAAAGGAUCCCGGACCUUUCAUUGGGGGUUUACCAGCCUAGUAUGCUAGGAUAAGGCAGUGACCUCCCUUCAGGUGGGAUCCUAGCGUUAGAAGCACUGUGGCCGGAGAGCCCAGUGGGGCCUUUAUCCCGUGUUCCUUCCCCUCAUUUGCCUGUAAAUGGCUUGUGGGGGGAAGGCACUCUAGGAUGGCAUGUUCAGGGUGGAGCAGUUUAAAGACCUGCUCAGGUCUAAGAAUACCCCUAUUUUGCACUGUAUUUCUUAUCGGGUAUCUUUUGGUUGCAGGGGAAGAAGGAUGUCUGGCUCAAAUUGCCCCGGGAGUAUUCACAUCUUGUUGACAUUAUAGUGAAGGUACAUAUUAGAGGUGUCAAAAUAAAUCUAAAACCCAUUCUUUAACUAUUUUUAAUAGGCUAGAUUGUAAAUUUCUUUUUUAUUUUUGGGUCUGAGGUUAGAUCGUAAAUGAAUUGGCUAAAAUAUUAGAAACGGGGUGAAAUGGGUCCAAAAAAACAGGCCCUUAGCAGGAUUGGGAGUACGUCCAUUUCAAACCCUUGACUACCUAACCCAAAAAGAUCAAAAUCCCCCUUCUCCUUCGGCCUUCUUAAAAACAUCCUUGAAGUUGAACGCUCUUCUUGGAUGCUCGACCCCGGCAUGGACGGCAUCGACCCCGACCCCUCCGACUUCGGUUGCUCCGUCGCCCUCAACAUGAUCCCAUCGGCGACAUCUUCGACGCCUCUCCCGCCGGCGACAUCGACCGGCGCCAACGUGCGGUCGCAGAGUCCUCGGCCUCCCCCACUUCGCCGCCGCAGAGACCGGCCUCGUUCCAGGCGACGGGAGUUCAAUAAAUGGGUGGAUUUAGGUCGAAAUAACCCGUCCACUAUAUAUGUCCCCGGGAGAUUUAGUUCGCUUGUUAAAUCUGUUUCUAGCAGAAAUUUUGGCAGAUUUAGGUAUGAUUGAAGGUUCUAAUUUGGCAGGAAGGAUUCAAGCGCCACCAUACCGGAGCAAGUCGCUUGAUGCUUGUCUGCUGGCUUCCUGAGAUCCCUCAUACUGUUGCCGUGGAUGCUUCACGGAUGGUCGGCGUUGCUGCUUUUGUCCUGAAUGAUAGACGAGAGGUAUCUGUUCACUCUGCUUUAUCUUGUUUUCAGCGUGAUUCUACUGCAACUAGACGCACAAUGCUUUAAAGAAUUUAAAAACUUUGUCCCCCUUUCUAGGUGCUUGUAGUCCAAGAGCGUAAUGGAAUGUUCCAAGAUACGGGUGUGUGGAAACUCCCCACUGGAGUUCUGAAUGAGGUGAGUAUGUUAAAGAUAUCGGGUGCUGCAUAAGAAGUAUCGAUGCAUAUUGCAAUGGUUUGACUGUGACUCUAUCCUCGUAGGGUGAGUAUAUAUGUCAUGCGGUUGUCAAGGAAGUUAACGAAGAGAUGGGAGUAAGUGAUGAGUUUUAUGUUGUGUAUAAAACUUAAUUCUCUAAGGCAUUUCACUUGAGAAUUCCAAGUAAAGCCUUAUUCUUUUACGCUCUACAGGUAGACACUAAAUUCGUGGAAGUCCUCUGUUUCAGGUAGAGAAAAUCCUCAAUCUUUAGUAUGUUUUGGUCUUCAUUUAGAUUUCUGCUUUUAGCCUUCUGAUGUUCAAAUUUGCUUUCGCUUUUCUCACAUUCUAUCUCUUAUGUUCUGUCACAGACAAAGCCACAAAUCAUUCUUCACGAAGACAGAUUUGUUCUUCCUUUGUGUGCUUCAGCCAGAAUCUGCUGCAAUUGAGUUACAGAAUGUAGAGACCGAGGCAGCAAAGGUAAAUUGCACACUUGCAUAUCUUCUUGAUUUUAGAGACUUCGCUGGAUAUCUGUUGGUUCUUUCUUUGGCCAAAUUUAUGAACUGAACUGGAUAUAUUUUAUUUUGAUUAUAGUGGAUGCCAAUUGAGGAGUACGCAGCACAACCUUUCAUCGUUGAAAACAAGCAAUUCAAUUUUAUGGCAAACAUAUGCUUGGCAAAGGCUGAUCAUUGCUACCCGGGUUCUGCUGUUUUGGCCACAACUGCUGGGGUGGCAGAAGGACUUCCAUCUACUGCAAUAACCCCGAAAUUGAGGAGAACUUGGCAAGUUGCGUGUAAUUCCUGGAUUGUGAUGCGGAACUUCUUCCUUGGACCCAGGCCUACUGGGCCGUGUUGAUCCCCACCGCCGAUUUUGUGGGCCGCAUAUGGUAGGCUAGGCAAGAAUUUUCCGGUUGUGAUGUCGCAUGGUCUUUUGCUUCUUGUUUUUUGGAGAUAUAGGGGCUCAUUGUUUUUCCCAUCUUCAAUUCGUAGACUGAAAUCUUGUGUUUGCCUGUGUUGCCGAUGUCUGGGCUUUUUCAGCCCUUGGAAUGGUGUAAAUGAUGGUUUGUCUAUAGUUUCCCAACAGAUUUUUACUGUACUAAGGCUGUUCUCUUGUGUUUGCCUGUGUUGCCGAUGUCUGGGCUUUUAGUCUCCUUUUGUGUUUCAAGCUCGCGCCUGGGGCACGUGUGCAUGUCGAGCAAGUGUGCCCGCCCGUGAGCACGGAAGGAACGGGACUUGUUUUGAGUUUGUAAGGGCACUGGUUGGGCCACCCAGCGCGGCAGUAUCGGAAGCAUUAUUCGUGGGGAAGGUUGGAGAUGAGAUUGGGGACGAGUUGUUUAUGAUGAUGAGUAAGGAGAGAUGGUUCAAAUGGCGGUGGUAACUAAUAGCUGUAGAUAUCUUAGGUCCACUAGUAAUAAAUCAUCUAAGUUGCCUUCAGAUCAAUUAUGACCAUUAUCUCAUUCUUUGAAUAGGUCUAUGAUCCUCUUAUUGCACAAUUAACGAUGACCUUGACUAAUUAAUUCAGGAGUAUCCUUUAGAUAUAUUUAUUUUUAGAUGAUCCAAUAUUUGCCAUGGCCCACACACGUGGCAAACCAUAAGUGCAUGGAAGCCGACUUUUCCCAGGAUCAACUCCUGGACGGCGUUAAGGACGGUUUGAACUUUGAAGCGUCGGGGGAGAGGAAAAUGUGGGAGAGAAACAAGAGUGUUUGGAUGGGGAUAUAAAAAGGUUUCUCUUUACCCUGGUAUUCAUUUAUAAGGCAAUUUUAAGAUAGAACGCGAAGCAAGUUAGUUCCCUAUUCAGAGGAUAUAGCACCUUGCAGCAUCAUGUUACUAUUAGCUAAAUUUGGUCUUCAGGCCCCUUAAAAAGCUCCCCUUGAUUUCCUAAUAAAUUUUAGCAUGUUUGCUUUAUUUAGACGGUGCCCAACAUAUGAAAGAAAUCACUUAUUCCCGUUGGUUCUUUUAUUCUCUGAUAGCUAUAGCAAAAACAUCCUCGCCCAAUACAUCUGAUGCAACAUUAAUUAUCGAAGGUACUCACCUCAUCAACAGGUCCAGUCAGGAGCUUCCAGAUGCCCGUGCGUUCAAAUUUCCUGCCUUUCUCAAUAACCACAAGCACCUGGAAAGAGAAGAAAACGUCUCGACUUCGAAACUGCCAAGUCAUGCUGUAAUCUUACCAGAAACCAGGCAUCUGGAAAGAACGAACUUGCACUCAUAUGUUUUGGCUUAUGAGUUAUGAAGGUCUAAGUAAGGCCUUUGUCCAUUCCUUCCUCUAAUUUGACUGUCUAAGAGUAGCCGAAAGAAAAAAUCCAACGAAUGACAUUGAGGGUUCAUAGUUAUCUCUCCUUUUUAAUUCAGACCAAAAGCAGCAGUAGCCACCUUAAGUAAAGCACCUGCCCGUACCUAAAUCCCUCCUGCCCAGUUCUCACGAAAACAAAAAUCAUGAGAACACUUGAUACAUUACGAAAUUGCUAGCUAAUGCUGCAUAGGAAGCAUGUCCAGGGAAUAGAUCUAUCAUCAGGCAAGCUACCCGAAUAUGUUUUGUUCCAUGAAGAACCGUAUGUGCCUUAACUAGUGACUUGACAAGGCCACUUUGAUCCAGACGCCUCUCCUCUUCUGUGACUCAUGAUAACUAACAAGGCAUAAGAUACACAUAGAUCAACAAAUGACAUCUAAACGAAAACAAUGAAGAGAGGAUGAAAUUUGUUACCAAUUCUCUCCAUUUGGAAAUUGAAGCUCUGAGCUUAUCGAUGAAGUCCCAAUAUCCAUAAGCUCCUGGAUUUCAACUUCAAUUCCAUCAUAGCCAGCAUCUUCCCAGCUAAGUAAUUCUUGAUCCUCACUACUUGCAGUCUUAUCUUGCUUGUCUACUGACUUGGCAUGCUUAUGAUAUCAAAAUCGAUAUCCUAAGAGAUAAAAACAGAAUACACUGAGAAUCGCAAUUCACUGGCUAAAAUUAUAGCAGAAGACUAACCAUAAGCACCAAAUACAACGGUGAAGACUUGGACCAAACAUUCACCGCAAGAGGUGGCAUUGGCAAUUCUGGAACAAAGUGAUAAAGAGACCAUGUAUAAUGGACCAAAAAGGACUAUUCUCUUAACUUUACCAAGCGAAGUAUUAAUACAUCUAAACUUUUUGGUAAUCUAGGAGUCACUUCUGUUUUGGCUUCUGUUUUUCCUUCCCUCCCUACCCCGACAUGGAUGGCAUCGACCCCUACCCCGACGACUUCGGUUGCUCCGUCUCCCUCAGCAGCAUCUCUUCGGCUACAUCUUCGAGGCCUCUCACCCCAGCAACAUCAACCGUCUCAAGUACCUCCUCGAGACCGGCGCCAAUGUCAGCGCCCGGGAUCGGUCGGCUUGAGCCUCACCAACGUUCAAUAUGUUUUUCCUUGGCUAAGAAUUAGCUUUGUUCCCUAAGAGAUUUAGUUCAACUCGAUGGUCCAUGCUUGUUAAAUCUCUUUCUAGCAGAAAGUUUGGUAGGAUUAGGUAUGAUAGACGUUCCUAAUUUGGCAGGAAGGAUUCAAGUACCAUCAUGCCGAACCAAGUCACUUGAUUCUUGUCUGCUGGCUUCUUGAGACCCCCGAUACCAUUGCUGUGAAUGCUUCACGUAGGGUCAGCGUUGGUGCUUUCGUCUUGAAUGAUAAAAGAGAGGUAACUUUCUGCCUUGCCAUUGUCCCAUUUCUUGCACUCGCUCUUUUAAGAUUAUCUAAUAAGAAGAUGCAAAGAGAUAGAAAUGCAACAUGUGAUCUGUUCAUUCGGUAGUUCUUAGAAGUUCGGAGUCAUACUCUAGCACCAGACAUUAUGGGUGCGCAUGACAACAUUUCUAUUUCAGGGAACUAUUUCUUUUUAGAAAGAGUUUUUUUUUUUCUAUUUCUACUCUGGGAACAAUUUUGACUAAAAUAAGGUGUUUAGUAAUUAUACAAAAUUUAUAUUUUUGAAAUAAAAAAAAUAAAAAUACGUUUGGUAAAAAUUUAUAAUUUUUUGUAUUUAUUUGUUUUUUCUUCUUACUCACGGAUUGUCGACCAUCGCCCACCGCCGAACAACCGCUGCACGAUGGCUGCCCGCCACCGCACGACUGCCGCACGACCACCGACCGUCACCACCGACCGCCAAUGAGCUGUGGGCGGCGAUCUUGCGCCGCCGGUUGGCGACGAUAGUUGGCAGUCAUGCAGCAGUAGGCGGCGGUCGUGCGGCGGUUGGCAACAACAGGCUGCCUGUCCAUGCGGUAGUUCUUGAUUUUGCUUGAAGUAUGAGGACUUUUUACCAAUUAAAUCUUUGCUUGGGCUGUCUUGUACGAUGCUGGGCAUUGUGCUUUAAUCUUGCGUUCUUGCUCAUGCGUGCUAAACAAUGAAUGGAGUAAAAUUUAAUGUAUAAUUUAUUAAGCACAUCAACGAUGAGAGACUGCACUAGAUAUCUGUUUGGAUCUACCCAUUUAGUAGCGGUGUUCAAAGAUCGGUUCUUUCUUUGGCCAAAUUAAUGACUUGAACUGGAUAUAUUUUAUUUUGAUUAAAGUGGAUGCCAAUUGAGGAGUACGCAUCACAACCUUUCGUUGUUGAAAACAAGCAAUUCAAUUUCAUGGCAAAUAUAUGCUUGGCAAAGACUCAUCAUUACUACCCGCGUUCUACUGUUUUGGCCACAACUGCUCGGGUGGCAGAAGGACUUCCGUCUACUGCAAUAACACCCCGAAAUUGAGGAGAACUUGACAAGUUGUGUGUAAUUCCUAGAUUGUGAUGCGGAAUUUCUUUCUUGGACCUAGAGGUGUCAAAAUGAGUCUUAGACCCAUUUAUGGCCCAUUUAAAUCAUAAAUGGGUCAUAUAUGGGUCACUUAUUUUUGACAAAAAAUAGUUAAAUGGGUUUACUUUGAUAGGUGAGUUUUAAGUGGGUCUUAAGAGAGAAACUCUCUUCUCUUUUUAACUUUACAAAAAUAAUUUUUAUAAAUACUGAAAUUAUAAUUAUUUUUUUUAUUUUAAUUUUCUUUUCUUUUUUUCUUUUUUUUUCUUGUUCUUUUCUUUUCUUUCUUCCUUUUUUUUUUUUUUCUUUCUUCUUCCUCCUGUCGUCGGCACAGCAAUGGCUGGCGACCGGCCAGGCGAGCCUCGAACUCGGCGAUGUCAGGCCAGCUCGAGCUCGCCAGAUCUAGCGAGGCAGAGGCCUCGCCGACACCGGCGAGGCUCGAACCUUGCCGAUGCCCAGCGAGGCUUGAACCUCGCCAAUCUGGUGAGACUCGAACUCACUGGUGUCAGGCGAGGUUCGAGCCUCACCAGAUCCGGCGAGGUGCGAGCUCGAGCUCGCCCAACGCCGAUGAGCCUCGCCAGAUCUGGUGAGGGGCGAGCUCGAGCUUGCCAGACGCUGGCGAGGCUUGAGCUCGCCAAAUCUAGUGAGGCGGAGGCCUCGCCGAUGUCUAGCGAGGCUCAAGCCUCGCCAGAUCCGACGAGGGGCGAGCUCGAGCUUGCCCGACGCUGGCGAGACUCAAGCUCGUUGGAUCUGGCAAGGCUCGAAGAACCAAAAAAGAAAAAAGAAAAUUAUAUUUUAAAAAUUAAUUUUUAAAAAAUAAAAAUAAUUAAUAUUUGAUUUUUUAAAAUAAUUAUUUUAAAAAUUAUAAAAAUUGUCCAUUAAAUUUAUGUUGUAUAAAACUAUUUUAGAAAUUCAAUUUUAAAAAAUAAUAUAUAUAUAAGAAGUAAGCUUGGAAGUUUUUUAGUAAUAUAAUCUUUAAAAAAAAACAUAAGAAUAAGUUUUCCUAAAUUUGGUUAAAUAUGAAAGUAUUUUAUUAAUAUGGUUGGGUCAGGUAUUGGUCGGGUAUGGGUCGAAAAAUUUACAUUAAGCUUAAAUGGGUCAUAAAUGGGUUAAUAGGUCAAUUUGAGUCGACCCAUUAAUGACCCGACCCAAAUCCGAUCCGACCCACCCGUUUGACACCUCUACUUGGACCCAAGCAUAUUGGGCCAUGUUGACCCCCACCGCUGAUUUUGUGGACCCCAUAUGGAGGUCCGACAAACUUAGAGGUUAGGACUUUGCAAUCAUGAGUCACUUUUGUGUCAUUUUGUAGUAGUUUUUGUCGAAUUCUGUUCACAUGUUCUGGUUUCAAAUGAUGGUUUUUGGACGCAGAAUGAUGUCUGUUAUUGUGAUUUCUAAACGUUUAAAUGCAACCUGUGUAAACAAUAUUUUAUGUGGCUGUGCGUAUGAAAAAGUCCCUGGUAGUUCUAAUUCAUUAGAGCUGGGAUUUCGCAUUCUAAUGUAUGAACAAUUACUUCACUUCCAUCACAUAGCCAUGCUUAGAAUUGGCACUUCCCUUUUUGUCUGGUGUGGUGCCUUAAAAGGGCAUUUAAGCACGAAAUGAGGAGACCCAUAACUGCAUCAGUGAGCAAAAUAAUCUUAUAGGUUAGUUGCCUUUGAAAUGACGAUAUGUUGACCAUGCUCCAUUGAAGAAUAAGCCGCAAGGAGUGAUGGAAAUGGAGAGGACCUCCCUCAGAGGCAAUUACCUGGCGUAAUACCCUGAGAAAGGACACCAUGUCUUUCAUCACCCUGGAUACACUCUGACCACUCACUAGGCGACAGUACGCCCACCACCAUUUUCUUUGUUUCGUGUGCACUUUCUAGCAGCAGAUGACCGUACCUUUCGUCUGUCGUCCGGGUUAUUGCCAAAAGUGGUCCUUCUUGCAUUUUCCGUCUCCAUUCUAACGUUGAUUACGUUCGGACAACUUAUCAAAUUGAAAUGGAAAGGGGAGGACUCCUGGAUUGCGAAAAAGUUAGAUGUAUCCACGCUCCGCUCAGUAAAGUUAAGAGAAAUAGUCCUUUUCGUUCCAUCAUAGUAGGUCUCCUCUGUGUCACUUUGCUCCGGAACUCUCUGAUUAUGCCACCUCUUAUACUGAACGUUUGGUCCAAGUCUUCUCAGUUAAAAGUCAGUUUUGAUACUUGGUCUUCUGCUAUAAAUUAAGCGGGUGAUUUUGAAUACUCCAUAUACACUGCUUUAUCUCUUAAGAUACCGCUUUUGAUAUCAUUAACAUGUCCAGUGGUCUGUCAUCAGCUUCGGAUCUAUAGAACAGUCGUGCGGUUGGAGAUUUGCUAUCCGAAAGUCACGGGUUGUUAUAGAGGAGAGUAUAAGUCGCAUAAAGAAAUUCAAUCUUCUAAUGAUUAUUGCAGGACUUCUACUUGGUUAUUUAAGCAGUAAAUUCCAUGAAUUAUAGUCAUUAAACGGAACGGCUCAUUGUGAAUAGGAAAUAACAUUUACCGGAUGGUAUAAACACAUAUAGAUGGAUUCAAAUUAAAUUCCUACUCCCUCUUCCUGCAUGUCUCAUGAGAUUAAUGUACUUAUCAAUAGUAAUCCUUGUUCAAGUUAUAAAGGAAACUGUUCGCUUCAGACUAGAGCUUGAACAUCCUCUUGCGUUGGCCACCUGUAAAUCAAAUGAUCUUUGUCAAACCAAAUUCUCGUAAAGGAAAGAUAGUGAGAGAGAGAGAGAGAGUAGACGUUGUAGUUAGUGCCCAAGUCUCUCAUGGAGUUUGGUGAACACUAAUGACAGAGGCUGCUUGACAAAAACAAGUCAAAGGGCAAGUAGAUUCAUAUGAUGUAUGUGUAUACCUCAUUAAUGGCUGUCGUGAUUUCCUUGAAAUCGACAGUGUAAAUGAUUGCUUCUGUCUCAUAAUCCCACAAAACGGAGAAAAGAAUUUAAAGCUUCGGUCCUUUCUAGUUUCUGCCCAAUUUCUACGUGGCUUUACAUUUACGUCCCGAUCUCCUUCUUCAGCUGCCUUUUCUUGCUCUUCGUUCGAUCAUGAGACAUGACCAGCAAGAAUGUCUUUAACGACCUGGUCAUGCCAGAGAAGUAAAAAUGGCGGGAAGUUUGAGCUCAUUGCGUCUAAUGUGCACCCACUAGGUGCCGUUUCCCUGCAGGCUGCUUUGUGUACGUGAAGAUUGCUAGUCAUUUGAUUGGCAUAUGAGUUUUAAUGCUUGUCAGAGUUUGAUUUCCUAGCGAACGAUCUGCUUAAGAAAAUAUCCUAACCAACAGUUUCAGAUGAUUGGCUGGUUUGCUAAGUGUCGCGAAUAGAUCUUCCGCACCAUGGAAAUUGGGGUUGCGAUUGGUCAGAAGGAGAUUUCAAAUGUUGAGACAUUGUGAUUUUAAGAAUUGAGGCAUGCUUGAUUGACCGCUGUGGAAAAGAAAAAUUGCAGCAAAAUUCUGUCCACUUUGGAUUCAUGUGCUGGGGAACCAUAAUUGUGCGACAAGAUGAUAUAUAAUAGUAAUUACUCGUGCCAUUUGUACUGCUGCUAGCUGACUUCAGCACAUUAUUGUGUGAUAAAUUUUCAUCACAGUUUCGUGAAUUGUCCUACGUAAGUUGGUCUUGUGACACAGAAACACGUUCAACAAGAUCUAUAGGAGCAACCGAAAGAAAAGGACAAUUGGCUCUUAAUGGAAGUCCAGGGAAGAUAUAUAUUGAGUGCCUUUCAAGCAGGCUUAGAGGAUUUUUGGGUUUGAAUCCGCGCAAUUUGGUCAGGAGGGUUGUCUUUCCCUUCAUUUGAAUAUUACAGGGUGACGGAAAAUAAUGGAAGGGCAAAUAAACUUAUGAAGAGAGCCCACUCUACGUCAAUUUGGAUGACUGAAACUCCAUUUUAUAAUAGAAAGUCGAGUACUUUCAUAGCUUUCAAAGACGCGGUAUUUUAGACAUAAUAUUUUCUUUUCUCUGGUGGUUGAAGAAAGGAAAAAGGCCCGAUUGACCAUGUGUUGAGGAGGUGCUUUUAUCGUUCAACUUCAUCUGGAAUCAGCAGGAGAUCAUCCAUUGGAAAUUGAUUGAAGAUAGAUAUGCAAAAACAGCAUAUCUUAAUGUAUUUUAAUAUUUUAUCAGUAGUUUUCAUGCACUUAAGCCUGACAUUGACAUAGAAUCAGGCCUCGCCACACUUGCUUUUUUAGCACUUCAAACUCCUGAGUAUGAAUACCAGUCCCAAAUAUUUUCCCACACAUUGCACUGUGCCUCUUGAUCCAACUUAAUUGAUCUAAAGAAAGCGGUAAGGUAUCGUGUUUGCAAUCAUAAGGUCGAAAGUGCAGUCAUCCUGAGAGAUGGGUAGAAAAUGUAUCCUUUCUUAACUGAAAAAUAACUAGGUAAAAUUAACACAUCUCGACAGAAAAUGAACCUUGUUGCAAACGAGAGACAGGACUCUGAAUACUAUUCAAAAUCCCAGAAAAAAAUUUCCAUAAGAUACUGCAGAUUCCUGGGUUAUGGUUAGUAGGCAUGAAUAAUUUUUCCAGACUUCAAAGUGAUGGCUGGAGGAGCAAAACCGGGCAGUCACCGUUGGCCUUCACUGAUCAUAUCUUCGCCACACAGUCGACCUGCUUAUUUUGAAAUACAAAAGGCUGCUGUGCAUAUUUUUCUUCGUAAUACUUCGUUUCAUUCACAAAACAAGAACAGACAGAGACUACAAUCUUCUCUAAUCUCAAACCAGAAGAUAAAGUUGCAAAAUAUUCGAAAAGGCACUAGAGCAACUUCAACCAAAGGCAGCACAGAGUCGGCUGGCCAGGUUUUCCUGGGAAUAUACACUACAAGUAUCUUCAUGUAUUCCAAGAUGAAAGAUGACUAACCACUUCUCCGAAAGUCAACACCUAGAAUAUGUCCCAGAGCUACUCUGAACUUCAUAGCCAAAAAAGAACCAAAAACGGGACUGAUCCUGGACUUAUGCUCGGUCACACUGUCCUGCUAAAUAAAUUGGCACACAUUGCAAUAAAAUGCUGAAGGACAAGCCAGUUGCACUGCUCAUGGUAACAAACUCGGUGCAGUUGGAAAAGAAGCAAAAACAUAGAGUCAGUCGUUACAAGAUUCUCAGUUUACUCAUAAAGAUGGAACUCCAAGCAAGUUAGUUCACUAUCAGAGGAUACAACCCCUUCCAACAUCAUGUCACUAUAGCUAACUUUGGUCUUUGGGCCCCUCAAAAAGCUCCUCUGGAUUUCCCGACAAAUAUAUAUAAAGAAAAAAAAAGAGAGAGAGAGAAACUAUUAGGAAAAUUUUGAGCUGACAAAUUUCAAAGAUUUUUGGUGAACAUAGUAUCAAAGGAAUAAUUCAAAUACUAAAAUUGAAACGGUAAAAGCAAAAGUCGCUCUUAUUGCAUAUUUACCAAAACCAGGGAAAGUUUGAAAGUGUCUGCAAGUUACCCUAGCCACCUCAAUUUCUCCAUCCUGUUUCAGGAUGCAAGGCAAACACAGGCCACGGCAUGCAGAUGAAGAGCAACUCAGAUUUCGUAAAGAAUGACUUGUAGCUUUGCCUGUGCUCAAACAGAGGACAUUCAAUCUGGUUUUUUUCCACAGGAAAAAGAAAAAUGAGGACGAAAUAGUCUUGACAAGGCCAAAGCGUCCAUCAAUGAAACACGAGACCAAACUAUAGCGGUGCAACAUUGUUAAAAUUAGGCUUUUAAGAAAGCUAACAGAAUUAUAGCAUUAAUCUUAAACUUUGAGGAACAUCAUCUUUACCUGAAUGCCAGGACUUCAGUGAAUUCAGGGUCUAUCUGAACGAAAUAAAAACAAUCGCUUUAUCUGGCAUUCCCAUGCAAAGGAACCGAGAUAUUACUGUGUUUGCUUUAUUGAAACGAUGCCCAACAUAUGGAAAGGAUCUACGACCAAAAAAAACAAAACAUAUGGAAAGGACCACUUCCUCCUGUCACUUCUUUUACUUUUCUGAUAGCUAUAGCGAAUACAUCUUCACCCUAUACAUAGUCAAAUUAUCAAAUCCGUAAAACUAUAAUAACCGAAAUCAAAGACCCAAAAACAUCUGAUGCAGCUUUAAUUAUCAAAUGUACUCACCUCAUCGACAAGUCUGGUCAGGAGCUUCCAGAUGCCUGUGCCUCUGAAUUUCCUGCCUUUCUCCAUACCAUAAGCACCAGGAAAGAGAAGAAAAUGUUUCAACUUCAGAACUGCCAAGUCAUCGUGUCAUUUCACCAGAAACCAGGCAUCUGGAAAGAAUGAACUUGCAUGCAUAUAUUUUGGCUUAUGAGAUAUGAUGGCCUAAGAAAUACCCGUUGUCCAUUCCUUCCUCUAAUUUGACUGUCUAAGAGCAGCCAAAAGAAAGAAUCCAAUGAAUGACAUUGAGUGUUCACAAUUAUCUCUCCUUUUUCCAUUCAGACCAAAAGCAGCAACAGCCACCUUAAGCAAAGCACCUGCCUGUACCUAAAUCCUUUCUGCCCAGUUCGCAUGAAAACAAAAAUCAUGAGAACACUUGAUACAUCAUGAAGCUGCUCGCUACUGCUGCAUAAGAAGCAUGUCCAGGGAAUAGAUCCAUCAUAAGCGAAGCUAAUCCAUCAUAAGCGAAGCUACCAGAAUAUGUUUUGUUCCAUGAAGAACUGUAUGUACCUUAACUAGAGACUAAGCAAGGUGUGCACCCUUCAAUGGCCACUUUGAUCCACAUGCCUCUCCUUCUGUGACUCAUGCUGACUAACAAUGCAUACUACACAUAGAUCAAGAAGUUACAUCUAAAAGAAAACGAUGAAGAGAGGAUCAAAUUUGUUACCAAUUCUCUCCAUUUGGAAAAUUGAAGCUCUGAGCUUAUUGAUGAAGUCCUGAGUAUCCAUAAGCUCCAGGAUUUCAACAUCAACUCCAUCACAGCCAGCAUCUUCCCAACUAAGAAAUUCUUGAUCCUCACUACUUGCAGUCUUAACUUGCUUGUCUACUGACUUGACAUGCUUAUGAUAUCAAAAUUGGCAUCCUAAGAGAUAAAACAGAAUAUACUCAGUAUUCACAAUUCACCAGCUUAAGUUAUAGCAGAAGACCAACUAUCAGUACUGACAAUAAAUGUGAACACUUGGACCAAACAUUCAGCAUGAGAGGUGGCAAAAUAUGAGAGGACAAAUACAGGAACAAAGUGACAAAAAGAGACCAAGUAUGAUGGACCAAAAAGCACAAUUUCUCUUAACUUUACCAAGUGGAGUCUCGAUACAUCUAAACUUCUUGGUAAUCUAGAAGUCAGUUCUGUUUUGGCUUCUGUUUUUCCUUCCCUCCCUAUUUCAAUAGGAUCAUGUGUUCGGACGUAGUCAACAGUUGAAUGGUUAUGGUAAAGAGCAGAUAUAGUAUAUAGAGACAGAAAUACAAUAAGGACGACGAUUGGCGCUAACCAGAACAACAAAUAAAAGCAAGAUGUGGCCAUCUGCCACAAAAAAGCACGCACAAAACAAAGAAAAUGGUUUAUGUACUGUCCCUUGGUUUUUCUUUUUCCUUUUUUUUUUUCCGUCAUUGUCGCUCCGUAAAUGUUUAAACAGAUGGUGUGCUUGUAUUGUAUAGUCAUCAGCAUUUUGCUGUAUGUUUGUAAGUGGGCAUAGUAAAUUCAGAGUGAUGAAUGACAAUUGAGUCCUUUCUCAGUGUAUUACACCGGGUGAUUGCCUCUCUGGGAGGUCUUCUCCAUUUCCAUCACUUCUUGCAGCUCAUUCUUCAAUGGAUCACGGUCAAUUUAUAAUCAUUAUGAAGAUGACUAAGCUGCAACAUUAUUUUGCUCACUGAUGCAGUUCUGUGUCUCUGCUCAUUUCGUGCUUUUUGCCUUUCCAAAGGAGAACACCAAACAAACAGGGAAGCACCAAUUCUAUACAUCACUAUUCCAUGAAAGUGAAGUAAUUGUUUGUACUCUGGAAUGCAAAAUCACAGUUUGAAUGGAUUAGAUCUUCCAGGGAUUUUUCGUAUGCAUGGCCAGAUAUCGAUUACACAGGUUACUUAGCAAACAACCUUUAGAAAUUAGAAUAAGAAAAGUGAUUCUGCUUCCCCAGAUAGCCUCCCGAAAACAACAUUAAUCCAAACCAGACUAUGUUAUCAGAACUGUAUAAACUACUAUAGCAGGACAGAAGAUCCAGCUGUUUCAUGCUAUUUAUUCAGUGCAUCCACAGGACAAGAAGCAAAAGUCCAUGCAACAUCACACUCGAGAAUUUUUUGCCUAGUUCCAGGUCCAUUGGACUGACUCCAUCCUAACCAUUACGAAAUCAGCGGUGGGGAUCAACAUAGUCCAGUAGGCCCAGGUCGACGGAAGAAAUUCCUCAUCACAACGCAGGAAUUACGUAAAACUUGCAAAAUUCUCCCGAACACGAAGGUAAUUAUGCAGUAGAUGUAAGACCUUUUGCCACCUCAAGUCGUUGCCAAAGGAGCAAAACCGGGGUAGCCAUACUUCGCCCUCGCCAAGCAAAUCUUUGCCAUAUAAUUGAAUUGUUUGUCUUCGACAAUGAAAGGUUGUGCUGCAUACUCCCCAAUUGGCAUCCACCUAGAAUCAAAAUAUAAAAAUGCAAGACUAAAGCACGCAGCCGGCAUUGUGCAAGACAGCCCAAGCAAAGAUUUAAUUAGUAAAAAGUCGCCCUACUUCUACCAAAAUCAUUAAGAUUUGCAAGUGCGCAAUUUACCUAGGCCAUAUUGACCUCUACAUUCUGUUUCUCGAGAGAACAUGAUUGUGGCUGAAGCAUGCAAAGGAAGGACAAAUCUGAUUUUGAGAAGAAUGAUUUGUGGUCUUGCCUGCUAUAGCACAUAAGAGAUAGUAUUUUAGAAAAGAGAAUGCAAAUUUGAACAUCAGAAGGCUAAACUUGGAAAAAAAAAAAAGGCUCUAAAUGAAGACCAAAACAUAUUAAUGCACCACAAUCUGAAGUAGAGGAUUUUCUUUACCUGAAAUAGAGGACUUUGACGAAUUCAGUGUCUAACUAUAGAAUGUAAAAGAACAUGGCUUCAGUUGGAAUUCUCAAGUGAAAUGCCUCAGAGAAUUAGCUUUUCGACACAACAUAAAACUCAUUACUUACUCCCGUCUCUUCCUUUGCCACUCUCACAACUGCAUGGCAUAUAUCUUCAUCCUACGGGGAUAGAGUCACAGUCAAACAAUUGCAAUACAUAUUGAUAAUUCUGAUGCAGCACUUGAUAUCUUAAAUGUACUCACCUCGUUAACAACUCCAGUAGGGAGCUUCCGCGUACCUAUGAACCUUCCACUAUUCUCUUGGACGACAAGCACCUAGAAAGAGAAGGGGUUGAAGGUUUUAAGUUCUUUGAAGUGUUGAGUGUGUGGUUGUAUUAAAAUCACGUCGAAAACCUGAUAGAACAGAGCGAAAGCAUGCACUGAAGGAAAGCUAGUGUAAAAUUUUGCUGCAUCUAUUCAUAAAGUAAGGCUGUAAUUGACGGAUUGAAUCACCUAAGAGAGGAAAACAGACGGAAAAUUAUAGAUUGAUGCUAAAGAUGAGAAGGUUUCAUUUACUAAUAUCACGUAAAUAGACGGCUCAUCAUUUGGAUAUCCUAGUCAAACCAAAAGAUUAAGGAAUAUAUUGUCACCAAAGGCUGGUUCUGUUAGGAAAAAGGUUUAAAAAAUUACCAUCUCUGCUUAUCAACAAUGGUAACAUAUACGAACAUGAAUCCAGUGAACAUUGAAUGCUAAGGAUUUCUUGCCAGGCAAAAUAACUGAAAAUCCCAUCUACCAUUCUAAAGGAUUCAAUGCCUAUCAAGCAGGUGGAUUUCACACACUGCACAUCUCUAGUUUUACUUACUGCUUCAGGGAGAACUGUCCAGGGCUAGAGACCAAGCUUGAACUUCUAAGAACUACUGAAUGAGAAAAUCGAAUGUUACAUUUCACCUCUCUGCAUCUUCCUAUUAGAUAGUCCUAAAAGGGCGAAUGCAAGAAAUGAGACAAUGGCAAGCCAAAAAGUUACCUCUCUUUCAUCAUUCAAGACGAAAGCAAUAAUGCGCACCCCAUGGCAAGCAUUCACAGGAAUAAGAUUGGGGGUCACAGGAUGCCAGGGAGCAAACACUAAGUAACUCGCUUCAGAAUGGUGGUACCUAUAUCCUUCCUGCCAAAUUAACAGACAAUAUUGCAAUCAACCGCCUAUUUCAUACCUAAACCUAUCAAACUUUACGCUAGAAAGAGAUUUACAAAGUAUGGAGGUUGGAGUUGAACAUAAUCUCACAUGGGCCAAUACCAAUCCUUAGCCAAGAAGAAAGAUAUAAUUGUAGCUCCAAUAUAAUACCGAAAAGAUGUGAAUAUUCAGUGAGCAAUUUGAUCCACACAACCUUCUUCCCCUGCAACCAAAAGAUACCCAAUAAGAACAAAGGUGGUAGAACAGAGCUGUACUCUUACAAAUCGAAAGACGAAAAUUAGACAGGACCAACGAACUACAAGUUCAGUACCUGUUGUUUCCAAGUUGAUGUCGAAGCUCGGAGCCGAGGGGUAAAGACGCCAGCAUCCAUGCGCUCCUUCAUCACCACAGUGACUCCUCCAGAUGAAUCCUCACGCCAAUCGGGCAGUUGAAUCUGCUGGAUCCCACUAUCGUCAUUUCCAGCCACGCCUUGCCUCAAAGCUGAUGAUGCACCGAUGGACAUCGUAUCUGACUGGGGAGAUGGCACUCUAGGAGCUAAACAUGGACAAAUGAAUUCAUCCACUGAUGUAUAGCGGAAACGACUUGUCUAGCUCGAAAGGAAAGUAAUAAACCCUGGGAGAAAAUACCCAGAAGGGCCAGAACAACAGUACUAUCGGAACCACUAACCAAAAACCUUCUGGUGGAGACACCAGUGUCUCGUCGACACGCCAGUUGCUUGACUUGAGUAAAGCACAAAUGAGCAAGAAUGCAAGAUUAAAGCACGCAGCCCAUUUUUAAUCGGUCAUCAGGGUGUGACAACCUUGUCCUUCACGGAGAAUCGCUCAUUUCCACAAAAACCUCAAAACCUUGUCCCAAAGAUCGUGCUUUCUCGCACCAUUUCCCAAAUGUAAAAGCAGAGAGAAAGAGAUGAACAUCCCGGCGCUCCCGGAGUUCUCCCCAAGGUUCGCGGUCUCCGGCGGCGUGGAUGAAGAGGUGGAGAGGCCGCACCCCUUCAAGAAGAAGCCCCGGUUCCUGGCGCCGGUGAAGACGGAAACGAUCGAAAACGGAAGAAUUAGGUUGUUCUCGAGAGCGAAAUUUCGACCCCGUUGUAUGGUGGUGUGGUUCUCAUAUGAAGGGAUUGACAACUUUUGGGUCGGUAGUUAUCAAAAGAAAAACGCUAUAACAAAGAAAUAAUUUAUAUGUAUUUCUAUAUUAAUGAAUAGUACAUGUUUUAUUAGAUGAUUAAGAUAAAGAUUAUAUCAAUUAUAAUCAAUUAAGAUAUGCAAGAAUCACCGGGGGAAUUGAAGAUAAAAAGGCGUCCUAAUUAUCAUAUCUUCUGAUUAUGUCGGACGCAUUCUCGCGGCACAUGGGGGAGAAGGACCAAUCCCCAAUCUACACCCCAACGAAGAAAAGCCCAAGACAGAUGACGACGACGACCCACAAAAUGGGCGAAUCCUCUCUUUUUAUCCGUCCCUGCAACUGCAGUGUGUCCCCACUGCCCGGUGGCAUCCCUGCAUCUUCAUCGGUUCCGUGUCCGUGGAGGUGUGCAGCCGAGGGGAACGUUCGCCGCAAAUCUUCGAAGACCACCAGAUCACGCGACGUUCCUUCUCCCCAGAUUUUUCAAAUUCGCAGACCCAGAAGCCUUUAUAUAGUUUUGCCGUUGCUGCCUCUAUCUUUCACUUCGCUUUAGUCGUUGGAGCGAUAGCAGUACAUUGGAAACGACUUCAUCUCCAUCCGUUUGAUGUUCGUGCUGAGGCUCAAAAGAAACGAGCUUUUCAACCCACUCCUUCUCGCCACCAGUCGUCCGAGGCCACUUUUUGAGUGGUUUUACGACUUUCAAGCAAAAGGCUUUAGAGGGUACGCGUGAAUUGGUGCAUUGGUUUUCUCCCGCUUUCAUUAUUUAAUCCAUCGUCUGUGUCUGUGACGACGGUAAUGCCUACACAAGUGCCCACCUUCAGUGUUUCUUCAUUUGUUUGAUUCAUGGACAUUCCCAAUUUAGUUAGUUUUUCUGUUUGGUUCCUUUUCUUUUCAGAAAGUUCCUAUUUUUCUUCGUUGCUGUCUUGAUGCGCUUGAGCACUGCGCAUCCAUCGGAUGAGUGAUUGGUUAGGUUCUUGGCUGCACCUGGACAUAUAUACAAUGACAAAAAUUACAGGGAGGUUCAACGAGCAUCCCCACCAAAGAAAUUGUUUGCGAGGGGAGUUUUCACUUUUCUUUUAGUAAACCAGAGACCGCUGAAGUCUACCUCAUCAUUUUUUAGUAGUAGCGUUCUGGGUAUUUUCUACCAGGGUUUAUUUCUUUCCUUUUGAGCUAGACAAGUUGUUUCUGAUCUAUAUCAGUGGAUGAAAUGUCUAUUCAUUUGUCCAGGUGUAGCUCCUAGAGUGCCAUCUCCCUAGUCAGGUACAAAGUCCAGCGGUGCAUCAUCAGUUGAGGCAAGGCAUUUCACUUGAGAAUUUCAAGUAAAGCCUUAGUAGUGGAUGUGGCACUCUAGGCAUGGCUCCCAGAUCUGAAGCAGCCUUCAGGUUUGGCCAUGACUGCUCGUCCACGGCCGUGAUGGGCAAGGUGGAGAUCCCAACGACCAUGGACGGAGCUCACAUAUCAAGAAGAAAAGCAGAGGAAGUAGGCGUCCAUGGCCGUCGGGCGAUGGGCGGAGCUCACAUAUCCCGACGGCCAUGGACGCCUGAACGCGUUCGACCAUGGAUGGACCAGCGCCGAUGAUUUCGGCCAUGAACAGGCCAAAUUCGAGAUCUAGAGAACACGAGACUAAGAUCAGAUUCGAGACCUAGAGAACGACGAGACGGAGAAAACAGGCUCGGCUUGAACGCAGUGGUGGUCGGCCUGUUCAUGGUGCCGAUGACUUCGCCGCUGGUGGCAACGGUGGAGGAGGCGGAGGUCGGCGGCUAUGGAUGGAGGAGGAAGAGAGGAGAGGUGAAGGAGAGAGAAGAUUUUCUCGUGGUCGGCCUGUCCACGUCAAUCGCUGACAUGGGUACGUGAACACCAUGUCAAAAUAUCAUUACUUACUGGGUGUGAGUGAAAAAAUAUGUCAUGUAGCAUGUUGACGUGGCGGAACUAAAUCACUGAAUAUUUUCUCGUGGCCCGACAAUAAUUUAAUAUUUUUUUAAUCGAGCAUCAAAGUGUGACUACCUUGUCACGAGAAAAUAUUCAGUGGUUCGUUCGCGCCACGUCAUUCGCUGACGUGGCGCGCACAUACCACUCAGAUUUCGACACCUGUCCUGGGGGACCCGCUGGAAAAUGAAAAGACUCGCUCGGCUCGGCUCGGCUCACUGACAGAAGAAAAGACAAGUCACGCAAAGCUCCCGCCCAAAAGACCAUUAUCUCUCCUCAAUUGAAUCUUCUGCAAUUUUCUCUCUCUCUCUCACUUUCUCUCCCCUCGCGGGAGCACAAACACAAAACGAUCGAGACCGCUUCCGCUUCCGCCUUCGUCUCCGGCUCCGCCUGAGUCUCGCCGGUCAUCUGCUUCUGGCACCUCGGAGCUUCACCAGUCGCGGUCGGGUCCCGACCCCCUCCACCUCCGAUUGUUCCCGCGGAGAUUGGGUACGAGGUUUGUGUCCGCCUCCGGCUCCAGCUCCGCCUUCCUCCCCCAAAAUCUGUUUCUGGCACGUCGGAGCCUCACUAGUCGCAGUCGGGUCCCGACCCCCUCCACCUCCGACUGUUCCCUCAGAGAUCGAGCAGAAGGUUUGUGUCUGCCUUCGCCUCCGGCUCCGGCUCUGGCUCCCUCCCCAAAAGCCUCAUGCCUCUGGCAUCCUCUGUCUCCGGCAUCUGCUCGUCCUCCCCGUCCCGCCGGCCUCCGCCGCGAAGCCAUCGGCCUUCGGCAGGAGGGAGGCAGCCUCGGUCUCGUUCCCGAGCGGCACUAGGCUCCCCGCCGCUGACCGGGCGCUGUCCGUAACGCUGGCCCGCUCGGUCGCGAGGGAGAUCUCGGACGGCGCGGAGAAGAAGGAGAGGCGCGGGCUGGAGAAGGAUUCUCGCCGGCCUCCGCCGCGAAGCCAUCGACCUCCGGCAGGAGGGAGGCGGCCUCGGUCUCAUUCUCGAGCGGCACCAAGCUCCCCGCCGCUGACCGGGCGUUGUCCCUGACGCUGGGCUGAUCGGUCGCGAGGGAGAUCUCGGCGGACCUGGGCGGGGUCGACGGCGCGGAGAAGAAGGAGAGGCACGGGCUGGAGAGUUUCCCGCUUGCUGUGGACCUGGGCGGGGUUCGUGCGUUUCUCUCUCGACCGAUGAGUUUCCUUCUUCCUCCCCUCUCAUGGGCUGGUUUCGGAAUGCGCAGUUGAAAUCCCGAAUGGGUUGUUUCUGUAUCUUGUUGGGUUGUUCAAUUGCCAGCGAAUGCGCGAGUAGCGAGGGAGCACAAAAGUGGAAGAUUUGAAGGUUAAUUUACUUCACAUGUCUUUGAGGACAACCUUCAUUUCUUCUAUGUAGGCUAAGCACUGUAAUGCUUAGGCUCUCUUUGAUGGAAUAAUAUGUUGUUUCGUUUAUGGCAAAAAGAAGAUAAAUAUUAGUGGGAAUAUGGGCAAUUGAAAUUUAAUUUUUCGAUGAAUAAAUGAUUUUGAUGUGCAUGGAAACACCUCACUAGAGAUAUUCUGCAACUACAAUAAUAGGUAUUCUUACAUGACUUGAUCAAAACUGCAGAGCCUAAAAUAAGUAUAUGUCCUGUUGUCCUUGGAAGACCGUACCAGUUUUGACUAGUUACGUUGCUGGUUGAACAUGGAAUCUACAUGUCACUAGAAGGUAGAAAGAGUACAAAUCGCACAGCUCGUAGAUUGAGUGGGAAGGCAUUGCUUUCUUCUAUCGCAUAGAUAGAGCAAAUAUCGCCUGUAGAAAUUUUGCACACGCUUUUUGUGCCUGGUUGAUGUGUAUGAGAUUAAAAAUAUAGUUGUAAGACUAACCAGAGGGGUAAAUAUGUUGUUUUUUUCCAGUGCUUCCUUUGCAUCCAUGCAAGAAAUACAGUGCACUAAACGUCACAGGAGUGGCAUUUCCAUUUUUUUCCUACAAAUAAAAUAAGCAGAAAAUCUUCUUUGCUGAACUAAAUGUCAUGUUCAACCAUCAGGAAACAUUUUGUACUCAAAUCUACUGCCCAAUAUAAUUGAUAUAGGGAUGAGAAACUUUGAGUUUGUUAAGUUUUUCACUUUUUGAUACUGAUGGUUUUUGUUUCCUAUCAUAAUCACAAAUGACAUGAAUUGUUUCAACAUCCAAUUUCAGCUGAUUUAGUCUUUGGAGAUUUACUAAAAGAAAGAGGCAGGUUGCUUUCAACAUCCUCACCCCUGGAGGAUUUGUCCACUCGAGGAUCCAAGGUAUGUCAUCUUUGUGAACUUACUCUCCUGCAGUUAAGUUGCAGUUACUGAUAUCCUUUUUCCUGCCUUUGUCAUAUAGUGUUGUCCAUUGGCAUGAGAUAAUUUGUGCAAGAAAUUUAUAUAUAUUAUGUUCCCUUAAUAUGCUCUUGUUAUCACAUUAGUUGAUGCUUUCAUUGGUCAACUAUCACUUGAUUAUAGAAGCUAGAAAUUAGUUCUUAGUACAUAUGGUUACCUGAAUAUCUUUCUGCUCGCAAUUAAGUAGCUAUUAUCACCGUGGAGAAUUUGUAAUCUGAUGCCUCUGCUUUUAAGGUUUGUGACCUGUGGAUAUGGGUAUCAUCUUAGUGGUAUCUUCCUCUUGCUAUGCAAGAAAAAAUGAUCUCCAAAAAAUAAUUAUGACAAAUAAAAAAGGAAAACUGAUAGUAUGUAAUGAUGUCAUUUAUGGUUAAUUGUGCAUUAUGUCUUUAGAUAGUAUAGUCAUAGUCAUGAUGACACUGUAAUGGCAAUACUAUAUUUGGCAAUAGGAUGCUGCUGCCCGAGUACGAUGAAUUACUGGACCGUCUAGUAAUAAUAGUAUUUUGGUUAUGGGAUGCAAUCCCAUAAAUAAAUUUGAACGAAAUGCAAAUCUAAGCCGUACACAAUGUGAAUUUGUAACUUAGGUGUUGCGGAUCACAGUUUGGUGAGUUUUUACUGCAACAAAGCAUUGUUAGUCGAUACUACUAGUGAUCAAUUUCCUUCUUACAUGUAAUAGUGAUAUCUUUUCAUAAGCCUUGAACAGUUACCUUUGUGUUUCAUGCCUUUGUUGAUAUUGUUAGUGACAAAUGUUCUAAAAGUACAAUAUCUUGCUUUAGGCCUUUCUUUCCCCUCAUUUAAAUGGAGACGUUCCAAAUAGUCCCAAGUGGAAGAUAUCUUGUUUGUUUAAGCUUUGUCAAGCUGAUCAUUUUAUAUGCAGAAAAUUGGUUAGAUCAUUGAUGUUGUUAGUGUUUUGGUUGCUUAGGAAAAUCUACAUUGUAUUAUUAAGUGUGAGUCUAGUUAUUAGUUUUUCAGCUGCAAUAAUUCUCCAUAUUGCGAUAUAUUUCAUUUUUUCUAUCGGUUCAUUUAUAUCUUCCAUUCUAAUUGUUUUGGCCGAAUUUUAAUCUGUAGCUCCCUCCUCAUACAAUUCAUAUUCGACCGUUGAUGAUCAAGGUUGAAAAGGACCCGAAGCUUUCAGAUAUCAGGACCGUUGAUGCACUCGAAAUAGUACAAACAAGGUACAACCAACAUAUUUUGCUAGCAGGCUAUCAUUGUUUUAAUUAAUUCUCUUGAGGUUCUUAUGGUACCUCUGACGCCUAGUACUGUGAUCACAGUGUUAUCUGUGGGUUUGUUGCCUGGCUAUACUAUUGAUUUGUUGAUCAUUGUGUUAAGAUUUUCCUUUGGAGUUAGCUGGUUAAAAGACCCUUACAUAAACAGACUGAAAAGUUAGCGGCUUUCUUGUUCUUUCAGCAGUUUAAUUUGAACAUGGGACAUGUUUUUCUUGUGAAUUACUAAAUCCCAUUGCUUUUUGUUUGGAGCUUUUUCUGCCAUCAAAUUUUACCUUUUUGGAAGAACUGAUUAGACCUUGGUCCUCAUUGAUGCAGUAAUAAACCAAAGCUUGCAUAUCUUUCAAAGAUUUUGAUUGCACUUUUAAGCUAUGGCGGGUCCCUAAUGAAUUUUUUUUGGACAUGGUGGAGAAUGCUCUGGGAGAUGCAAAUAGUGUCUUCUCUAGUAAACGAGCAGCUCUAGAGGUAGUAUCUUCUGAACUUUUGGACUGUUGAAAUAUGUCCAUUCUUAAAACAGUCCAAAAAGAGAUUUUUCUCCAAUUUUUUUUUCUAUACUUGGGAUGUGCUUCUUUUAUUUUUCUUGAUUCGAAAUAUGCAUAAGUAAAAAAAUGCAUCUCUAUUCAUCUUUGCUGGUUUUACUUCCCUUGGGUGCGUAUUUCCUUCAAUUGCUAUUUGAUGUGUAAACAUUUUCCCUUGUGUUUUCCUUUUGUUCUUUUACUGUAUGAACAGUUUUGGUGAAUCAUGGUGAGAAGGAUGGUUUCACUACGGCCAGAAUGAUCUUAUCUGGGAUUCCUCUGGACGAAACAUACCUACAAAAUCGUCUGUCCAUCCUGAUGAAUGAUGAAAGGAAGAGUUUGAAAGGAGGAAGGAUUCCUAUUCUAGAUUCUUACUAUCUAAUGGGGACAGCCAAUCCCACAGGAAUUCUCGACAGACAGAAUGUGAGCUUGGACAUGAGGAGAUUCCACAAGCGGCUGCUUCAAGCCUAUGACUAUUCCUUCAAGAAAAUAAACGGGCAAAUUAGCUACAAUCAAACAACCGACUUGUUUAAGCUUUGCUAAAUACUUUCUUCUCUUCACCUUCCUUAAAUAAUUGUCGAUAUUUCUUUCCAUUGACUGAAUGGUUGAAACUUGCAUAAAGUACACUCAUCUGUGAAUCAGUUUUUCAGGUUCAUCAUAAACCUGUAAAGAAGGCAUUUUUAACAAUUUGGUGAACUGGAUGACUUGUUAAUGAUGCUCCUCUUAACCUUCACGUCUGGUUUCCUGACAGUAGCACUUUUGGGUAAAUCUAAGGCAAUGGCCAUCUGCUUGUUUGCAUCUUCAACUAAAUUAAGCUGAACUUCAAAGAUGGGCAUGGGAUCCUGUUUCGGAAAAUGAAACAUGGAAGUUGUUGCUAUAGUUGUGUGUGUUUUUUUAACUGACUAGCCCCUCAGUUACAUUGGAGGUUUAUAACUGAAUAAGUAAACUAUGUAUGAUCCAUAUCACGCAAGGUAUUGCUGGAUAAACUGAGGGAUCUCGGUUUUCAGGGCCUGUGAAGCUAUUAUAAUCAACUAUACUAAAAACAAGAACACUUGAUUCUACAGUACCACAUUGGCAUCACGUUAUAUGAAUGUCGUGCUAUAAUCUGUGAUUUUUAGCUAGCUAUACAAUAGAAGAGCAGCCGGUUUAUUAGCAGAGGCACCUGUCAUUUCCUCCAUUUCUGUUAAAAGAUGCCGAUAGCUUUGAUGACUUAAGUCAGAGAUUCAGAGAACAAUGGUCAAGAGCAGUUUGAAAACAUUGCCAUAGAAAUUUCGGGCAUUAUUUGAAGAACUUGUGUCAAUAUGUACAUAAGCAGUGUGUUAAACCAAAAAAUUGCUAUUGCGUUUGUCGGCUAACUCUUCAGUUUUUCCCUCGUCAAUUCUCAGUGUCUCAUCUAUCAUGUCAAAACUUCAGUCAGCUUUGAGUCGAAGCAUCACUUCGCUGGUCAUUGAACACUAAAUUUCGCCAUCUAUAGCUACAGCCAACGCUUUGCUAUCGUAGAUGAUGGGUGGACUGGAGGAGGCGUCUUGGCAUUCCUUGUGUCUUUUACAUCUUAUUGAAGAAACAAAAACAAAUAAUCAGAUGAUGGACAUGAUGAGAUGAAAUAUAUAUUGUGAAUUAAAUUUAAUUAUGCUGAUUCUGCUUACUGGAAUUAGUGUGAAUUAAAUUUAAUUAUGCUGAUUCUGCUUACUGGAAUUAGUGGACUUGCCACCCAGAGAAGACCGGCGAGACUGGUCUGAACCAGCACCUGUUAGUGAUUGUCUCCUAAGUGUCCGUGUGUUGGCUGCAAUUGCCAAUACUCCAUUUUUAAUGCAAGUAGUAGAGCCUCUGACAAGUGAACGAGCUUCUGUCACAUUUCUUUGGUUCCUGCAAUUGCAUAGAAACCAAGUCUUAAUGGCAAGAUAAUGAUGUGAGCAAAUUCUCAUAUUACCCGUCAUUUUGGAAUUUUUCAGUUGCAUUUGUGUAUUUCAUACCAUACUAAAUUUGCCCAAUUCAGUGUUAAGACUAGAUAGUUAAAUAUUUCACUGACCUCCUUUCAGAUCCAUUGAUGAGCUUCCUCUCUAUGGUGCGCAGCGAUUUCCUUAUGUGAGAUUCCUUGCCAUUCAUGCUUUGAACAAGCAAGUUGGGCGUUCGAGGAUCAGUACAAAGAGUGCGCUCUCCUUGCAUAACAAUCUGGAUCUCAUUUUUGCCAAAUCGACAGAUCCAGCCCCCUAGAAUUGUAAUGUUGAUUAUUGUCAGAAAGGCAUCUGAAGCAUAGAGAUUACCCAAGUACAUUUACCUGCUCUUUGAGUUGCAUGACCUCACUGGUCUCUUUGUUCAUGCGUGCAGCACCAAGUUCAACUGUUGAAACUCUCCGGGCAAACUUCAAGGUACUCAUUGAUUCCCCAAAUGGAUCUCUCUCAGGGUUCACAUUAGCCAGCAUCAAUGUCUUCGCAUUUCCUCCUGAAAUAAAAUGCAUAAAAGCAAUGUCACCAUUACCCAAGGAUCAUAAUCAGAGUAUCUCAAUUCUAUGAAAUGCUCACUCUGGGAAUUAGUAAUUUUAUCCUAAAAUGAAGCUUCAAUGACACCUGACAAAGUUCGAAACUUCAAAAUAGGUACCUAGGGAAUCUUGCAGCAGAAGCGUAAGUUUGCUAUUGCAGUAAGGUACAUUGGAGUUUUUCUAGGCCAAAGCUGUGAUAACAUCUCCCAGACAAGACAAAGACCGGUUAAUGUACUGUGCCUCCUUCAGUCUCUCUCCUGUGACUUCAGAUUUAUCUACCCGUUCACUUCCUGCAAGAUCAACCAAAUGCAGGCAACUGCGGAGGAUGGAUCCAGAUACAUCUUUCCCUUGAACAUGUACUGUCAGCACACUGCAAGGAUGCAUCCCAUGGACAUCAGUAUCACUCUCUUGAAUAAUCUAUCUUUGGAAACUACAUCAAAAUUUAUACCAAAAAGAUGGGUAAGAAACUCUGCCUGUCCAAAACUGACCUGUGAGACCGGCUACUUCUAUUGUUCAGUGCUGUNNNNNNNNNNNNNNNNNNNNNNNNNNNNNNNNNNNNNNNNNNNNNNNNNNNNNNNNNNNNNNNNNNNNNNNNNNNNNNNNNNNNNNNNNNNNNNNNNNNNGGGCCGAUUGGCCCAUGCGUUGAGGAGGUGCUUUUAUCGUUCAACUUCAUCUGGAAUCAGCAGGAGAUCAUCCAUUGGAAAUUGAUUGAAGAUAGAUAUGCAAAAACAGCACAUCUUCAUGUAUUUUAAUAUUUUAUCAGUAGUUUACAUGCACUUAAGCCUGAUAUUGACAUAGAAUCAGACCUCGCCACACUUGCUUUUUUAGCACUUCAAACUCCUGAGUAAGAAUACUGGUUCCAAAUAUUUUCUCACACAUUGCACUGUGCCUCUUGAUCCAACUUAAUUGAUCUAAAAAAAGCAGUAAGGUAUCGUGUUUGCAAUCAUAAGGUCAGAAGUGCAGUCAUCCUCAGAGAUGGGUAGAAAUGUAUCCUUUCUUAACUGAAAAAUAACCAAGUAAAAUUAAGACAUCUCGGAAGAAAAUGAACCUUGUUGCAAAUGGGAGACAUAGAACUCCGAAUACUAUUCAAAAUCCCAGAAAAUAAACUUCCAUAAGAUACUGCAGAUUCCAGGGUUAUGGUAGUAGGCGUGAAUAAUUUUACCAGACUUCAAAGUAAUGGCCGGAGGAGCAAAACCAGGUAGUCACCGUUGGCCUUCACUGAUCAUAUCUUCGCCACACAGUCGACCUGCUUAUUUUGAAAUACAAAAGGCUGAUGUGCAUAUUGUUCUUCGUAAUACUUCGUUUCAUUCACAAAACAAGAACAGACAGAGACUACAAUCUUCUUGAAUCUCAAACCAGAAGAUAAAGUCACAAAAUAUUCGAAAAGGCACAAGAGCAACUUCAACCAAAGGCAGUGCAGAGUUGGUUGGCCAGGUUUUGCUGUGAAUAUACACUACAAUUAUCUUCAUGUAUUCCAAGAUGAAAGAUGACUAACCACUUCUCGGAAAGUCAACACCUAGAUAUGUCCCAGAGCUACACUGAACUUCAUAGCCAAAAAAGAACCAAAAAAGGGAAUGAUCCUGGACUUAUGCUCGGUCACACUGUCCUGCUAAACAAAUUAGCACAGAUUGCAAUAAAAUGCUGAAGGACAAGCCAGUUGCACUGCUCAAGGUAACAAAGUCAGUGCAGUUGGAAAAGAAGCAAAAACAUAGAGUCAGUCGUUACAAGAUUCUCAGUUUACUCGUAAAGAUAGAACUCCAAGCAAGUUAGUUCACUAUCAGAGGAUACCACCCCUCCAACAUCAUGUCACUAUAGCUAACUCUGGCCUUUAGGCCUCACAAAAAGCUCCUCUUGAUUUCCUGAUAAAUUUAUAGAGAGAGAGAGAGAGAGAGAGAGAGAGAGAGAGAAACUAUUAGGAAAAUUUUGAGAUGACAAAUUUCAAAGAUUUUUGGUGAACAUAGUAUCAAAGGAACAAUUCAAAAACUAAAACUGAAACGUUAAAAGCAAAGUCGCUCUUAUUGCAUAUUUACCAAAAGCAAGGAAAGUUUGGAAGUGUGUGCAAGUUACCCUGGCCACCUCAAUUCCUCCAUCCUGUUUCAGGAUGCAAGGCAAACACAGGCCUCGGCAUGCAGAUGAAGAGCAACUCAGAUUUCGUAAAGAAUGACUUGUAGCUUUACCUGUGCUCAAACAGAGGACAUUCAAUCUGGUUUUUCCACAGGAAAAAGAAAAAAGAGGACGAAAUAGACUUGACAAGGCCAAAGCGUCCAUCAAUGAAACACGAGACCAAACUAUAGCGGUGCAACAUUGUUAAAAUUAGGCUUUUAAGAAAGCUAACAGAAUUAUAGCAUUAAUUUUAAACAGGAACAUCAUCUUUACCUGAAUGCCAGGACUUCAGUGAAUUCAGGGUCUAUCUGAACGAAAUAAAAACAAUCCCUUUAUCUGGCAUUCCCGUGCAAAGGGACCGAGAUAUUACUGUGUUUGCUUUAUUGAAACGAUGCCCAACAUAUGGAAAGGAUCACUUCCUCCUGUCACUUCUAUUACUUUCCUGAUAGCUAUAGCAAAUACAUCUUCACCCUAUACAUAGUCAAUUAUCAAAUCCGUAAAACUAUAACGACCGAAAUCAAAGACCCAAAAACAUCUGAUGCAGCUUUAAUUAUCAAAUGUAAUUCUCUGUUUUGUACUAUUUAUUUAGGCCAUCCAUAGCACGAGAAGCAAAAGUUCACGCAGCAUCCCCACCGAGAACUUUUGGCCUAGUCCUAGGUCCAUUGGACCGACUCCAUCCUAACUGUCGAUUUGGUGUCCCACAAAAUCAGCGGUAGGGAUCAACGUGGUCCAAUAGGCCCGGGUCUAGGGAAGAAUCUCCCAUCACAACCUAGGAAUUACAUAAAACUUACAGAGUUCUUUAUAACUCCAGGGUCAUUUUGCCACUCCGAGUCAUUGUCACCAAAGGAGCAAACCCAGGGUAACCAUAAUUAGCCUUUGCCAGGCAAAUCAUCACCAUGGAAUUGAAUUGCUUGUUUCUGACAAUGAAAGGUUGUGCUGCUUACUCCUAAAUGGCAUCCACUAGAAUCAAAUUAAAAAAAGAAUGGUGUACUUCGGUUCAUUGAUUUGACCAGAGAAGAGCUGAGGAAUGAUCAUCCUUUAACACCCUUAGUAAAGGGGUUGAUAGGAAAAAGAAUUGGGGAUCUCAGGAAGGCAGCGGACAGCCAUCAAGUAAUUUGGUUCAACACGAUUCAUUGUUAAGCACAAAUGAGCAAGAAUGCAAGAUUAAAGCCCGCAGCUUAAUACUGCGCGAGACAGCCCGAGCAAGGAUUUAAUUAAUAAAAAGUCGCUGUACUUCUACCAAAAUCAUUAGCAUUUGCAAGUGCGCACUAUACUGACUGCCGUAGCACUUGACAUCAUAAACAUACUCUCCAUGUUAACAACUCGAUUGGGAAGCACCAUACAAUUGGACAUCACGUGCCUGUCGAGCAGGCUUACAGGAUCUUUGUGUUUGAAUAGGCAAUUUGAUCGGAAGGGUUGUCUUGCCCUUCAUUAUGUCACAGGGUGACAGGAAAAUAAUGGAAGGGGCAAAUAAACUUAUAAAGAGAACCCUCUUUACGUUGGCCUGGAUGACAGAAACUCCACGCACCUACUGCAAUGACCAUGGGAAUCUGCAGUUGCUUAAGGAAGUUGCUUUCUGGGAUUUUGAAUAGCAUUCGGAGCCCUACAUUUUCCGUUUACGAGGUUCAUUUUCUGUUGAGACGUGUUGCUUUUACAUUUACAUAUUUCAGUUUAGCAAGGUUACAUUCUUUAUCCAUCUCUGAGGAUGACUUAUUUCCAACCUUAUGAUUGCAGCAUGAUACCUUACAGCUUUUCUUGGCUCAAUUAGGUUGGAUCAAGAGGCAAAGUGCAAUGUGCGAGCAAAUUUUGGGACCAGAAUUCAUACCUCGAGUUUCAAGUACUAAAAGCAAGUGUGAUGAGGCCUGAUUCUAUGUCAAUGUCUGGCUUCAGGCGCAUGCAAACUACUGUUAAGUGCAUGAAGUUUGGCUCUGUCGUGAGUUGGGGCCGUCUGUACGGCUGUGUCAAACUUCAUUCAAAAGNNNNNNNNNNNNNNNNNNNNNNNNNNNNNNNNNNNNNNNNNNNNNNNNNNNNNNNNNNNNNNNNNNNNNNNNNNNNNNNNNNNNNNNNNNNNNNNNNNNNUCACCAAAUUUCAUUCUAUUGACCACAUCAGCUGUGGACUUGACAGAAUGCAUGGUAGCAUCUGGAAGGCUCAAGCCACCGUCACUGGUACAGCUUCGAAUCUUUAAUUUGUGCAUAGUCAAGGAACCCAAAUUUACAUUUCAGAAACUUAAGCUUUCUUCAGUCUUUUUAUCUACUUAUUUGACAUCAAAUGUAUCUAUAUUAGACAGAAUAAUCCAUUUCAAAGGAUAUCUUGAGGAUGCUGAAUCCUCAACAAGGAGAUCACGCACUUGCUCAUUAUAUAUUUCAACCAUCUGAACAUGAAUAUCAUAAGUUAUAAUGUCCUUCCUUCUGUUAGACAACUCGAAGAGAUCGUUGAGAGCCAAGUAAUUAAUCCCCAUGUCCUUUGUCAGUUCGCCUGAUGGACCACUCUGCAAUUCCAAAAGGCAAUAAGUAGUUAUUCCUCAAAUUAACGUAAGCAAUCUUAAGCAUCUGCUUAGAUUGAAUUAUGUUCAUGCUUUGCAGGUAGAUAUACGAAAUUAACAGUACAUCCAUCUAACAGCAAGGAAAAUGCACACUUUUUAUUUUACACAAAUUAUCUAGGAGCCUAGGAGGUGAUCUGGCACAAAGGUUGGAUCUACUAAAGCUACACUUAAGUUCUUACCAUUGUAUGUGUUUUACCCGAUCCAGUUUGACCAUAAGCAAAGAUGCAGACAUUGUAACCAUCCAUAACUGAUCUAAUCAAAGGUUGAGUAUCCAUGUACACAUCAUCUGCAAAGAGGGCCGCAUGGCGAAAAACAAUUUACAUUGUUAUUUAGGAGCUGAACAUCAACUUGCAGGACAAUCACUUGGGCCAACAAUAUACCCUUAGACAGUAAGAUGAAGUGUAACAAUACCUUGAGUAGCAAGUGGACUGAAAACCCGAUUAAACUGAAACACUUUCCUUCCAUCUCUAUGGGGUUUUGAAGGGUCAACAAUCACAAGUGAACCAUCUUCUCCGAUAAAAUCUACCACAUUUUUGGCUUCCGCAUUAAAAAUGUAUCUAAUUCUGCAGUAUACUCGUAUAUUUCCUGUAAAGAUUUUUGUCAAAUUAAACUCGUAACAUUGGAAAUAAAACAACAAAAGCUCCUUUACUUAAAAGCAACUGACCCAUGGACAAGCAUAUACUUCUGCAGAUAAAUGCAUACUGCUCAAAAAAUUGAGUUAUGCGAUCCAAUUCAUAAACAAAUAACUCUCGAAAAAAAAAAAAAAAGCUGACCUUUUAAAUCUGAACCAUGUUGUACAGGUUUCGAUUUUCCUUCACCACUUUAUGAUAUCCAAGGGCAGCAGUAGACAUCUCCUGGACUUGAUUGCCUGAUCCAUUGGAAAAGCAAAAACACAUAUUAAUGCUCAGGAAGCAUGUCACAUCUAGCUUUUAUUCUCCUUAAUAAAAUGCAAAAGCAAAAAAAAGAUCGUAACAAGAUCCCAUAGAUUCAUUCUUCAAGUUGAAAUUUGAGAUUUAUUGCCAAAUCUUAGGGAGCAUAUUAAUGACAAUGGCCUCAAUCUGAGAUAAUAACAUUCAGCGGAGGAGCUGUAAUAAAUAAAGUAUAUAGACGACACUCAUCUAAAAUGGUUGACAUUCAAUGCAAAAGGACAAGGAACAUGCAACUCCAUGUCCUAAGCCUCGCCUGUGCUCAGAAAAAAAGAACUAAUUAGACUACUCCUUUUUAGUCUACUUUUCCUACCUAGCUGUUUUAGAUCUCUCUGAAACUGGAACUGCAGAUCUUCAAACUCCCUUUUUGUCUUCACCAACAAAGUUUUAAGAUCCUGCAAGAUGCAAAUAUUAGACUUUCUUGUCCUUUACAAUUGUUGACAGGAACAUGAAAUCACGUUAACUUAAAGACCUUGCUUUAUUAGUCUAUCCUGCAAGCAAGUUUAAAUGAAAAUUGAAAAUAUCUAUUAUAGUCCCAACCACCCUUACUAAAAUCUUUUUAUCAAACAAAAUCUUUCCAAUUCAUUUUGCAAAAAUUGGCAAAAGAAGUCUGCGAGCUUUUCUUUCCUAAAGAUUUUCUGCAUCAUAUAGAGAGGCACUCACCAAAAGUUCUUUCUCUUGCAUCUCAAAUACAUUUCGAUGAUCGCAGUUACCCUCUUUCGAACAGGUUCUGCAGCACUAUGAACAAGAAGAGUGCAGAGGCAUCAGAUUACAAAUUCUCCACGGUGAUAAUAGCUACUUAAUUGCGAGCAGAAAGAUAUUCAGGUAACCAUAUGUACUAAGAACUAAUUUCUAGCUUCUAUAAUCAAGUGAUAGUUGACCAAUGAGCCGUUUAAUUUUUUUCUUUUCAGAGUACAUAAUAGAAAGAGAAUGCGAUUCCCAUUCCACUAAGGACAACAACCCACACCUGAUCGUGCUAAUUGACCAAAAAGUCAUCAUAAAGCAUCAACUAACGUGAUAACAAGAGCAUAUUAAGGGAACAUAAUAUAUAUAAAUUUCUUGCACAAAUUAUCUCAUGCCAAUGGACAACACUAUAUGACAAAGGCAGGAAAAAGGAUAUCGGUAACUGCAACUGAACUGCAGGGGAGUAAGUUCACAAAGAUGACAUACCUUGGAUCCUCGAGUGGACAAAUCCUCCAGGGGUGAGGAUGUUGAAAGCAACCUGCCUCUUUCAUUUAGUAAAUCUCCAAAGACUAAAUCCAGCUGAAAUUGGAUGUUGAAACAAUUCAUGUCAUUUGCCUCCAAUGCCCAUGAUCUGCAAAAAGGGGUACAGAUAAGGGGGUGUAUCGACGGUAAAGUAUUAUCUGCAAAAAGGGCCACUUCAUGGUUUCUCGUGGCCAGAAAAACUACUGACUUAGGUCAACCACAUGGUCAGCCAUGGAAAUCAGAUAAAUAUGAGCAAUCGAUCAAGGAGAUACACUCUGCGAAACGUCCAGUCCUUACAAGCGCGCGCCAUGGAAACCGAGGAAAUCAGCCAGCUGGCGGAGCACCUGAGGCCGCGCUGCCGCAUCUUGCAGGAGGCGGGGAGAAGCCAGCGGCGAGGGGCCGGGGAAGCAAAGGUCCGCGGGAAGCUCGAGUCCCUCCGGCACGGCCCCCUCAGCCCCCGGCUCAGCAAGCACGUGGACAUCGUCGUCCUUCAUCAAGAUGUUCUCGAUCUCGUCGAACCACGAGAGCCCCGACUCUGGAGACGACGACGACGCUAUAGUCGAGGAGUAAGCGCCGAUGACGUCGCCGAUCUCAGGGAGGUCACCGAAGAAGCCGUCGAACAUGAUGUGAGACAUCACGUCAUCCUCAUGNNNNNNNNNNNNNNNNNNNNNNNNNNNNNNNNNNNNNNNNNNNNNNNNNNNNNNNNNNNNNNNNNNNNNNNNNNNNNNNNNNNNNNNNNNNNNNNNNNNNGUGAUGACACUACGCAACCUCCUUGACCGAUCAAAUUCUAGCUCACGUCUGCCAAUAUAUAUAUAUAUAUUUGGGUAAAGACACGUCUGCCAAUAUUAGUGUGUACUUCAAGCAAUUAUGCUCUUUCAAUGAGAAACCUGCAAUAUUUGUCUCUCGGUGAAUAAAACAACCGUAAAAUCAUACUCUAUGGUAACGAACUUACUAGUUUGUAGUUUGUUCUUCCCAACAAUCAUGAUGGAUGCGACAAACUGUAUAAAACCAGUUCUUUUACGGAGAAGUUCAUGUUUUAUUGAAAGAAUGGUUGUCAUAUCGAUGUUAAGUUGGAUUUUAAUCGUUAUGAAGAUCAGUCACGCUUUUCACGGGAAUGCGAAAUCCAGCCACUGACUUAAAUAGACCCUAUUAAGCCGAUGAGGGGUAUCUUGGUACAAGAAAUUUGACCUCUUUUUGUUCCCUAGUUCAGUGAUUCAACGCGGUCAUUUGAACUCCUUUUCACCCCCAAAAAUCUUGGCGUUGAACUUGAAAUUAUAAAGAAAGAAUAGCCCCAGAGCUAAUGAGUAGGUGGAAUCGGACUUUAAUCUUUUAAUGACUACUUUGAUGUUUGAUCAUAAUCCUUAUGAUCGACACUACGUAAGAAAUGAUAGAGGAGACCCUGCCUUGGAGUCCAUGUCUCCCGUUCUAUGAAUAAGAUCGCUCGAUGAAUGGAAGUCCGAGAGAAAUUCUAGGGCUUAUGUCGUCAAUAUACUUUUCUAGUAGAAAAUGCGCCUGAUUGCCUUGAAAUUGUGCGCGUGGGAUGCAGGUGCACCAUGAACGGCCGGUUAUUCGCACAUGUUUCGUGACGACAUAAGAGGAAUACUUGGGAUUGUGCAGGAGGAAUCGAAGCAUUGGUCUUCUCAAGUUUUGCACUAUCUAAUGCAUUGUGCUUCGAAUGUUGGCCCACGAACGAAAUUUCCAGAAAAUUUCCAGGGCCUAUAAUUUUUUUUUUAGUUAAUUUUCUAGUACCAAAAUGCCUCCGAUUGGCCUGAAAUUGUGCACGGGAAAUGCGCUUGCAUCACGAACGACCAGGUUUUUUUUCCCUUGACAUGUAUACGGGGUCAAACUUCUCAACCUAUGACCAAGCUUACCAAGAUUCCUCUUUCCCUUAAUUAGGACUCCACUGAUAUCAUCCAGCGACCUACAAUUAGUCCUAACGAUAGUAUGCAUAUUCACAAUCCAUCAUUGGGUUUAAAACAUGAUGACAAUGAGCAUAAAACCCUUAAAUUAUUAAACCACAGAUCCAAUUCAUAAUGCAUCUCACAAAUCAAGCUCACAGCCCAAGACCUAUAAGUUUUUACAUUUCAAUUCAUAGGUAGAAUACAUUUUAUAAACUAUAUCACAAAUCAAACACAUAUAACCUCUCGCAAUUCUUUUCAUAAAAUGUUUCUAAACGUUUUAUAAAUAUUCAACUCAAACUAUUUCAAAAGAUAUUUUACAAUUCCGAAUAUCCCACUAUUCCGGAUUUAGAGGGCAGGCUUCUUUGGCGGUGGACUCAUGCAAUUUGACUAGUCACACGCCACAUGUCAAUCCCAAGCACUAGGUAGUGGCGCCAUCUCAAUAAUCCACGACUAAGCAAACAUCAAACGCCAGCAAAUAAUUCCGUCCGUGGGGCUUUACGUAAGCACAUCCAUCUCUUCCUUCUGCAAAUCAACGUAACCCAUAAGCUUAUUCAACAAAUCAACUCAAUCUCAUUUCUAAAAAGAAUAAUAAAGAAGAAAUCACUUAAAAUAUGGUUGUCACAUAAUAAUGAGUAGGUGACUCUAAUCUUGGAAUUAUUAUUUCGAUAUUAUAAGAUGCAAGAUAUGAUGGAGAGGACGCUCUCUUACAGGCACACCCGGUCUUGGAGUCGGGGUAUCUCGUGUCUCAGACCAAAUUGAACCACGGAAUAAGUUUGGCCGAUGAACGAGAGUUGGAGAAAAUUUCCAGGGCUUAUAUUUUAAAUUAAUUUUCUAGUACAAAAUAUCUCUGAUUGGCUUGAAAUCGUGUGUAGGAGACGCGCUUGCAUCUCGAACGACAGGCUUUUCCCUUUCCUUUAGAUAAUGCGUGUGGGGCAUUUGCAAGGGGAGGCCCACUUCAAGGGGCAAAUUAGACAUUUUCCCAAGAGCGUGUCGGGGAGGAUAUCUGAUCUUGCGAUCUCGGAUCUUACUAUUUCCAUUUCCCCCAAAAGUUUAGUUCUGGCAUACGUGAGUCCACCUUGCGAGCCUUGUAUAUGACGGUCAACUCUGCUUAAUACGUGCUCUAAGAACAUAUAUUAACAGGCCUCUCAUGUUACAAAUUUAAAUCCUCGAUCAAUCACAAUCGGAGAUAGAAACGCGGAAGGUCCUUGCUAUCACAAAUUUUAACACACGUACAAGAGAGGCAAACAAAUUUAAAACAAUGAGCAGCAGGGCGAUGUUCGGAGUUUGUAACAUAUUAUUAAGGUAAUUAAGUAAAGAUUAUCCUCGUUUUUUUUUUCUCUCACCUCAGUUUCUCUUUCCUCGCACAAGUACCACUCGGUCAAGUAUGUGUGCGUGACCAAAAACAAAAGUAAGUGUGCGUAUUAAUUAUUAUUCAUUGCUCUUUUUUUUUUUUUUUUGGUGUGAUUAAGGUUUCAAGUGCUAUAACGGGCAAAUUUUUGCAUUGAGUCCCUGUUAAUAAUAAGAUUUUAUUCAUAAAGGCCCUUAAGACACUUAUUUCCCAGUCAUAUAAGGAUAAUUUGAAAUAGCUAGUACGAGUACCUAGAGGGGGGGUGAAUAGGUAUACAAAAAUUUCUCGAAGCUUGCACGAUACUAAUUAGAGGAUUUGCAACAGUUAAAAAUUCAAUCGCAAGACUGAGUAAGGGAAAGAGAGAAUUGAACACUCGGUUUAUAGUGGUUCGGCUUGAUUCAAGUCUACGUCCACUCUUCUGCACUGACAGCCGAUUGGCUGGAUUCCACUAUGAUCAAAGAGUUGUUACAGUGUUGAUCUUCCUUGAUUUCUAGGUGUAGAUGAUCUACCACACUCACUCAAGGCGUCACCAAGUAUAAACACUCUCUGUAUACAAUUUUGCUCAGUCUCAACUAACAAUCAAGGAUCUUCAGACUCUGGAAUUUUUCUAUCGAUCACACACUUAAAAUAACUAGAACGUCUUCCUUUUAUACUCCUUCAUGCCAUCAUAGCCGUUGGCACUUACCAAAGGAAUUCCUCCAAUCUACCCGUUGGACGGAAUCAAUCAAGAAGAUCAUCCGAGCUAUUUAAGGAAUCUGAUGAUAGCCCAUCAAUCAUGUUCGCCCAUACAAUCAGGAUCUCGGUUUCCAAGAAUAGAAUAAUCCAAGAUUAUUUCGUCGACCAUCGGAUCUUCAAUCGAUCUUAGAUAAGAAUUAAAGAAUCCGAAAUGAUUAUCCAACCAAAGAAUCUAUUCCAGAGGAUAGGAUCGAAUCCUCAACCAUAAACCUCGGCUUUGGAUUUCCUUCAACACUGGAUUAGAAAGACUGUCAGUGAGAGUAGACUUAAGUCUUGAGUCCUGAGUCUUAAGUCUUGAGUCUUGAGUCUUGAGUCUUGAGAGAACAAAGUCUUCAGACUUUAAACUGACGGUCUCCGAACAUCCAGACUUUAGACUGAAAGAAACGUUUUGUCAGCUUCAAAAUAUUCUGGAAAGAUUUCUCCAACAUAACUUGUAGCUUAUAGUUUAUUUUUUCUCAUGUCACGUGCUAUAAAUAUUUGUCACGGGAAGCUAAGGUUUCGAAAAUCGAAUUAUUUCUUAAUCUGUAUCAAAUAGAAUUCGGUAUACAGAAAGAUCUGGCUGCUAAAGAGAUAGGACGAGGAGGUUGAAGAGUUAGAGUAUUCACACAUCGCAGAACCAUCCAGAAGAAAAAAGAACGUUGUUCUUUUUCUUUUUCUUUUUUUUGUCAUAUCUUUUAUCUUGGGGGUGUGAAAGCAACGUUGGAAGCUGGUUUUUAAUGACUAAAAUAAUAAGUACAAAAAAUCGAAAAUACAACAAUGUAACCUUGUUCGCGUGGUGGGCCAAUACCUAGCAAUUGCGUUAAUUUCUCUAUGGUUGAUUCCGAUGCCGUGGAGAGUCGGAGAUGAAUGGAAAAAAAUUCCUAGUUCGAACGGAGUAAUGAGAUUUUUUGAACCGGGGAAGCGUUCGAAGAGGAGAGAAAGCAAGCGAAGGCAGUGGCUGGCAGGUCUACCUACUCCUCCUGAGCGACAAAGUGCUGGAACCCACUGACCAGAAUCCAAUUGAAUCUUUUAAGAGUGCGUUUGGUAUUUUUUUUUCUCAAAAAUAAUUUAUAAAUUUAUGUUCUAAGGAAUAAAUAAGUAGAUUUAUUUAUAUAUAUUCCCUAAAUACUUUUCUAUUUCGGGGAUUUGAGAAAAAAAUUACGUGCUGUUAUUUUCUGUUCUGAAGAAUAAAACAAAGUAGAAAAAUACAAAAAUAUAAUAAUUACCAAACAUGCCAUAAAAAUCCAUAUGUUAUUUUACUUGAAGCCACGCAAUCCGCUUGCACGGAUCAUGACCGUACCAAUCAUCACCAUUUCAGGUAAGGUAAAAACACUAAAAAGGUCAUUAAGUGAGUUUGCGGACUUAGCUACACAAUUUAACUGAGUUAUUAAUAGUUAAGAACAAUUCAUUUUGUUAUAUAAGGAAGAGGCUGCCUAAUUGCUUCAAAAGAAAAAAGAAAUUGGUGAAAAUUAGAAUAUUGUCCAUUAUAUUGCCAAAGCCUAUUAAUAAUAUUCAGUUCAAAUUUGGUAAGCAACUAACAAUGACGAAUGCUAUUCAUGGUGAAACAACCAUUUAAUUCCACUUCUACGCUAAUGUUGUGGACAUAUUUAGUGCUUAAAUAUGUAGCACCCAUUUUACUAUAUCAUCAAAUGAGCCUUUAGAGGCUAAGAUCGAUUAUUAAGAGAUGAGAUGAAUUUUAUUGGAGAUUACAUGUGAUCAACUUGUUCAAAAGUUCAAUGAUAAUUUGCCUUAUCAUUGAUUUAAUAGCUUAUGGAAAACAUUAUUCUUUUGUCGUUAGAUAAGAACAAUUUAUGUAUAUUGCUAUAUUAAUGAAUAGUUCAUGCUUUGUUAGAUGAUUAAGAUAAAGAUAAUAUUAAUUGUAAUCGAUUAAAGAUAUGCACAAUUUAGAUAUACAACCUUGAAAGAAAUGGAAAAUAAAAGGAAUAAGGCAUGGAAUCACACCACGCCAUUUAUCCAAUGUGAGACUUAUUCUAAUACUACUCACAUGUGUAUCUUAACCAACGAUGGUUUGGGACACCAGCGAGGGUUGUUGGACCAGCAUGGGUGGAUGGAUGAAUGGUGCCGCCAACGCCAUGGUAUGCUUAGCCACCGGAAUGUCCUUCUGUUUUGGCUUUUUUAAUUGUUAAAAUUUUUUAUUCCAUGUCGUUGAUGUAUUAGAAGAGCAGGUCUACGUGUCGGGCUGCCAUGUAAGCAUUUCCUUCAAACAUUUAAUGGAAGGAAUGGUGCGGCUCAGGAUGGAAAGUUCAACGGCGUGAUCGAAUACAUUUAAAAAGAUUCAGCAACUACGGCCUACUUUAUUCUUUUAUUUAUUUGAUUUUUCCAUAACCAUCAGCCAUCACCAUAGAUGAAUUUUAAAUAUUUUCUGGCAUUGGUAGUCCUAGAUUGCCUUCCUCGUGUUUACGAUCCAAGAACAUCAAGAAGACUUUAAUAUUAUAGACUCCAAUCUUUUAUCAAUCACAAUCCGAGAUUAAAAUGCGGAAGGUUUUUGGUAUCACAAAAUCAAUAGACGUAAAAGGAAGGAAAAAAAAGACAUUAUGAUAACAUUGUUAUUGACACUUGAAUAAUUGGGGGAUGGUCCAUAAUAAUAGGAAAGGGUCCUCGUCAGCCACGGCCGAAGGAAGAAGGAGGAGAAGAAAAAAAGAAAAAUUCAAAAAAUUCAAAAAUUCAAAAAUGUUAAAAUAUUAUUAAAAGUUAUCAACGUUAGUGUUGAUUAGGUCACGUCAACCGGCCGGCGUCUAGUCAGCAAAAUCCAGCCAAAAUUGGCCGAAUAUGACUGAAUUGGCACAACGUAAAAAUGUUUAGGACUUAAUUGGCACAAAAAAAAGGUUUAUGACUAAAUUGACACAAAUGUAAAAGGUUUAUGACUUUUUUUUAACACUUUUCCCAUUAUUAGUGCAUACGUGGGUAAAGUACAUCGCAAGACUUAAAUGUUAAAAGUUCCAAAAUAUACACUUAAAUAUCACUUUUUUGAAAAUUGAGAUACUUAAGUGCCAACUCCGACGAGGUUGUAAAUCCGACUUGAUAUUAUUUUAAUAACAAAACUAGCCUGUGUGACUUGUCAGAAUAUUUCGACAAUCCUUAUCUAAAAUGACGUCGUCUUCAAUGUUCACUUAAGUACUAAUCGUGGUUAAAAAAAUCACUUAAUUGUCAAGUUAUGGUGUAAGAAAUCACUUAAGUGCCACUCGUAAUUAAAAGUGAAUAGUAACGUAGAAAGUGUUACUUAAGUGCCAAAAACAAUGUCGCUUAGCGUACUCUUGGUGUCUACAUGGAUAUUUCUUUUUUUUAAAGUGUCAAUUUUUUCUCCAAUUUUGGCACUUACUUAAGUGUACUUUUAAGAAGUACUUAAGUGUGCCAAAAACAAUGUCGCUUAGCGUACUCAGGUGUAUGCUGUUAAGCGAUGUUCAGUCCUCGUCGUUUUUUCUCAUCAAUUUCUUGUGUAAGCUGCAUAUCCUUCAUCUCAUUCAUGUCGGCCAGUUCACCAUUGGAUGCAAGCCGAAAGAAGACCGACGGUAGCACUGGUCGGGUUCAUGUCUUCAGUGGAAAACCAGACAGGUUUGAAGGACUAGCGGUGGAAAUCAAGGAGACCAUGGGCGCUGAGACAUUCACUAGCCGCCUCAGAACUUCAAUUGAUGAAUGGAAGAAACAGGUGCGGAAUAAUAUUAAUAACUAUUUGUUGCAAAAAAACAAGCUACCGAACACACUAAUGAGCAAGAACAAGCAAAUAAAUCGGAUGCUGGAUCGACACAGUUGACUUCCCUGUUUUUCACACGCCAAAACCUGCAACAAUUUGGACUUUCCUUUUAAUUUUGCCACGCCUGAGAUAGCAUAAACCAGGCCAGAUUUUCUGCAGAGUGUUUAGUCGCAUUUACUGUUUUGGCUAUGAAUAAACUCAUGAUUUCAAACUUCUCUUGCCUCUUUUGUUGUGUCCUCCUGAAUUGCAGGGGAAGAAGGGCAUCUGGAUCAAUUUGCCCAUUGAACAUGUCAACCUUGUUGAAUCUGCAGUGAAGGUACAUGACUUUCUAUGUCGCUAGGCAUGAACGAAAUUAUAUGUUAACUUGGCAAGAAAUACAAGUGAAUUAAGUGGUGAUAACAUAUGAUUCAUGCCUUCUAAUUUUUUUCACAGGAAGGAUUUAAGUACCACCAUGCUGAAGAAAAUUACUUGAUGCUGAAGCAUUGGCUUGCUCCUGAGAAAAGUACCAUCCCUAUUUAUGCCUCCCACAGGAUUGGCGUGGGUGCUUUUGUCAUGAAUGAUGAUGGAAAGGUAAUGACCAUGAUGCUUUUGGCGGAUUCCAACACUUGAGAGCCACUGCAAAACACCAACUUUAAAGAAUUGGGUCUUCCCACCAGGAUUGGCUCGUGAAGUUGUAGUAUAUGCUACUUCUGCAAAAUGUCCUUUCAUACUUUUUGCUAAUUUGCGUUAUAUUGCCUGUUUACCUUCCGUUUCUUCCAGGCAAAUUGACUUCCUCAUGUUCUAUAAAACCUUCACCUUCCAUAGGUCCAUCCAAGCAUUUAGUGAAUCCAUGUUUUACAGCUUGUUCUCCUUUGACAAAAGGUCCUUUCAGAUUUAGACACAGCUUUCUGUACAAUAGCUUGUUCCCUUUCCAUAAAGCCACUCCCUUUCCAUGCUUUAGAUGUCCUGCUGUUAAUCCUAUUUGCAAAUGGCUCAUGCCUUUGUUCUACACAUUCAAAAAAAUUAGUAACCUUUAUUAUUUUGCCACCUUCCAAACAUCACAUGGGUUUUCUAAAAAAUGUCAGCCUGCCUGAUAGGCAUUAAGGAUAUAUAGGAUCACAAUAAUUACGCAUGGGAAAUAAUCCUCUGCAUUCAAUGUUCAUUGGAUUCGUGUGUGCAUAUGUUACCAUUGUGUAUAAGCAGAGAUGUUGGAUAUUUGUUCCUUUAUGCUAACAGAACCAGUCUUUGGUGCCAGUGAGUUUUGUUUGACUAGGUUGUUUAUAUGACAAGCCAUUUAGCAAUGUGACUUCACUCCUAUUAGCCUUUGGGGUGCAAUAAAUCCUCUCAGCUUUAGCAACAAGCUAAUAGUUUUCCAUCAGUUUUCCUUUCUUAAUUGAUUCAAUCCGUGGAUAACAGCCCUUGUGAAGAGAUAAAAUGCAGUAACGUUUUAUACAAACUUUUCUUAGGGGCAUCCUUUCGUUCUGCUUUAUCUGGUUUUCAACAUGAUUCUAUUACAACCAGACACUCGAUACUUCAAAGAAUUUAAAACCUUCCCCUCCUUUCCAGGUGCUUGUAGUCCAAGAGAAGGGUGGAAAGCGUGUAUGGAAGCUCCCCACUGGAGUUGUUAACGAGGUAUGUUUAAGAAAUCAAGUACUACAUCAGAAGUAUCAAUACAUGUUGCGAUGGUUUGACCAUGACUCUAUACCUGUAGGGCGAGGAUAUAUGGCGUGCAGCUGUGAGAGAAGUAAAGGAAGAGACAGGAGUAAGUGACGACUUUUAUGUUGUGUAGAAAAGCUAAUUCUCUAAGGCAUUCACUUGAGAACUCCAACUAAAGCAUUAUUCUUAUAUGUUCUACAGGUAGACACUGAAUUUGUUGAGGUCCUCUGUUUCAGGUAAAAGAAAUCCUCUAUUUAAGAUUGUGGUGCAUUAAUAUGCUUUGGUCUUUGUUUUAGAGUCUUCUUCUAUGUUUAGCCUUCUGAUCUUCGAAUUCGCUUUCACUUCUCUAAAACGCUCUCUUAUGUUCGAUCACAGGGAAAGCCACCAAUCAUUCUUCACAAAAUCAGUUUUGCUCUUCCUGUGCGUGCUUCAGCCUAAAUCAACUUUAAUCGAGAAACAGGAAGUAGAGAUCGAGGCAGCUGAGGUACAUUCACACUUGCAAAUCUUCUUGAUUUUGGUAGAAGUACGAAGACUUUACUGAUUAAUCUUUGCUUGGGCCGUCUUGUACUAUACUGGACUGCGUGCUUCAAUCUUGCUUUCUUGCUCAUUUUUUGCUGAACAAUGAAUCUAGUAAAAUUAGAUGUACGAUUUUGUACGAUUUUAAGCACAUCAGUGACUAGCUACUUCACUGAAUGUCUGUUCAAGAAACGAGCAAGAAAAAUCGGGGCUACUGAGGUAAUUCACCGACCUGAAGAAUCCUUUCUACCUAAGAUCCAAAAGGUCAAGCACAGUAUACUUCUCAACGGCUCGUAAACCUCAAAUAUAGUGUUCCGGCAAGCUGAUCAGUUCUGUCCGUCCAUAGAACGAGUUUAUCGAACAAUUUCCCCCUGUUCACAGUUUCACUUCAGUGUGUUAUUUAAGGUUUUGAGCACGCCAUAUGAGUAGUCUUUCAAUUGCGCAGUGGAUUCCGAUCGAGGAGUAUGUACAGCAGUAUCCUCCCGAGAAAAAGGACCAGUUCUAUGAGAUGGCACAGAUAUGCUGGGAGAAGGCAAAGGAUCAGGGCUGUCUCGGUUUCACACACUUUAAGAGCAAAACGGGUAGCGGAAAGCCUUGUUACAUAUACUCGAACAAGCUUGGAAAGCUGUAGUAGCACUAGCAGCAUCUGAAGCUUACUUCGGUUUCUGCUUAUGCCACGAAAUUAAUACAUCAAUCUAAGCUAUAUGCGUCUCCUUUCUCUUCACUUGUAUUAUCUGUCGUUGUAUUUGUUGGAGAAAUCUUCUUGAAGUGUUUUGAAGUUGAUAAAACGUUUUCAUCAGUCUAGUCUGAAGGCUUGCAGACUCUGCUGUUUAAAGUCUGAAGACCUCCGGACAGCCAGACUCAAGACUCAAAGUCUAUCCUCAUUGACAGUCUCUGAUCCGUAGAAGAAAGGUUAUCCAGAACUGGAUGUUUCGUUAAGGAUUUAACUUAUCAACUGGAGAAGAUCUCGUGGCUGGAAAAGACAUAACGGAGUCCUUUGAUUGAUCGAAGAUUGACUCGAUAAUUGAAGAUUCGGUAAUUGCCUAAAUAUUAUUGGAAGGUUCUACUUAUGGAAACCGAGAUCCUGAUUGUAUGGGCGAACAUGAUUGAUGGGCUAUCGACACGUUCCUUUAAUAGCUCGAACAAUCUUCCUAAUUGAUUCCGUCCAAUGGGUAGAUUGGAGGAAUUCCUUUGGUAAGUGCCAACGGGUAUGAUGGCAUAAAGGAGUAUAUAAGGAAGACGAUCUUAGUUGUUCAAGGUGUGCGCGAUAGAAGAAUUCCAAAGUCUGAAGCUCCUUUUUGUUUAGACAAUUCCUUUGAGCGAAUACUUGUAUACAAAAGAGAGUCUAUAUUUGUGAGAAAUCUUGAGGAGGUGUGGUAGAACAUCUACACUGUGGAAUCAAGGCAAAGCUGUGCUGUAAUUUCUCUUUUGUUCAUAGUGGAAUCCAGCCGAUAGGUUGUCAAUGAAGAAGAGUGGACGUAGGCUUGAUAUAAGCCGAACCACUAUAAACCGCGUGUUCAAUUUUCUUUUCUCUCAGUCUCACUUUGAUUAUCGUUUGUCUCAAAUCCAUCAACUGUCUAGUAUUGUGCAAUUAUCGAAGAAAAAUCUUUUAUAUACCUAUUCACCCCCCUAGGUACUUAUACUAGCAAUAUCAAUAUUCCCCAAAAUAAAAUUUCCUCUGGGAAGGAUAGAGGCAGUGUUUGUAAUAUAUUUCAUGAUUAUUCCUGGUUUUAAAUGUUGGAAUCUUUCUCCCACGUUUGCUUUGGCCAAUGCCUAUACCCACUGGACCUAGGCCUUAUCAGUGAAUGUCACUGCCUCUCUCUGGCAAGUCGAGGGCGUGAUCUAAGGCUAUGACCACCGAUCCGAUAGUUGGAUGAAAUAAAUCCAACAGCUAACGAUCGUCAAAUGAAUUAACAAAUCGACAACAACUUAGGAUUGUUAGAACAGCUAUGAGGUUAUAGGUUUUCCGUCACAGGUUGCUAUAGGAGAGUAAAAGUCACAUAAAAAAGUUCAAUCUUCUAAUGGUUAUUGCAGGACUUCUCCUACUUAGUUAUUUAAUUCAGUAAAUUGCAUCAAAUAAUAUUGUCAUUAAACGGAACAGCUUAUUGUGAAUAAAAAAUAACAUUUACAGACAGUAUAAACACAUAGAUCGAUCCAAAAUUUUUCCAGAGGAAGAAAAAAAUAAAGCUAAUGUGUCAACCAUUGAGGUAAAAGUCAAUUUUUGAUAAGACUCUUGUCAUGAGUGUUUUAUUCUUCGUUUGUUUUCGGCAAAAUUUUCUAACAAUGCACUUAGAAACAAACCAUGUCAACUGGUUAUGUAAAGUUGCUAUGAUAGGUUUGCAGCAACCUCCCGCCCAAGGUCGAGAAUACCAAAGUCAAAGAAACCAAUGGCCACGUGAUCCGAAGUAGAGAACUCCAAAAGUAAAAGACAACAACAAGGAAGGCGGAAACUGGAGAUUUCGGUCGCAUUGAGCAACGUGACAUCUGUAAAUCAGGACACUUCCGUCGCCGCUCUCCAUCACCAGGUUUGUUCCGCAAGCCGUGGUCCGAUCCGAUUCUCAGAAAAUUCAAUUUAGGUAACGUAUUAUCCAAUUUGAUUUCGAAAAUAUUAAGUUGCAUAAUUUGAAUAUGUUGUGAUCUCAAUUAGGUAUCUUGAAGAUAUGUCAUAUCCAAAAAGAUUUUUCGAAAAUCCAUGAAUUAGAAUAUUAUCCUAAUCUCACAACAUGCAUAUGAUUAUUAAUCCGAUUUCAUGCUUGAAAUAUGAAAAUCGUCUAUCCGAUUUCACACUCAAGAUAUGAUUUGGGAUUUUGUGAAAAUUUGGCAAAUCUAAUCUCAUGCCCAAGAUAUGGUUCGUUAAUUUAUUUCCAAAAUUAAAUGGACAUGGAUGAUAUCUUGCAUGAUUUGUUCCCAUGUUGUUAUUGAUUUGAAAUAAUUUUGCUCCCAAAAAAAGAAAAACCCAAAAAUAUAUAUUUGAGUAGAUUUGAUUCUUGUUAAAAUAUUACUUGUUUUAUUUAUGCUAGAUUGCUUGUUUAGAUUAGGUAAUUUCUUUAUUCCGAAUUUAAAAAAAAAAAAAACCAAAACAUUGCUUUAGGAUGUUAGAUUUCAUUUUCCUUAAUUAAAAUUGCAUGUUUAAUUAUUGGGUAAUUUUAAUUUCGAAAUUUAAUCAAAAAUAAAAGAAAACAUAUAAAUUAUCAUGCACAUGUCAUGUAGAAUUAGGUCAUUCCUUGCACAUCAUUUAGUCAUUACAUGAUUAGGUUCAUUUAAACGUGUGACAUAUUAGGAUAGUUUCAUUUAAUAUUUUACCCAUCAUUAGAUUAGGUCAUUUAAUUAAUGUCGCGUGACAUAUAAUUUACGUAUUAGGUUUAUUUAAUUUUAUGUUGCACAUCACGUUAGCAUAAAUAUAUUUUUCAAUAGAUUAUAUUUUAUUAAAUAAGAGAAAAUCCUAAAAAAGAUUGAGUAACUGCAUGUUGAUUAGAAAUCACAUCUAGAAUUUGUUGAUGUGAAUUAUGAGCUUACAUUGCAGAUGCUUUCGUUAUUAUGAGGUAAAUUUCACAAUUUUUCAUUAUUUUAUUGGGAAUUAAAUUGGUGGAUUGCGCACUCAUAUAAUCACAUCAGGUAAUAAAAUCAAUUCAAGUUGCCUGAUAAAUAUUUUUCAUGAAAAAAAUGGUACUUAAAGGCUAUUAGAGAAAUCUAGUGUAGCACCCAAAUUCUCUGGUUCAUAUGAAUAAAACAAUUUUUUAAUUAUUUUAUUUAAUUUUCUAAUCGACUUAUCAUAAAUUGAUUAGUGUCAACUUCUAGAUAAAAUUCAUUUAUAUGCCAAAAACUUGAACUUAAGUUACGAAUUGGCAUGGGCUUGGAAGAGCUCGAGUUAAGUUUAGACUUAGUAAUUCAUUAACCAAACUCUAGGUGGUACACCUUAGGUUAGGUCGCGACAUUUACAUAUACCAAAACAUAGCAAAUGUCCGAUCCGAAUUUUAUGCAACAUAUAUGCUUAUUUAUAUCUUAUAAUCUUAUCAUUUUGAAACGUGAGUUUACAAAUUUUUAGAAAAGAUAGCAUCACUCACCUGAAUAUCCCAAACCAAACAACAAAGCUUACUCGAAUUAACGAACUUGCAUUUAUUAUAUAAGUGAGAAAUAUCAUUAAAACCAAGUAAAAUGCUAUCUCAAUUAACAAUUCGACAAAACUAUACUUAUACGUGAUAAAAUGACACUUACGCACUAAUAAAUUGCAUAUCCAAAGCGAUUAUUUAAGCCAUUCGCAGCAUGAAACUUGAUCAUGUCAUAACUUUUUUUACUGAAUCCCGUUUUAGACGUUUUUAUAAAAUCUCGUUUCAAACGUUCUUAUAGUUAAUAGAGAGCUCUUUCAAGAUAUUACAAGGACUCUAACUUGAUUGUUCCAAAAUUAAGCCGAAAAUGGACAAAAUAUGGUAUCGAAGUUGUUGAAUGUGCAUUGUUCAUUAGGCGAGGAAAACUUUGAAUUUUGUUUUGGGUAAAUCAUAAACUCAAAUCAAGAGCGGUCAUUUUUUAUAACUUCACAACACCCUAAACUAUCAUAUAUAUAUAUAUAUAUAUAUAUAUAUAUAUAUAUAGUUCAAUGACUCAAAAAUUGGCUUUCGCCUCACGAAUCUCCACUAAUUCCAAAUUUUAUGCCCUAAGUCCGAAAUUACUCCAAUUUAAUGAAUGGAGGCAUGAGUGCUUACUGUGUUAUGUAAUUGAGAUAGCUUGGUGAGACUCCCAUAAUGAGAGCGCGCAAAAUCUUUUUCUUCUUUCUUUUUGAAAUCUUUUUUCUUCUUUCUUUCUCCUCCUUUCUUCUCCCGUGCUCUCUAACUUCUCAUGGCCGAGCCCCCCAAUUUUUUUUUUGAUACCUAGGGAACCUCGUUGGCUUAUGCCGGCAGGUAAACCCUGAAGUGACGCUAGUGGAGGACCUAUCAUCCCUGUAUCACACUUAAGACGCCGAUGCUUCCCCUGAGGUUUGAUGCCCUCACCUUGAGGGAGGCAAGGGAUUCUUAUCUCUUCUUUUGACUUUUCAACCAUUCUUUUCUUUUCUUUCUCUCUCUCCUUCUUUCCUCCUCCUCCUCCUCUCUCUUCCUUUUCUUUGACUUGGUCAAAACCCUUAUUUUACAGUAAUGUACAAUAAGGAGAAAAGAAAUCAUGAAAAGAAUUGACUUUGAUAAACUAAAAUCAAGUCGUCGUCGUUCUUUCUCAUCAGUUUCUUGUGCUAAGUCUACUUGUGGUUCAGGUUCCUACUGUUAAUUUGCUUAGGCACGAUGUUCGGUCCUUGUGCUAUAAAUUCAAUCGAUGAAAUGCUUUUCCAUGCACUCCCCUUUUCUUCUGAACUCUAAGAGUGCUACAUAUCCUACAUCUCAUUCAUGUCGGCCAGUUCACCAUCGGCUGCAAGCCAAAAGAAGACCGAUGGCAGUACUGGUCAGGUUCGUGUCUUCAGUGGAAAACCAGACAGGUUUGAAGGACUAACAGGGGAGAUCGAGGAGACCAUGGACGCCGAGAGCUUCGCUUGCCGCCUCAGAACUUCAGUUGAUGAAUGGAAGAAACAGGUGCGGAAUAAUGUUGAUAACUAUUUGUUGCAAAAACACAAGCUACCGAACACACCAAGCAAAUAAAUCGGAUGCUGGAUCAACACAAAGUUGACUUCCUUGUUUUUCACACGCCAAAACCUACAACAAUUUGGACUUUCCUCCACACCUGAGACAGCAUAAACCAGAUUUUCCGCACGCUUUUUAGUCGCAUUUACCGUUUGGGCUCUGAAUAAACUCAUGAUUUUAAACUUCUUGCCUCUUUUAUUGUGUCCUUCUGAAUUGUAGGGGAAGAAGGACAUCUGGAUCAAAUUGCCCAUUGAACAUGUCAACCUUGUUGAAUCUGCAGUGAAGGUACAUGACGUUUUAUGUCACCAGGCAUGAACGAAAUUAUUUUGGCUAAUGAGAGAACACAAAGUACAUUCUUAUAUGUUAACUUGGAAAGAAAUACAAGUGAAUUAAGUGGUGAUAACAUAUGAUUCAUGCCUUAUAAUUUUUUUCACAGGAAGGAUUUAAGUACCACCAUGCUAAAGAAAAUUAUUUGAUGCUGACGCAUUGGCUUGCUCCCGAGGACAAUACAAUGCCUAUUUAUGCCUCAGAUAGGAUUGGCGUGAGUGCUUUUGUCAUGAACGAUGAUGGAAAGGUAAUGACCAUAAUGCUUUUGGCGGAUUCCAACACUGUGGGGCCACUACAACACCAACUCGAGUCGAAUUCAAAUUGAUAAGGAAUUGGGUCUUCCCACCAGGAUUGGUUCAUGUCGUUGUAUUAUAUGCUACUUCUGCAAAAUAUCAUUUGAUACUUUUCGCUAAUUUGCAUUAUAUGGCCCGUUUACCUUCUGUUUCUUCCAGGCAAAUUGACUUCCUCAUGUUCUAUAAAACCUUCACCUUCCAUUGGUCCAUCUAAGCAUUUAGUGAACCCAUGCUUUACAGCUUGUUCUCGACAAAAGGUCCUUUCAGAUUUAGACACGUUUUCUGCAUAAUAGCUUGUUCCUUUUCCGUAGAGCCACUCCCUUUCCAUGCUUUAGAUGUCCUGCUGUUAAUCCUAUUUGCAAGUGGCUCAUGUCUUUGUUCUACAUAUUCAAAUAAACAUAUUAGUAACCUUCAUUAUUUUGCCACCUUCCAAACAUCACAUGGUUUUCUAAAAAAUAUCGGCCUGCCUGAUAGGCAUUAAGGAUAUAUAGGAUCACAAUAAUUACGCCUGGGAAAUAAUCCGCUGCAUUCAACGUUCAUUGGAUUCGUGUGUGCAUAUGUUAUCUGGUUUUCAACAUGAUUCUAUUACAACCAGACACUCGAUACUUCAAAGACUUUAAAACUUUCCCCUCCUUUCCAGGUGCUUGUAGUCCAAGAGAAGGGUGGAAAGCGUGUAUGGAAGCUCCCUACUAGAGUUGUUAACGAGGUAUGUUUAAGAAAUCAAGUACUACAUCAGAAGUAUCAAUACAUGUUGCAAUGGUUUGACCAUGACUCUAUACCUGUAGGGCGAGGGUAUAUGGCGUGCAGCUGUGAAAGAAGUAAAGGAAGAGACAGGAGUAAGUGACGAGUUUUAUGUUGUGUAGAAAAGCUAAUUCUCUAAGGCAUUCACUUGAGAACUCCAACUAAAGCCUUAUUCUUAUAUGUUCUACAGGUAGACACUGAAUUAGUUGAGGUCCUCUGUUUCAGGUAAAAGAAAUCCUCUAUUUCAGAUUGUGGUGCAUUAAUAUGCUUUGGUCUUUGUUUUAGAGCCUUCUUCUAUGUUUAGCCUUCUGAUCUUCGAAUUCACUUUCACUUCUCUAAAACGCUCUCUUAUGUUCGAUCACAGGCAAAGCCACCAAGCAUUCUUCACAAAAUCAGAUUUGCUCUUCCUGUGCGUGCUUCGGCCUAAAUCAACUUUAAUCAAGAAACAGGAAGUAGAGAUCAAGGCAGCUAAGGUACAUUCGCGCUUGCAGAUCUUCUUGAUUUUGGUAGAAGCACGAAGACUUUACUGAUUAAUCUUUGCUUGGGCUGUCUUGUACUAUACUGGACUGCAUGCUUCAAUCUUGCAUUCUUGCUCAUUUUUUGCUGAACAAGGAAUCUAGUAAAAUUAGAUGUACGAUUUUCUACGAUUUUAAGCACAUCAGCGACUAGCUACUUCACUGAAUGUCUGUUCAAGGAACGAGCAAGAAAUCGAGGCUACUGAGGUAAUUCACUGACCUAAAGAAUCCUUUCUACCUAAGAUCCAAAAGGUCAAGCACAGUAUAUUUCUCAGCAGCUCGUAAACCUCAAAUAUAGUGUUCCGGCAAGCUGAUCAGUUCUGUCCGUCCAUAGAACGAGUUUAUCGAACAAUUUCCCCCUGUUCACAGUUUCACUUCAGUGUGUUAUUUAAGGUUUUGAGCACGCCAUAUGAGUAGUCUUUCAAUUGCGCAGUGGAUUCCGAUUGAGGAGUAUGCACAGCAGUAUCCUCCCGAGAAAAAGGACCAGUUCUAUGAGAUGGUACAUAUAUGCCGGGAGAAGGCAAAGGGUCAGGGCUGUCCCGGUUUCACACACUUUAAGAGCAAAACGCGGAAAGCCUUGUUACAUAUACUCGAACAAGCCUGGAACGCUGUAGUAGCACUAGCAGCAUCUGAAGCUUACUUCGGUUUUUGCUCAUAAAUUAAUACAUCAAUCUAAGCUAUAUGCGUCUCCUUUCUCUUCACUUGUAUUAUCUGUCAUUGUAUUCCCCAAAUAAAAUUUCCUCUGGGAAGGAACGAGGCAGUGUUUGUAAUAUAUUUCACGAUUAUUCCUGGUUUUAAAUGUUGGAAUCUUUCUCCCACGUUCGUUCUGGCCAAUGCCGAUACCCGCCGGGGCUAGUUCUUAUCAGUGAAUGUCACUACCUCUCUCUGGCGAGUCGAGGGCGUGAUCUAAGGCUAUGACCACCGAUCCGAUAGUUGGAUGAAAUAAAUCUAACCGCUAACGAUCUUCAAAUGAAUUAACAAAUCGACAACAACUUAGGAUCGUUAGAACAGCUAUGCGGUUAAAGGUUUUCGAUCACAGGUUGCUAUAGGAGAGUAAAAGUUACAUAGAAACAUUCAAUCUUCUAAUGGUUAUUGCAGGACUUCUCCUACUUAGUUAUUUGAUUCAGUAAAUUCCAUCAAAUUAUAUUGUCAUUAAAUGGAACAGCUUAUUGUGAAUAAAAAAUAACAUUUACAGACAGUAUGAACACAUAUAGAUCGAUCCAAAAUUUUACCAGAGGAAGAAAAAAAUAAAGCCAAUGUGUCAAUCAUCGAGGUAAAAGUCAAUUUUUGAUAGACUCUUGUCAUGAGUGUUUUAUUCUUCGUUUGUUUUCGGCAAAAUUUUCUAACACUGCACUUAGAAACAAACCAUGUCAACUGGUUAUGUAAAGUUGCUAUGAUAGGUUUGCAGCAACGUGCUAUUCUCUCAUCUAUUUGUUGUUUCAUUGUGAAGGAAAUGUUAGUUAUGAUUCUUAUGAAUAAAUCUCUAUUUGUAAGGGAAUUGUAGUUUAUGUGAUGCUAGAUAUGUAUGAGGAUAUAUAUGGUUAUUUUUCUAUACCCUUUCGUACAUUUUUUUUUUUUUAUGCCAAUAGGUAUGUAAAUUAAAUUCCCACUUCCACUUUCCCCAUAUCUCGUGAGAUUUAUGUACUGAUCAAUAAAAAUCCAUGUUAAAGUUAUAAAGGAAACUGUUAACUUCAGAGCAGGAGCUCGAACAUUCUCUUGCGUUGGCCCCCUCUAAGUCAAAUGAUCUCGGUCAAACCAAUCUUGUCAUAAAGGAUAGGGAGGGAGAGAGUACAUGUUGUAUUUAGUUCCUAAGUCUCUCAUGGAGUUCGGUGAACACAGAUUGUAAUAACAGGCCCAAUAAAAAAGCCCAGCCAACCCAUGUCUCUUAUAAGCCAAGCCUAAGACCAAUCCUCUUUUUCUCUCUUCUUAUUUGAGCUCGUGCAUUCGAAGAGGAGACGAAGAAGCUGAAGCAGAAAACGAGGAGGAGGGAAAGAGGAAAAGAAGAAAAUGCAAAAAAAAAAAAAAUGGUCACAUGGAGACGCUCUAGAAACCUCGACUAGCCAAAUAAACUACAUAUCGUAACACCUGAUAACUUAUCAAGCUGAUUAUUCGUCUAAUCGGAGUGAUUUUGGAAGAUAGAGCACACACUUUGAGUUAUGUAGAUCUUGAACUAUGAGGCUCACAUAAGGAGCUUUUAAGCUGUGAUUUUAUGGAAAUGGUAGUCUGAGGCAUUGUGGAUCUUUGGGUUUUGACGAAAUUGGAUUGCGAAGUACAAUUUGAUCAAAACAAAUUUUUGAAGUUCGCUUUUGAGUUAUGCAUAGCAGGGACAAUUCACGUGAUGGAGAAUGAUGAAUGUUUGAUCAGAACAAAUUUCUGAAGUUCGCUUUUGACAGAAGUAUCGUUUUAUUUAUAGUUUAGUUGAGUCGUUAGUUAGACUAGUAUAUUACCGGUCUUGAUAUUGUUUUCGACUAAUUGAUACAAAUAUAAGUGCAUUGGCUUGAGCAAUUUAGGCUUUUCGGGUAAGUGGUACUUUUUCUUGUAGAUUCAUAUCUUCAAAAUGAUAAAGAUUUGAUAUAUUAUGAGUUAUGAAUAAGUAUGUUUGUUGCUUAAAAAUUUGGAUUAGAUAUUUACUACAUUUUGGUAUUUGUGAAUGGUGUGAGAAUCGUUUGAUGGAGAUAUAUAUUCUAUUGAUGAAUGAAGUUGAGAAAUAUUAUAUAUUUUUUAUCUGCAAAAUCAUUUUACAACAAACUCUUGACUUUGAGUAUAGUUUAUGGAAUGUUAUAUAUAUCGACUUGUGAAAUACUUUAUGAUUUGAAUUUGAUUUGAUUUGGUUUGUAAAACUGGUUUAUGAGAAAUGUUUUAUGAAAAGUAUUUCUGGUGGAUAAGUUGAGUUGAGAAAAGUAAUAUGAUUGAUUUGUAAAAUGUAUUAUGAUAUAUGAGAUUAUUAAUGGAUUGGAGUUUUGGUAUUGGAGGAUGAUGGUUAGGUGUUUAAUAUCGCAGUAAACUUGGUUGAGGGUUUGUGGAUAUGCACGUACUAAUCUAUUGAUAUUCUUGUGGGCCGAGCCACUGGCUAAUAUUAAGUGGAAACCUAACAAAUGGGAGAAUCUUGGAUGAUUGUGUUUUACCUUCUCUGUAGCUACCAUGAACAGAUCUAAAAGCGUGCAUCUCUCUCUCCGUUCCUCUUUCUCUCCCUCUCCAUACGCGACGAGCAUAAAGAUAAUGGGUCCGGCCAGGCGAGGAGGGAGGUGAAGCAGGCGAAGUCACGACCUUCAUCAGCCUCACCACUUGCUGGCGAGGACCAUGGUACUCUCCGCAGAUCUAGCGCUGCGGCCUUGCUGAACUCUCUCUCUCUCUCUCUCUCUUCGUACGAGGGGCAACAGCAACAACGAUGGGCCAAGACAAUGGCGAGGGUCGUUGGACUGUCACCGGUGGAUGGACGGCCCUGCCACCGGCCAAGGUACCUCCUCCUUCCCUGAUCAGGCUUAGCCACCGACUCUCCCUCUUUUUUGGGGGGGUUUUUUUAUUAUUAGAAUUAGAAUUUGUUUAGGAAAAGAAAAUCAGAAAACCCAAACUAUUUAUAUAUACCCUAAGUUUUUUUUUUAUAACAUAAAAUAUCUCAAACUAUACUAAGUAUAAUCCUUUAAUCCUUAUGAGAUCAAAAAUCGCAAAACUCUUACUUUGCGACAUAUUUACACUUCAUCAAAGUUUAAUUAGAUGAUUUUUCAGUCAAAACGAAGUCAUCUGUUUUGCUUAAGCCACGUCCAUGAAAAUAUAUUUUCAAUGAUGCUCAAUAAUCAAAUAUUAAUAUAAGGUAAAUAUGUUAUACAUUAAAAAUUUAGAAUUUUAGGCUUGUGGAUGCUUUUUUUCUUUCUCAAAUUUUUAAUGCGUGCCAGUGAUGUAUUAGAUGGGAAAUGAGUCAUUGGUAUAUUUAGGGGAAGGGAAUGGAUCAGUUGAGUAUGCAAUAAAAAAAAAUAAAAAUUGCAGAGACGUGUGAUUGAAUAAAAUAAAGAAGCAGUCCUAAAGCAAACGAUCGAAACGCAGUCCUAAAGCAGUCGUCCCCUCCCUUGAAUUUAAUGGCUCUUAUAUUAUAAAACUUGAAUCUUUGGUCGAUCACAAUCCCCGAUUGAAACGCAGAAGGUCCUCAGUAUUACAAAAUUAACAGACGUAAGAAGGAAGGGGAAGAAACAGUACGAAAAGAUCGUAACCCUUCAAUAAUAGAGUGUGGUCCACAACAAUAGGAGCUUGCCACUUUCAAAGCAAACGAUAUCGUUGCUAACGAGAUUUUGUUAAUAAGGGAACUCAUGAUUUAUCUUUUCUCAUGUCAUUUGCAAUCAAUGUUUUGAAAAUUAUACGAUUUUCUUAUUAUGUAUGCUUAAUCUCAUUAAUUGGAUCCUUACAAUAUAAAAAAGAAGUUUAGGUAUAUUAAGGGCUUGUUCGAUAACAACAUUUAGUAUUAAAAUUUAUAAGGAAGGAGCUGCCUCAUUAAAUUCAAACGAAAAUAUUUGGUGAUAAUUAGAGUAGCAUCAAUUAUAUUGCUGAAACUUAUUAAUAAUGUUUGGUUCGCCUAGAGUAAGGAACUAAUAAUCUCCCUAACUAUUCAUAGUGAAACACCAUUUAAUUCCACUUCCCACACUAAAGUUGUGGACAUAUUUAGUGCUUAAAUAUGUAGCACCCAUUUUACAAUAUUAUCAAAUGAGCCUUUGGAUGCUAAGAUCAAUUAUUAAGAGAUGAGAUGAAUUUUACUAGAGAUUACAUGUGAUCGACUUGUUCAAAUGUUCAAUAAUAGUUUGCCUUAUCAUCGAUUUAAUAGCUUAUGGCAAACACUAAUGAAUAAUAAUUUGCCUUAAAUUAUUCUUAUCAUAGUUAGAUAAGAAUAAUUUACACAUAUUUCUAUAUCAAAGAAUAACACAUGCUUUAUAAGAUGAUUAAGAUAAAGAUAAUAUCAAAAAUAAUCUAUAUAAGAUAUCCACAAUUUAUAUAGGGAAAAAUGACACAAAUAAUCCAUAAACUUUAAUUUAAUAGGUAAUGUGGUUUCUAAAUUUUUAAUUUAUUCAAUGUGAUCUCGGAAUUUUAACCCAAUUUGCAAUGUAGUACUUGAACUUUCAAUUUUUUUAAUUGUGUCUUUAGACUCUUGGUACAUGUUCAGUUUAGUCUAUGAAUUAUAAAUAAAAAAAAAAAAGGAAAUUCAAUGUAGUCCAUACACUCAAAUUAAUAAAAGGAUAAUAUUGAAAAUUUUAAUAUAUUUUAGGGAUUAAAUUGAAUAUGUAUCAAAAGUUCAUACAUUAUAUUGAACAAAUUGAAAGUUUAUAGAUCAUAUUAUAUAUUAGGUUAAAAUUCAGAGAUCAUUUUGGAGACUUAAAAGUUUAGGGAUUACAUUAUACGUUGGAUUAAAGUUGAAGGAUUGUUUUUUGGUUAUGCCGUUAUAUAUGAAACCUUGAAAAAACGAUGAAGAACAAAAUAACACCGCAAUGAUAAGAAGUCUUUUGAUUGUGUCGGACGCGUUCUUGCCUUGACUACGGGGAGACGAAGCAAUCGCCGAUCUAGGACUGCAGCGAAGACCCCAAGACAGACAGACGAGGACGACGGAAUAUACAUCGUAAAUUCUGAGCUUCCGACGGGCGCAUCUUCUCCUCUCUGUCUCUGCAACUGAAAAAGUAUGUGCCGCCCAAUGGCCGGGGGCAUUUCUGCAUCUUCAUCGGUUCCGUGUCGGUGGAGGUGUGCAGCCGAGGGGAACGUUCGCCGCAAAUUUUUCGAAGACCAGAUCACCGCACCAUUACUCCUUCCCAGAUGUUUCAACUCCGCAGACCCAGAAGAAGCCUUUAUAUGGUUUUACAGUUGCUGCCUUUAUCUUUCACUUCGCUUUAGCCGUUGGAGCGAUAGCAGUACGCUGGAGAACAACUUAAUCUCCCAUCCGUUUGAUGUUCGUGCCGAAGCGAUCAACCAUCAAUCUUUGAAGGAGAAUACUUAACACAUUGGCGCUUCUUCGGUCGGCGAUCGUCCUCACUUCCUCUCCAAUCGCCUCCCAGCUUCCUCCUGCAUCCUGAAGAUCCCUAUGGCGGCGGCGAUCGUCUUCGCAGCAGCUCUCUCGGCUUCCUUCAACGUGCUUUUCGAUCGGAUGGCCUCCCGCGAGGGCUUUGACUUCUUGCGGUCGUGCAUGCUCGGCAUGUGGAGGCGGCUGCAGGAGCUGAAGGCCUCGCUCCUGUCCGCGAACGCCGAGCCGGACGACGAGGAGAAGCAGAUGGCCAACGUCCGAGGCCUCAAUUUUAGUGCUUCGACUCCUUGCAACCCAAGGGCUUUAUAUGGUACGCGUCGAUCGAUGCAUUUGGUUUUUCUCUCUCGAGUUUUCAUUAUUUAAUCCAUCGUCUGUGACGACGGCAAAGCCUACCCAAUUGCCCACUUCCUGUGUUUCUUUAUUUGUUUGAUCCGUGGACAUUCGCAAUUUAGUUGGUCUUUGUGUUUGGUUGUUUCUUUCUAUUUUUUUCUUAAGAAAGCUUUUAUUUUUCUUCGUGGCUGCCGCGGUCUUUAUGCUCUUGAGCUUUGCGUAUCCAAUGGUUGAGUGACUGGUGAGGUUCUUGGCUGUUCCUGGACAAAUAUGUAGUGAGAAAAAUUACGGGAAUAUUCAAGAGCAUCAUCACCCAAGAGAGUGUUUGCGAGGGGAGUUGACUUAGUAAAGAGAGACUAUUGAAGUCUUCCUCCUCCUUUGCUUUAAUAGUUUUGUUCUGGGUUAUUUUCUAUUUGGGUUUAUUACUUUACUUUUGAGCUAGACCAGUUGUUUCCGAUAGAAAUCAGUGGUUGAACGGUCGCUUCAUUUGUCCAGGUUUAGCUCGUAGGCUGCCCUUUCCCAUCAGAUCCUGGUUGCUCUUUCCCAGGAUCUUUCCCAUCAGAUCAUGGCUGCCCUUUCCCAUCAGUGCAUCAUCAGCUUUGAGGCAAGGCGUGACUGAACAUAACGAUAGUGGGAUCCAACAGAUCCAACAGAUUCAACUUCUCAAUGGAUUCGAGGAUUCACAUGGAGGAGUCAGGGUGGAGAUCAAGGAGAAUAUGGAUGCUGAUGUCUUUGCCCCUUUGCUCGGGGCUUCAAUAUCAAGCUGGAAAAACAGGUACCGCACUUGUAUUUCGUGGGUCUUGUUGAUUUGUUUUCUUCGAUUUGUAGGAAUACCGAUCUGUUCUUUUGUAUUUCUUCUUAUUGGGUAUAUUUCGGUUGCAGGGGAAGAAGGGAGUGUGGAUCAAAUUGCCCGUUGAAUGUUCGCAUCUUGCUGACAUUAUAGUGAAGGUACAUACAUGUGUUUUUUCGUGGCCAAGAUUUAGUAUUGGCCCCUCUUGUUAAUCACUUUCUAGUAGGAAGUUUGAUAGGUUUAGGUAUGAAAUACACGGUUCAUUGAAAUAUUGUCUGGUAAUUUGGCAGGAAGGAUUUAGGUAUCAUUAUGCCGAACCAGCUUACCUGAUGCUUGUCCGCUGGCUUCCUGAGGAGACCUUGGAUACUUUACCUGCAAAUGCUUCACAUAGGGUGGGCGUUGGUGCUUUCGUCUUGAAUGAUAAAAGAGAGGUAACUUUCUGCCCUGUUAUUGUCCCGUUUCUUGCAUUGGCCCUUUUAAGACUCUCUUAUAGGAAGAUGCAAAGAGAUAGAAAUGUAACAUUUGAUUUGCUCAUAUAGUUGUUCUUAGAAGUUCAGAGUCGCACUCUAGGACUGGACACUUCUCUCUGCAAUAGUGUGUAAGACUAGAGAUUUGUAGUGUGUGAAAUUAGCCUGCUUGAUAGCCAUUGAAUCCUUUAGCAGGAUAGGUAGGAUCACAGUAAUUUCGCCUGUGAAGAAAACCUCUACAUUCAAUGUUCAUUGGAUUUGUAUGCAUGUAUGUUGCCCUUGUGGAUAAGCAGAGAUAUUGUAUUUGUUGUCUUUUUCUUAAUAGAACUAUUCUUUGGUGCCAAUGCCUCGCUAUAAUCUUUUAAUCUGACUAGGACAUAUUUAUGACAAGCCAUUUAGUAAUGUGACUUCAGGCCCUAUUAGCAUUUGGAGUGUGAUAAAUCUUCUCAUCUUAGCAACGAUCACUUAAGCUUCUAUCGGUUUUCCUUUUUUGAGGGAUUCAGCCUGUGGAUAAUAGCCUUACUUUGUGAAGAGAUACAAUGCAGUGAAGUUUUAUACCAACUUUUGUUCGGUGCGUGCUUUUGCACCACUUUUAUCUGUUUCAUCUGAUCUUAUGCAACCGGGCACUCACUCAACACUCUAAAGAAUCUAAAAACUUUGCCCUCCCUUUCUAGGUGCUUGUAGUCCAAGAGCAUAGUGGAAGGUUCCAAGGUACGGGUGUAUGGAAACUCCCCACUGGAGUUGUGAAAGAGGUGAGUGUGUUUAGGAUAUCAACUGCUACAUUAGAUGUAUCGAUAUGUAAUGCAAUGGUUUGACUGUGAAUCUAUCCCCGUAGGGUGAGGAUAUAUGUGAUGCAGUUGUCAGGGAAGUAAAGGAAGAGACCGGAGUAAGUGAAGAGUUUUAUGUUGUGUAGAAAAGUUAAUUAUCUGAGGCAUUUCACUUGAGAAUUCAGACUAAAGCCUUAAUCUUUUACGUUCCACGGGUAGACACUAAAUUUGUCGAAGUCGUCUGUUUCAGGUAAAGAAAAUCUUCUAUUUCAGAUUGUGGUGCUUUAAUAUGUUUUGGUCUUCAUGUAGAUGUCUGUGUGUAGCCUUCUGAUGUUCAAAUCUGCUUUCUCUUUUCUAUCAUUCUAUCUCUUAUGUUCUAUCACAGACAAAGCCACGAAUCAUUCUUCACAAAGUCGGAUUUGUUCUUCCUUUGCGUACUUAAGCCAGAAUCGUCUGCUAUCAAUGAAGAUGAAGAGAUUGAGGCAGCCCAGGUAAAUUGCACACUUGCAUAUCUCCUAGAUUUUGGUGGAAGUAUGAGGACUUUUUACUAAUCAAAUCUUUGCUUGUGCCGUCCUGGACAACACUGGGCUGCAUGCUUUAAUCUUGCAUUCUUGCUCAUUUUUGCUAAACGAUGAAUGUACUAAAAUUUAAUGUAUAAUUUCUUAAGCACAUCGACAACGAGUGACUUCACCGGAUAGCUGUUCGGAUCUACCCAUUUAGUAGCGGUGUUAAAAGAUCAUCAUUCAUUAGUUCUUUCUUUGGCCAAAUCUAUGAUCUGAACUGGAUGUAUUCUAUUUUGAUUAUAGUGGAUGCCAAUUGAGGAGUACACAAAACAACCUUUUGUUGUUGGAAACAAGCAAUUCAAUUUCAUGGCGAA